UAUAUCUAAGUGAAAACCGAUUUAAUAAUGAUAAAAGCAUUUUGUCAUGUUUCAAUGGGCUUUCCACUCUCGAGUCUUUGGAUCUAUCAUAUAAUAAGUUGACAGCUGGAUCAGGAGGUAGCUUCUAUGGUAACCUUUUAAUUAUUUAGCUUCGAAACCUUUUCUUUUCUUCUUCCAAUAUGCUUUUGAGGAACAUCAUGCAGGUUUCAAAGUCUUGUCAUCAAGGUUGAAAAAGCUGGAGAACCUUCUUCUAAGUGGGAAUCAAUGCAACGAUAGCAUUUUUUCAACUCUAACUGGAUUUUCAUCUCUCAAGUCAUUAGGUCUUUCACGCAAUCAGUUGACAGGAUCUGCUAGUAUCAUUAGUAAGUUAUAUAUAAUUUCUACCUAACUGCUUUACGUGACAUUCUUUUAUACGGUUUCGUAAUCAAGAAAAUUGAGGACUUUAUAUUUAUUUAAUAAUUAAUCAACGAUAGCAUUUCAUCAUGUUUGAUUGCGCUAGCUUUCAUCUAUGAAGAUUUAUAGCUAUGGAGCUUUGAUCUUAUCCAUAAAUUAUUUUUCUAACAAGACAGGAAGAUAAUAAAGUGAGCUAGCUGGAUCAAAACUAGGAUGAUAAAAAAUUACAUGUAUAGAUCAAUGGAUACUUGCAAUCUAUCUUCUUCCUUAAUCUAUGCACAGUAGCAUCUUAUCAAUUCUGAGUGGGCUUUCAUCCCUCUAUAGAUCGUCUUUGGAUCUAUCGUAUAAUACAUAGUUUCUACCUAAAUGCUUCACAUGACAUUCUCUUAAUUAUAUUGUUUCUUUAUCAAGAAAAAUGAGGACUUUAUAUCGGCAAUGUAGGAGUGGUGUUUAAAGGACACUUUAUAUAUAUGCAAAGCUCCAUGACAAACAUAUUAAAAGAACAAAUUAUUUAAAAAUACAUAACAUUUUAUAAUUUUAAAAAAUAUUAUAUUAUUCAAAAUUAAUAAAUCCAAAUGAUUGUUCAAAACUUCUCAUUGAUAAUUAAAACAAGAACAAUAAUAAAUAACACUCAUUAUAUUAUCAUGAAAAAUGAGGACUUUAUAUCUAUGUGAUGAUCAAUUUAAUGAUAGCAUUGUAUCAUGUUUGACCAUCUUUAACAACUUUAUAUCCUUAAAUUGUUUUUUUUUUCCAAUAAGAUCAAAAUUAGAAUGAUUAAAAAUAUUUCUUAAUCUUUGAAGUGUACACAACCUAUUAUAUAAUUAAAUAUGCGUUCGUGAGCUCAUUAUAAUUAAAUAUAGCAUUUUAUCAUUCUUUUUAUGUGUAAUUCGAGAAUCAUAUAUCAAUUGAACAACAACAUCUCAUCAAUUCUAAUUAUUUUUAGUUUCUAUCUAUUAUGCAUAUCGUGAUUAUGACUUACUCUUAGAAACAAUUCUCUUGCAGGUUUUGAGAUCAUAUCAUCACAUUUGUGGAAACUCGAGUCAUUAGAUUUAUCACACAAUCAGCUGACAGGAUCUAUCACUAGUAAGUUACAUUCUUUUAUCAAGAAAAUUGAGGAAUUUAUAUCUAUAUGCUUUCAUGUAUCAUUUUAAUAUCUAAAAGAUACUUUCAUCACUAUUCUGACUGUUUUGAGAUAAAUUGUAUAGGUUGGUGUGAAUUGAAGAAUCUGAAACAGUUGGAUCUUUCUGGAAAUAAUUUAGGAGGUUCACUCCCAGAUUGUUUGGGAAACUUGUCAUCUUUACAACUAUUAGAUGUUUCUGAAAACCAGUUUACUGGAAAUAUUGCCUCUGGUCCUCUUACCAACCUUAAAUCCCUUAAAUUCCUCUCACUAUCUAAUAACCUCUUUGAGGUUUCCACUUCAAUGAAGCCUUUUAUGAAUCACUCAAGCCUCAAGUUCUUCUCUAGUGAGAACAAUAGACUUGUAACAGAACCUGCUGCCUUUGAUAAUUUGAUUCCAAAGUUCCAACUAGUUUUUUUUAGCUUGUCGAAAACAUCGGAAGCACUCAACGUAGAAAUUCCCGACUUCCUCUAUUACCAAUACGACUUAAGAGUCCUUGAUCUCUCCCACAACAACAUCACCGGAAUGUUUCCAUCGUGGUUGCUUAAGAACAAUACACGAUUGGAGCAACUAUCUUUAAGCGAGAACUCCUUUGUUGGUGCUUUACAAUUGCAAGAUCAUCCAUAUCCGAAUAUGACCGAAUUAGAUAUAUCCAACAACAACAUGAACGGUCAAAUUCCAAAAGAUAUUUGUUUAAUCUUUCCAAAUCUGAAGAGCUUAAGGAUGGCUAAGAAUGGAUUUAAAGGUUGUAUUCCUUCUUGUUUGGGAAAUAUUAGCUCUCUUUUAAUUUUAGAUUUAUCCAACAAUCAAUUUUCCACAGUAAAACUAGAACAACUAGCAACAAUAAGUUUUCUCAAGCUAUCAAACAACAUUUUGGGUGGGAAAAUACCGACCUCGGUGUUCAAUUCUUCUACCUUAGAAUUUCUCUAUCUAGGUGGUAACAACUUUUGGGGUCAGAUAUUAGAUUUUCCAUUAUAUACGAGGAAAAGCUGGAUUGUAUUGGAUUUGAGUAACAAUCAUUUUUCAGGCAUGCUUCCAAGGUGGUUUUUCAAUACUACAGGCCUUAACAUAGUUGAUUUGUCCAAAAAUCAUUUUAAGGGUUCGAUUCCAAGAGACUUUUGUAAGCUUGACUCGCUUGUAUAUUUGGACUUUUCUGAGAACAACUUGUCUGGAUAUAUACCGUCUUGUUUCAGUCCACCACCUCUAACCCAUCUGCAUCUAUCCAAAAAUAGAUUGAGCGGUCCAUUAACAUAUGGAUUUUAUAACAGCUCUUCUUUGGUUACGAUGGAUCUUCGAGAUAACAGCUUCAUCGGUUCCAUUCCAAAUUGGAUUGGCAAUCUUUCAUCGUUGAGUGUUCUUCUUCUGAGGGCUAAUCACUUUGAUGGUGAGCUCCAUAUUCAGUUAUGCUUGUUAGAACAAUUAAGCAUUUUGGAUGUUUCACAAAACCAGCUCUCUGGUCCACUACCCUCCUGUUUAGGCAAUCUUACUUUCAAGGAAAGUUCCCAGAAAAUGUUUACGGAUUUCUGGGGUCAUUUUCCAUCAUCGUCCGCAUACAAAGCUUAUGUUGAAACCAUGGGUACACCACUGGUGGAUAGUGUGUACAGCUUGGAAAAGGAAUUUUGGCCUAACAUUACAGAAGAAGUGAUAGAAUUUACAACUAAAAAUAUGUAUUAUGGUUACAAGGGGAAAGUUCUCAGCUACAUGUCUGGUAUUGAUCUCUCCAAUAACAACUUCAUAGGAGCAAUCCCACCAGAAUUUGGAAACUUAAGUGAGAUACUAUCAUUAAACUUAUCACACAACAAUCUCACUGGAUCUAUCCCUGCAACAUUCUCAAACCUAAAGCAUAUUGAGAGUUUGGAUCUUUCUUACAAUAAUUUGAAUGGUGCCAUCCCUCCACAACUUACUGAAGUUACCACACUGGAAGUUUUUAGCGUGGCGCACAAUAACUUGUCAGGUAGGACACCCGAGAGAAAAUAUCAGUUUGGGACCUUCGAUGAAAGCUGUUACGAAGAAAAUCCUUUCUUGUGUGGGCCUCCAUUGCAAAACAAUUGUAGUGAAGAAGCAGUGUCGUCCCAGCCAGUGCCUAAUGAUGAACAAGGAGAUGAUGGUUUCAUAGACAUGGAGUUUUUCUACAUCAGUUUCGGUGUAUGUUACACAGUUGUGGUGAUGACGAUUGCAGCAGUUCUCUACAUCAAUCCAUAUUGGCGACGCAGGUGGUUGUACUUCAUUGAAGACUGCAUAGAUACUUGCUACUAUUUUGUGGUGGCUAGUUUUCGCAAGUUCUCCAACUUCAGAAGGUGAAAUUGGGGAGACGGCCCGUUCCUAGUUUGUGAUGAUUGUUUGUCUAGCUAUUGGUAAUUUGUAGUGUACUGUCUCUAAGCUCAGUCUUUCUAUUUUAUUAGUUAUUUGGGCUAAAUAUAUAAGCUGGACUUCUCAUUCAUGAAUCAUUAGGAAGGAAACUGAUUUGGAUCGGUCAUUGACUCGGGUGUGAUUACUCUUUCAACUCUCAAGACUUGUCUGAAAAUAAAUUGCCAAAACCACUACUAAAGUAUAAACAAAAUAUUCUAUGCCUUUGUUUCAAGGGCGACCCCACCUCAGUUAUUCAAUCAAAGCAUUGAAAUCGGAGCAAGAAGAUCCACCUUCUUCAACAUCCUUCCUGGCCGUUUCUUUGCUCUGCUUCUCAUUUCCUCUGCUUCUUCACCCAUCAUAAUUUGAGUGAUUGCCUUCUCUACAGCUUCACUUUUAACAUGAUCUCCAUGCACUCUAAGCCAUUCCUUAACUCCAGUUUUUAAAACAUCAGUCACCAACUUUUCAUUAUAGAAUUGCUCAGCAAAUAUUGGUCUCCUAAGCACAAAAAAAUAAUUGUCCUUCUCAAACAUGCAGCUGUGACUUGAGACAUUCAGAAUUUCAACCUCAUUUUCUAUAAAAUUCAACAAUACUGGAUAUGGUCAUGAUUAUACUGGAUAUGGUCAUGAUUCAAUGGAAUAAUCCCCACUUAUUUUCUUGAGACCUUUUUCCAUUGAAAUCUUGCAAGACUAUGGCAUAAUGAACUCCAUCUAAUGAACAGUAAAUCAAAGAAAUUACCUUCUGAUAGAUCUCCUCUUGCCAAUCAGCGCCUUUUGCAUGUCCAGUCUGUGCUGUAGAAUCUAGGGAUGCUACAAAAAUUUCAAUGCAGACAACAAAAUGUUAGAAUUCAUGUAUUUUUGUGUGUUUUCCAUCUACAAGGGUAUUUCUGUAAUUUUAACACUUGCUGAAAAUUAUGAAAUAUUGCAAGUCUCAGUUUUAUUUUCCAUUUAGUAUUUAAUUAUUCCCAAAGUAUAGCGAGCUUCAUUAGGUUUUUCCUAUUCUAGAUAGGUCUAUUAGUAUUUUCCUAUAUAGGAAUACAAGUCCUUUUUGUAUUAGGAACUUCAUCUAAAUGUUAUGUAAUCAUAUAAAUGCAGAAUCAGAGGGUGAACAGCUGGUGCAAUGCACUGGAGGGUAUGAUGUGGUAACAAAUGCGUGUGUGAUUGCAAUGGUUUCAAUAGCAGUGGCAUUACUAAUGCCACAAGUGGCAGCAGUGGCACAUAAAGCUACCUAAAAGAGUAUUGCUGACUUGAACCAUUAUGAGAGGUGAACAGUUGGUGCACCGCACUGUAGGGCAUCGUGUGGUUACAAAUGCAUGUGUGAUUGCAAUAGUUCCAAUACCAGUGGCAUUUCUAAUGCCAUAAGGGGAAGCAGUGGCACAUAAAGCUACCAAAAAGAGCAUUACCUGGCAUUUGUCUCUGAGAAUUGACAAACAUAGUGGAGGGAAUCCCUUGUCCCAUUGAAUUCCCCACUGAGUUCUGUGAAACACCAGGGAUACUCUGCAUGUUAGGAUUCUGGACAACAGUGUUGGGGAUAGUCUGGGUUACACCAGAGACAGGAGGCAGUGCCGCUUGUAAACCAGCAUAACUUUGAACUCCAUUAGAUGCCAUGCAAUUCUGCAUGUUCUGUGAUACCAACUGCUGACGUGCUUGAGACUGAUCAGUGGACAAUAGGAUAGGGAGAAACAGCCCUUGAUUCUGAACUUCAGGGGACAUACUAUGGGAUGCUGUUCAAGAUAAAAGGCAAAAGGGAAAACCAUGUCACAGAAAAAAAGAAGGCACUGAACAAGGAAGACAAAUGAAACAUCGGCAGUCCACACAUAAAGUUAUGAGCGAAAGAAUUGGGAUGGAUUUGAUUCAAAGCAUAAAAGUGUCCUCUGACAAUUUUCGGGGAUGGGGGAAGAAGAGGCGGCUGAAAACAAAAAUAAUAUGACAAUUUUCAGGGUGGGGGAAAGAAAAGGAGGAGGCAGAAAACAAAAACAAUCUGUAAUAUUCUUGCAUAACAUUCAUCAAUUACUCAACUUUUUGAUUAAAGCAUGCCAUACACAUAGCAAUAUGUUGCAAUAAAAUGCAAAAGAGUUUGAUAACAAUGUGACAAACAAAACAAAAGGUAAGAUGUUUAGAAAUUCAAUGCUCGGCAGCAUUAUUAUAUAUGAAAAAAGGAUCAAAUGCUUUUCUCUCGGAAGAAAGCAAGAAAGUGACGUCUUACCUCCUAAACAGGAAAAUCUUUAAAAUCUACCAUCUCAAUCAUAAAAUAUAAAAUACCAUGCAUCACAGUCCUUGUUGCUUAACAAGUUAAGGAUGGAACACUUCACAUGCAUUAUAGAAUUAGCAUCGUGGAGGUGAUCAUGAGAUUUUUCCAGCAAGGCGAUAUACAUAGCAAUAUGCAGCAAUAAAAUGUAAAAGAGUUUGAUAACAAUGUGAGAAGAAAAACAAAAGGUAAGAUGUUUAGAAAUUCAAUGAUCGGCUGCAUUAUAACCUGCUGGAUCCAUGGGGGCAGUGGGCAUGGUGUUUUGAGACCUGAUCUCCAUUGAAAGCAUCUCCAGAGAUAUUUUACGCAGAUAAUCAUACUGAAAUCAGAUAUUAAUAACAAAACAUUAGAUCUCAGAGCAAUCCAUGUUACAAGAGGAGGAAAAUGGAUAAAUGCUCUAUCAUUUCAUCUUUUGUGAGGAUAUACUUCUGUUUCCUCUCUUUUUAUUUAAUUAUUUAGGUAUUGAUUUGCUAUUUUCUUUUUGCACACUUCCCUUGUACUUGAACUUGUUCACUCUAAAUAAAACACUUGUCAAGAGAAUUAACAAAAAGAUGCGAACUCCCAAUCAGCCUUGCAUACAGAGUGAACGGUGAGGAAGUGUAAGCACACUACACACACAUUUGUACAUGCAUAAAUGCAUGUGUAUAUUCAUGUCAAGAGAAUAUCAUAAUUAUUGAACCUCGCAUUAGGCAAAUACCUGAUUGGUGGCGGUAGUAUAAAUCUUUUCCUCAAAACGUAUGGCCAAUUUCUUGAGUUCUUGUAAUCCCUCCUGACCAGAAACAAAAGAUGCCCCUUUAUUGUCUCCAUUCUGCACAUGCAAAUCAUUACGUUUCAUUUUUAAUGACCAGGCAAGUAUAGAGAAGUUAGCAACAGCGAGCAAAUAAUGAGAUAAGCAAGAGUUGGUCAAGUAUUAUAAGACAUCAAAAUACAUAGACAUCCUUUCCCUGUAUUAUUCCAGAGGUACAGAUUAUAGGAGUUUACUUGGCCACCCUUCUGUCUAAAAUUCUAGCUACGAGCUUCAUUUAUUAGUGACUUAGUUGCAAAGCAGGGGAGUCUGUGAAAACAUUACAAUAGCAUUUACUCUGAGUAACUUCUAUGCAUGUGCUGUAAUUGACAAAGAAAAGAAGAGAAAUCCUUUCAAUAUAUGAAAAUGCAACGAGUUAACCUUAUCUCACACUGCAAUAUAUACUCUACAGUAUUCAAUGACCAAUGCAAGUGCCAGCAGAAGCUGUCUAUAUGAUUUUGGAUGUAGAGAGGUCAACAAAACAUUCAACUUUAUGCUGAGAAUCUAGGAAACCAUGCACCAUUGUGGCUAAUUGAUUUUUGUCUACUGCUUUUCAACUUUAAGAUCACUAUCAUUUCAACCCUGUAGAAGUUAAAACAAAUAGAAGGCCCAAAUCCAACACCAUUCAUUUAAGUUCAGUUGCAACUCGAGUUUUAAAUUGAAACACGUAUGCUCAUAGCAAUAGAUUAACCUUGAAAUUAAAAGCAGAACAAGCUUCAUGCAGCCAUCCAAGAGGUCAUCAUCAAAAGAAGAGAUUACACAAGAAAUUCCAACAAAAAUUACUUCCCAGCACUUUAUGUUCCCUCAAGUUUGCUUCUCGUGAGAAACACAUGAAAAGAUGAAACAAACAAAAACAAAAAAAAGAGGUGUGUGAUACUUGAUGUUGCCUCAUGGCAAUCCUGCUGAUUUUAAUUAACCCUUUGUCGUUCUCCUUUUCUUUCAUAUAAAUAAAAAAUUUACUAUUUUGCAGCACUUGCACAUACAUUUUGUCGACUAUUCUUUUCCGUGAGUCAGGCCGCAAUUGAAUUCUCCAAUCACCCGUGUCCAUGACAGGUUCUCCGCCUGGGACAGUGGGCCAACCAAAAAGAAAAAAAAAAUCAUAUUGCAUGUUAGAAUAGACCCUAAAAAGAAAGUCAGGAACGGCAAGAAGAGCAAAAGCACAUCAAGAACAUGAAAAAUGGAAUAUCAGUUGAUUCAGACUUGAAUAGAUUUAAAAAGAACUUCCGUCUAAUAUCAUGUACUUUAUUAAAGAAUUCAGCCAAAUAUGGAUGCAUAACAAAUAUACACAACCAUUCAGGUCAAGGUGCUAGGAUCCUGGGUAUUCGGCCAUUCAAAGCAAAGAAUCUUCAUGGUGCUUCUAAACCAAAGAAGCAUUCCCAUCUAAGCAAAUACUUACUGUCAAACCCCACUCCACUUUCCCUCCUGUUCUUGUUAUUUAUGCAUAUAUUUACUUCUCUGAAAGAAUAAAUAUUGUAGGGAGCAAAUAGUGUAAAUAGAAAGAGGAAAAUACCACAUCCCCAAAAGAAUAAAGAAAUAAGAAGAAGGCAAAACAAAGUCAUAAAACGAGGCCUUUCAAUCCCCAAUGAAUAUCAGCAGACUAAAUACCACAGCACAAAUAGAAGAUGAAGAGGCCAGAAACACUAAUCCAUCCCGAAGAGAUUGUCUAGGAUGUUUUAGUCUAGGAAAAAGACAAAGAAAAAAACGAGCAUUAACAAUGAAUAUUUCAUGUUAUCAUCAACUCUAAAGAGCAGACUGAUAAGAAUCAACUUAACAAAUUUACAGGCACAUCUUUCUUUGAACAGACAACACAAUAACCCUGACCAUACUAAAUGCUCCACCCACAGUAGAAUCGGCUGAUUGCGCCUUUCUUCGAGUUGCGUUCACGAGCAGCGAUUUCAUCGGGUCCGAUUAUAUAUCUUUUUUAAUUUACUUAUUAAAAUUGAAUUUUUCUCUCUGGAUAGUAAUUUCAAUUAAAUAAAUGGAAACGCAGACGUAAAUCUUUUUUUUUUUAAAAAAAAAAAACAUAAUAGAAAAUGAAGCACCUGGUGGAGAUUUGAAGCCUUAUUGGUUGAGGGGGCGGCGGUUUCCUAGAGCGGAGGAGGGAAAGAGAGCUCAGGUGGAAAGAGGUGAAGAAUGUCGGACCAAAGUGAACAGAGCUUGACAGAUGACUCUUUUUUUUUAAUAUGAAUAUUCUAGUUAACUUAGUAUACCUCUAAUAAAAUUCACAAUCAUAUAAAUAUUUAUAUAAAUAUCUAAAAAAAUUUAAUACUCAAAUUAGUGAUAUGCAGGUAGCAAUAUUUUAUUCUUUCCAGAUUUGCUAACAAACUAAAAGAAAUGUAUUCACUGUGCUGCUUUACUGUUCAUAACUAACAAACUAAAACUAAAAUUAUUAAGGCGGGGUGCUAUGCGCGCGAGGAGAUGUCAGCCGACGGGAAAUCACCUGCAUCGGCUGGGAUGGCUUCAUUGAAGCUGUCCUCUUGGUCUGUGGCGGGCCUACUCAUUAAUGAAAAAAUUAUUCUAACAGAGACAUUGUUUUUGUUUUUGUAAAAUCUUUUCUAUUAUAUUUUUUUUAAUCCAAAUUUUUAUAGAAAACAUCAUAUAAAUUCUGGUGUGAUAUUUAUUCUUGGUUGUGCUGAUAAUAAAUUGUUUUAAAACUACAGAAUUAAUCAUUAUCUCAAUUUAAUUUUUAUUUUGAUUAUUGAUUUAUGUGCAUGUUUUAUAUUAGGUGGAAACUUGAUCAUUGUAGUAAAAAGGAACAAUAAUUUUAUGAAUUAUUCAAAACAAUUUAUUUGUUCUAUGCAUAUGUAUGAUGAUCUGGUUAUACAUGAAAUAGAUAAUUUGUCAAGAACAAAUUGAUUAUAUGUUGACAUAGAUUAAAAAAAAGUUUAAUUUUAACAGGAAAAGUAAAGUGUAUAUAUCUUUUGUUAUCUAUGUACUUAUAUAUUGCCUUGAUUCUAUGGGGAAAUAAAUUUUAUGUUGCAUGGUAUUUUCCUUUGUUGUUGCGUUGAUAGAAAAAAACAAAGAAAACAGAAGAUGGGAAAAAAAGUUGCAUAUCUGGAUAAUAAUUAUCGGUGAAAUAAUAUAUGUAAAGUGAAAUUCUAUUUAAUUGGAAUUAUUUUGUUUAUGUUGCAUAUAUAGCUAUAUAUGAUUAAAGAGUGAUUAACAACUAAUACUCCUAGCAUUGAUGAUGCAUUAUUACCAAGAAAAAAAAAAUUUAGUGUAGGAUUCAUCAAAGGCAUUCUAUUUUUCACUUGGAUUGGUAAAAGACUAAAAGACUCAAAUAUAGUUAUUACUUAAGAUGUGGUUGUAGACUUACCAAACCACAUUAGAAAAUGAGUUUGCAAUCUUUAAUUAUGUUAUAUAUGUUUAGAGUGUUUAUUUUCAUUAUUUUGAUAUAAUUACCAUGUCAGAAUUACCUAUAAAAAGAGACAAUUCUGACAUGGUUUUGACAAUAAAAAAAACUUCUAAUCUUUUUAAAACUCUUCUCUUUAUAUCUUUUUAAUUAAAAUUCUUAUAAAGAGUAACAUAAAAAUUUUAGUUCACCAUUUAUUCUUGGUUGUGCUAUAAAAAAUCAGAGAUUGAGUAAGCUUGAAAAAUAAUAUUACAAUUAUAUUGCUAGCACUAAAGAGCAUGUAAUAAAUUGUUUUAUGAUAAUUUAUAGUCAAUAUUUUAAUUUGUGGCUAUCCGUACAAAAUAUUUUAAAAUGACUAAAAUAAUUAAUAGUUUAUUAGUUUGGAUGUUUUUAGUAAUGUUGAAAUUAUAGAGAAGUGAUCAUUAAGUUGAUUUUUUUAUAUGCGUAGAAAUCAGGUCAUUAUAAAUUUAAUAAACUAUUUAAAGUGUUCCAAUGAAAAGAAAAUGGUGUUGUGAAUUUGAGUCUGCAUUUUUCUCUUUCUUUUUGGUUUUUUUUGUUCGUCCCUUCCUCAAAAUUUAGGGUAUUAAAUUUCUUUGUUUCUUCGGAAGAUGCCUUACUCUUUGUUGAUCGUCUUUCUGUUUUUAGUUGCAUUGUUAGGCUAUAUGUGUGUUUAUUGAGGCUUUGGCUGCCUUUUUUGCUACAGUUAUGAGGUUUCUUGGAGUGUUUUAGUUAACUUCAGCCCUCUAUUAUCCAUUCUUUAUAGAGGUGGUGUUGUCUUUGUUUCGCACAAGGCGGCAUGUGUCUUGAAAGGAAGUUUACUUGGUUUUCUUUACAUGUGUUUCUUGCAUGCUACUUGUUUGGCAAAAGUCUCCUGAGAGAUCGACCUUUUUUCUUUGUUUUGGUUAGGCUGGGUGCUUGAUUUGUGUUAGGCUGUUAAAGUUUUUUCCCUUUCUUUAUAAGAAAAAAAUAUUUCUUUUGUGCUUGGGAACACACCUUUGUAGCUUUAGAGAUGAUAGAAAGCUUUGCUUUUAAAGGCAACAUUGUUCUUUAUGGUUUUUUCAACAUGGGUUUCCUUAACAAAAAUUAAGUUUUGCAUGUUUAUUUAUGUUGCUCAUCCACAUGUAUUGCAACAGGUCUUUCUAGAGGUAACUUGGGUGAGGAAAAAACUUUGUGCCACGAAAAUAAGAGGCUGGAGUUUUAUUUUGCUUUAGAUUCUUCCCUUAAUUCCAACCUUGGUUUGUUUUCAAUUCUUUGGUCUUUCUUUUCAUUAGUCUAUGAUUUUUGUUGGCUUCUUGCUUUGUGUAAGGUUGUACGAGGAUUUUCCUUUUUUAAAAAAAAAUCAUCUUGUGUUUGGGAACACAGCUUUGUACCUUUGGAGAUGAUAGAAAGCUUUGAUUUUGAAGACAACACUUUUUCUUUAAGUUUUUUGGACUUGGGUUUCCCUGAAAAAUGUCUUCUUUUUGCUUGUUUGUUUGUUUUGGUCAUACAUAUAUGUUACAGCAGGUCUUGUUUGUGGCUUGCACAUUGGUUGCUUAUGUUUAUUGAUGAUAGCUUUUAUUGUCUUUUUUCUUUUCAUUUGUAAUUCACAACAAUAGAGUGGGUUUGAUUAUCUUGGUUUGGAAUUGACAUGAAAAAAAGAGAGAAACUUACAUUCUCUACUUUAGAUGGCUUGAGCAUUGUUCGCUAGAAUAAUAGAAUGGGUUUAAUUAUCUUGGUCUGAAAUUGGCAGGAAAAAAAGAAAAGGAACUUGCAUUGUUUGCUUUAGAUGGCUUGAUUAUUGUUCGCUAGAACAACAGAUUGGGUCUGAUUAUCUUGGUCUGGAAUUGGCAGGAGAAAAAAACAGAAACUUGCAUUGUCUGCUUUAGAUGGCUUGAACAUUGCUUGCUAGAUGUUCAUUAAUUUCUCUUUUUGCAAUGAACUCUUGCAUAGUUGACAGAUCAUGCUACAUUAUUCACGCUAUUAUUGUUCUUUAUUGAACUACCAAGAUUAUUGGUUGGAUAAUAGCCACUGUGAUUAGAGAAACUGAAAUAAUUUAUAGUCUGCAAGUCUAUAUAUUCAUUACGGCAGUCAUGUUUUUAUCCAAACAUUGCCAAGAGUCAAGACCAAAGUUAAUCAAUAACAAAAAGAUGGAAAAAAACCCCGAAGAUAAAAGUGACAAAAUUCAUAAAACUCAAACGCCAAUAAUAUAAUUAAUGUCAAAUGAUAAGAUUACAAAAAUCAAUUAAAGAAAAAAAUAAAUCAACCUAUGUUAACUUAACUUAUCCACGACCUGAGAUAUGAAGUAGAAAUAAUCAUACAAAAAAAAAAAACCAGAACAAAUAACAAAGUUUAAAGCCUCAAGGUUGAUGAUAAAAAAAAAAUUUAAUUUUAAAAAAGAACUUAAAAAAAAAUACCAAACUUAAAACGAGUUGAUAUUCAAAAUUGGUAUGGUGAGUUAUGAGACCAGGAUUAGUGUAUUCAUACAGUUUUGACCUGUCUUUUUUUAUUGUUUUUUUUGUUUAUUUUUUUAUUCAAUGUUGGAUAUGACUUUUUUGUUAUUUUUUAUCGAAGCAUAUGGUUGUUUCAUAAAAAAAAAAAAAAACUAUAGGAAACAUAGUUGUUAAAACACAACGAAGCACAUGACCUAUGUCAUGAUAUCAAAUAUCUUAAUCUUAGUUAUCUAUUUAUCAAAUAUUGAUCUAGUUACUAAAUACAUGUAUAGGCAUUUUGAUUUGUGAUUGAAAAAAAAAACUUAUAUUAAAAAGCACAUUAUAAGAGUCUGCUUAUUUUUUUUACUUAAAAAAAUAAUCACCCUGCUGCAAACCGCCAAUAUGAAACUAGUUACUUAUAAUAUAAAAUAUGUGGGGUGAACAUUGUGUAGCCACUCACUUCACCACCUCCUGUUUUAUAGUGGACACAAUGGUCACUGGUUUUUUAUUAGGUUUUGCUAUAAAUUUAAAGGGAAAAUAUGUAAGGUGAACAAUAUACAACCAUAUUGUUCAUCCCCUCAUGUUUGAUGUGCUAAGGAUAUAAAACCAAGUAAUUGUUUCUUCCUUUAGACUAAGAGUCAAUGCGUAGCAGAAUGAGCCUUCCUUCUCUCAUUCUGAUCAAUCAUCUUAGAGAGCCUAUGUUCUUGCCUUGAUCAAGAAUCCUAUCUUAGUUAUUCAACACGUAUAAAGAAAUUUUCCAAAAUCAUUUCUUGACAUACACAUCUUAGUUAUUCAACAGGUUUAGUGGGUUAAUCCAGUUGAAUUAUUUUUAUUUUUUAAUUAAUUUCUUAUUAUUAUUCAAUAUUAGAUUGAUUAAGAAUUAGAUUUCAUAAUUUUUUUAAUUUGCUUUCUAUCAAGAUUCUCCUAAUAUAUUGUUAUAUCUCAAGUUAAAAUUAUGGGGCAAUUGGAGUUUAGAAAGGCCUUACAAGACUGCUAGUGACAUUUUCAUAAUUUUGUUUUGAAAGGUUAUUUUUUGUGUUUUUUUUAGAUUUUUUUCUUCAAUUUAACCAUUCAAUAAUAGGUUUAUUAAGAAUUGAGAUUUAGAAUUUGUUUUGAUUUGCUUUAUUUUGAGUUAUUAUGGUCUCAUAACCUAGAUUAUGGAUUUAGAACGUUAACUUGAGUUGAUCCGGGUCGAUCCAAUAAGUUGUCAUCUCAGUAUUGUUUUUGAAAAUAUGUCAUUUUAAAAUUUUUUUAGUCAAACUCUAUUCUUACUAGUUGUUGUCUUUGGACCCAUAAGUCGAUCGGGUCAUAUCGGUUCAACUCUCACUUUUUUACUUGUGUUUGAAAUUUAAAUUGCAUAAUUUCAAGUUAGUUUAUAUUUAAAUUUGAAUUGAACUUAUGUUUAUUGAGUUUAAUCUUGAAUAUAUAUAUAUAUAUAUAUAUAUAUAUAUAUAUAUAUAGUAUAAUCUUGAAAUAGCACGCUGAAAUGCUCUGAAACCAAAAUAUACAGUUUGAAUUAAAAAAUAAAACACUAUCCGGAACGAGAUUGAUAACCUGACGUGAUAUGUUUAAAAUGAGCAUCAUCGAAUCAUCUAGAGCAACCGUGUACAUAACAAGGGCGUCCCCUUCUCCGUCCAGAGAUUAGGCACUGAAUCUUUCGUUACAGUUAGAGUAGGCGAAGCUUGUCAAUCUUACAAAGGUGGUAGAAUUUGAGGAUUUUUAUUGUUCUGUCUCAUUUUUUGAAUGAAACUGUACUAUCUUACAUAAAAUUUAAAACAACGCUGAGAAUUCUCUGUUAUUAUUACUUGCUUAAAUGGAAGGAGUAUGGAGAUUUGAAAUUACAAUGAUUGUUACAAACCAAACUUUUAAAACCGACAAUUGUUCGUUCCUUCCAUUAAGCCCACGUGAUUCAGAUGGGAUGCAAUCAAUCCAGUUUACACCCAAAGGUGGAGCCUUUCUCUUUCAAUGGUAUAAGUCUUCAGCGGGUGGAGGAUGAACGUGAGGUGGAAUCACCAGGUUCACUGGAUUCAGAAAAGGGAAUCUUCGUUAUAUCAUAACUUACAGUUCUGCUGCAACUGCAGAAUGUAUUGUUGAAGAUGAGGUGCAGAGGAUGUUGUUUGCUGGGCAGGCUUUGGGAAUGCUGAGGACUAGACAGUUUUGACAGCAGACAUUAGAAGCCAGGUGGAUAUAUAAGAAGAUUGCAGAUCGGAAUGCAGCCCAAUAAUUCCAUUUUGCAGUAUAACUUGGUAAGGUUUAAAAUCAUUUAUCAAUGAAGAUUUUAUUCUGGAAUAGUUGUGGGUUGGGUAUGUCUGCUAAGAGGGCCUCUGUUAGGAAUACAAUAACGCAUAGUGAUAUUGAAGUGUGUUUUUUGGAUAAAAUAUUACGUGUUGAAUGUCACGUAUAAUGGGGCAAGGAAUUAUGAACCUGGAGAGGAAAAACAUCUUGAAAUUCUUUCAAAACCACACUUAUUUCUUCAAGUGCUUUCUCUGAAACUUUCUUAGCCACUAAAGCAAAUGAAACAAACUGUUCAUGAACCUGAUUCUCAAAAUCAUUUGGGCUUAUAAGAUUAAGUCCUUUUCCUUUCAUUUAUUGGAGUUACAUCACACUCUCAUCAUGGUAAAUUGAGAAAUUAAUAGGAAAAAUAUAUAUCUUUUUUUGACCCAUGAUUUUUAUCAAUAAUGUAGUCUAUACCCAGCACUUUCUGUUUUUUUUUGGAGGAACCACCGAUGACCAAGCGGUUACAAGUUUAAAUUUCACCAUCCUUAUUUAUUAGCUCUUUGAGAAUUUUAGAGUUAUCCAACAAUCAAUUGUCCACAAUAAAACUAGAACAACUAAAAACAAUAUGGUUUCUCAAGCUGUCAAACAACAAUUUGGAUGGGCAUUUACCGACCUCGGUGUUCAAUUCUUCUAUCUUAGAAUAUCUCUACCUAGGUGGUAACAAUCUUUGGGGUCAGAUAUCAUAUUUUCCAUUAAAUGAGUGGAAAGUGUGUACUGUAUUGGAUUUGAGCAACAAUCAAUUUUCAGGCAUGCUUCCAAGGUGGUUUGUCAAUUCUACAAGCCUUGGCGCAAUUGAUUUGUCCAAAAACUAUUUUAAGGGUAUGAUCCCAAGAGACUUUUAUAAGCUUGACCAACUUUUAUAUUUCAACCUUUCUGAGAACAACUUGUUUGGAUAUAUAUCAUCUUGUUUCAGUUCACCAUCUCUAAUCCAUGUGCAUCUAUCCAAAAAUAGAUUGAGCGGUCCAUUAACAUAUGGAUUUUAUAACAACUCUUUCCUAGUUAUGAUGGAUCUUCAAAAUAAUAGCUUCAUUGACUCCAUUCCAAAUUGGUUUGGCAAUCUUUGAUGGUGAGCUACUUGUUCAGUUAUGCGUGUUAGAAGAAUUAAGCAUUUUGGAUGUUUCACAAAACCAGCUCUCUAGCCUACCACCCUCUUGUUUGGGCAAUCUUACUUUUAAGGAAAGUUUCUGGAAAACGUUCACGCUUCUCGGAGUUCUUUCUCUAUCAAGGUCCAUAGAAAAAGCUUAUUAUGAAACAAUGGAUCCACCACUAGUGGAUAGUAUUUACAGCUUGGAAGAGGGUUUUCUGCUUGACUUCACAAAAAAGUGAUAGAAUUUACAACUAAAAAUAUGUAUUAUGGUUACAAGAGGAAAACUCUCAGCUACAUGUCUAGUAUUGAUCUCUCCAUUAACAACUUUGUAGGAGCAAUCCCACCAGAAUUUGAAAACUUAAGUGAGAUAGUAUCAUUAAACUUAUCACACAAUAAUUUCACUAGAUCUAUCCCUGCAACAUUCUCAAACGUAAAGCAGAUUGAGAGUUUGGAUCUUUCGUAUAACAACUUGAAUGGUAUCAUCCCUCCACAACUUACUGAAAUUACCACACUUGAAGUUUUUAGUGUGGCGUACAAUAACUUGUCAAGUAAGCACCUAAGAGAAAAAAUCAGUUUGGGACCUUCGAUGAUGAAAAUUGUUACGAAGGAAAUCCUUUCUUGUAUGGACCUCCAUUGCGAAACAACUGUAGUGAGGAAGCAGUGCCGUCACAACUAGUGCCUAAUGAUGAACAAGGAGAUGAUGGUUUCAUAGACAUGGACUUUUUCUACAUCAGUUUCGGUGUAUGUUACACAAUUAUGGUGAUGACAAUUGCAACACUUCUUUACAUCAAUCCAUAUUGGCGAUGUAGAUGGUUGUACUUCAUCGAUACUUCCUACUAUUUUGUGGUGGCUAGUUUUCGCAAAUUCUCCAACUUCAGAAGGUGAAUUUGUUACUGGGGAGAUGGUCGUUCCUACUUGCUAUUGGGUGCUUAAUUUGUACUGUACUGUCUCUAAGCUCAGCCUUUCUAUUUGAUUAGUUACUUGGGUUAAAUAUAUAAAGCUUGACUUCUCAUUCCUGAACCAUUAGGAAGGGAACUGAUUUCCUCUGCUUCUUCACCCAUCUCAUUCUAUUUGAUUAGUUACUUGGGUUAAAUAUAUAAAGCUUGACCUCAGCCUUCCUGGCCGUUUCUUUGCUCUGCUACUCAUUUCCUCUGCUUCUUCACCCAUCAUAAUUUUAACAUGAUCUCAAUGCACUCUAAGCCAUUCCUUUAACUCCAGUUUCCUUUUCACCAACUUUUUAAAACAAUCUUCCUCGUCUUCUUGACUCUUUUUGUUUCUUCUAACUACCUGCUGCAAUCUCCUUAAGCUGAGAGGCAGUGAGGUUUGCCAUGCUUCCAAAGCAAAUAUAAACAACUGAAUUUUGGUUUCUUUGAGUCGAGCCACUUCAAACACUCAUGUUGAGCGAUUGAGGCUUCUUUUCUCUUCGUACUUUAUCUUCAAUGUCUCUACUGCAUAGUGAAACCGGGCCUACGUUAAUUCACACCCUCUUUAAUUGACCCAACAAGACUAUAUCCUAACCAUACAGCUUCUUCUUCUACAGAUUCAUGGAUCACUUUAUGCAAAGCAGAGGAAUGAUUUUCUGGAAAAAGAGUGUCUUGGGAACUUACAGUAGAGUUUAUUCGAACUCUUGUCUCAGGACAGUAGCAUAGCUUCUUGAAUCUCUGUUUCUAAUCGAACAGGGGAGCCACGAGAAGCUUGGAGUGUAUAUAUCUUCUGUUAAAUUCCAUGACUAUGUUAAAUUCCUUAUCGUUUGUUAUUUGUGUACUUGUUGCAUUGAUUGUACAGGGAAAUAAAUUUUACGUUGCAUGGUAUUUUCCUUUGUUGUUGUGUUGAUAUGAAAAAAAAUAGAAGAUUGGGAAAAAAAGAAGUUGCAUUAAUAUAAAUAUAAUCCCAAGGAUACAGUUAAAUUUUUAAAGACGCAGCGUGAAUACUAAAACAUAAGAGAGAAGAUGGGGAGGGAAAAAAUACUUUGUCGCCACUGAACCAACGCGAAUAUGGCAACACACGCCAUACCAUCAACUACACCUUCACAUUACACGUUGAACUAUCACACGUCUCCUUGAUAACGUGGUGGCCUAUCAUGCACUGACAUGUGCUAUGCACAUGUCAAUCUUUUUUAUUGAUUUAUUAAUAUUUUAAUACUUUAAAUUACUAAAUCGCUUUUAAAAGCGUAUAAAUAUUACAAAAAAAAGCCAUAUUGCAAGGAUGAAAAUGUUAUCCCAAGCCAACUUUAGAUUUUUUUUAUUCCAAGGUUAACAUGAAAACAUGAAAAAGACUAAAAAAAUACCUCUUGUCAAGGUCAAUAUUUUUGAACUCUCAAUGGUAUUGACGUCAUUUUUCUAUCUAAAUAAAAUAAAAUAGACAAAAAUAAACCCUAACCAAAAGGUCAAAUGUUUUUUUGAUUGCAAGGGCAAUGAUGUAGUUUUAGUGUGCGAAAAAGGAGUAAACCUAUUAAAUUAUCCCCAAUCAAUUUACAAAUAACCUUUAGAUCACUUGAAAAAGAUAAUUUUACCUCGUUAGCAAGUCAAUUGUUUUGUGUAGAGAAGGGCAAAAGAUAAAUAUAUUGUACUAAUCCACGAUAUUUUACCUCACAGUCUAUAAUGAAUCACUUGAAUCAUUGAUCUCUUUUAAGGGGUUUUUUUUUGUAUAUAAUUCUACUUUUUUUUAGUUUAUGUUUAGAUCUUUAGCAUGCAUUUUCAAAUCAAAUCUCUAUUCUCUUGCACAUGUAUAAUUGUUUUUAAAAUAUAUUUUUUUCACAUUUGACAAUGCUUUUGCACUAAAAAAUUUAGGAUUGCCGGUAAUGUGAGCCACUUAUCUAGUUAGGUACUAUAAUAGUGUUUCAUUUUUAUAUGAAUAGUGAAACACUUUAUUUUAAAAAAAAUUCUUUCUUUUUUAUUUGGUUUUGUUUUGUUUUCUUUUUUACAAAUUAGUCCUUAUUUUUUAUUUAAUUCUUUUUUUGGCCUCAUUAUAUAUGAUAAAGCUUUCAAUUUAAUUAGAAAUAAACUACUAUACUAAAAAAUUAUGCUUCUCUUUAUAUAUAUUUUUUGUUUUUUUAAGUAGUCCUUAUAUUUUUUUUGCUUCUUGAUUUAGUGUUUUUUUCAUUUUAUUUCCUUUCUUAUUUUUACAAAUCGGUCUUUAGACAUUUUCUUCCCUUUUUUAUUUAACUUUUUUUGGGUCUAAUUGUAUAUGAGAUAAAGAUUUUAAUUUAAUUAAAAAAUUAUUUAUUAUACUAAAAAAGUUAGGGUUUUCCCUCCUACUUCACUAUUCAUAUCCUCUUUUUUUUUUAAAAAAAUAAUAAUCUAUCUUCUAAUUUUUUUCUUCUUUUGAUUGAAUGAUUUUUGUUGUUUUUUCUUUCAAUUUCACUUUAAUAUUUUGUUGAUUUUGAAUUGCUCAUCUUAAUUUUUUUUUGUUUCCUUUAUAUGUAAUUAUCGCGGUCUCAAAUAGACAUCUUUAAAUUUGUUUAGUGCUUAAUUUUGUAAGUGUCUAUUUUAAUUCUCACAUCAUUAUAUUAAAAAUAGUUUUUAAAUCCAAUAGAGUUCAUGAUCUACGUUGUGCAUUUGACGAGUUAAACUGCGAAGCUCGAGUUGAUCUAGUAUAUCAUCAUAUCAAUAUUAAAAAAAAAAAAGAUAUCAUCUUGAUUUUCUUUCUUAAAAUUCAAACCAUGUUUGUAUUGAUCAUUUGAGUUGCCUUAAUUUGCACAUGUCAAGCCAACUAGGUCAUGUACAGACAACUCCCUUGCGAAUUAAUUUUAAACCUAUGUUAGAUAAGAAGUCAAGUCGAGAGGUUUCAAGGUUGUCAAUGAGAUCACGUUUAAUAACAAUGUCAUAUUGUUCCUUUGUUUUUAAACUCUACCUUCCAUUUUUUUUAUUUCUUUCAAUUGAAUCCUUUUUGACUUUUUUUUAUUCCAUCCUUUAAUAUUUUUUUGAUUUUGAAUUAGUCUUGUUUCGGUUUGCUUUCUAUGAUAUUAUUGCAGCCUCAAACAAAUGUCAUAACAUUUGGUUGGUAUUUAAUUUUAUGAGCAUCUAUUUUUGUUAUCAUAUCAUUAAGCAAAAAAUAAUUAAAAAAAUUAAAGUUGUUAAACUAGGUGGAGUCCAUUAUUUAGGCCGUGGGUUUGGAGAGUUAAGUCACGAAACUAGAAUCAAUUUAGUGGGUUUGGAGAGUUAAGUCACGAAACUAGAAUCAAUUUAAUAUGUCAUCAUAUCAAUGUUAAAAAAAGAUGUCAUUUUAAAAUUUUAGUUUGGACCUACCAUGUUGACUUGAUCGUAUUAAAAUAACUUUCACAUUAGUUAAUUUUAAACUUGAUAUAGAUAAAGAAUUAAAUCAGAAGAAUUUAAAAUUAAUCCACUAGAUCCAGUUAGUUUCUUAAGCCUAGAUGAUUUUUUCAUGUUGGGCAAAACAUAAACUAGUUCCUUCCAAAAUAAACACUCACGCAUAUGAUUAUAAAAAUUUGAGUAAAAUUUUAUAUAACCAAUGUCUGUUUUUCGUGAAACAAACAAGUUAAUCCUUCAAGUUUUUUAAAUAAUUAAUUGAUUCUUUAAUCACAUUUUACCGUCAAGUUAAUUAGUGGAACAAGCUAUGGGUGUUGUAUAUCACUACUAAUUUUCUUUCCCUUAAUUUUCUCUUUUCCUUAAUGGGUGUUGCAGGCUUCUUUCUCUGAAUGUUAAAUGCUUUCUCUAAUCAUCUAUAUUCUACAGCCCAGCAUUUUGUUAUAGUUGUUGUUGCUGUGGAUAAAAGUGCAUUUAUUUUCUUUUAACUUUUUAAACAAUUCAGUUAGUUUUUUGUUAUAGUUGUUGUUGCUGUGUAGUUUCAUGAAUUUUUGUCGUUUGGUAUCAUCUUUCUAAUUUUACUAUUAGUUAAUGGAUAUUAAUUCGACCUCUUGUUCGUUUUUAAUAUUGUUGUUUGGCUCACUUGUAUAUUCUUUUUAUAGAUUUUUUGCUUGACUUAAUAUUAAUUAAGUAUGCAUCCAAUUUGCAAAAAUAGAUACAUACACCACUUUUAUUAAUUAAUAAGACUGAUUACAUUAAUUCUUGAACUUGUUUUAUUUAAAUAAAUAAAUAGAAUUAUGAUAGUUCAUAAUUUGAUGAUUAGAUAAUAUUCAUAUAUUCAGAAUACACGACGCAUGUAUUGAGUUUAAUGUUUUUGAAAAAGAAAUUUUUUAAUUGAUUAAUGUAUAAGUAUAUAAAUUUAUUUACUAAAUAAUAUUUUGAUUAAUUAAUAAAUUUCAUGGUCUAAAUGAUAUUAAUUAAAAAAAAAAAACUAAGAGCGCUCAUUAAAACACGGUGCUCUGUAUGUGAAUCCUAUGGAUUCACAGUGGCCCCUCUUCUGUUUUUCGCGUUUCUUCUGCCAGUGGAUGUUCCCUUGCGCGCUUUCUUCCUCCAUUUUUCUAGAAGCACUUUAUUUUUUAAAAAUUAAAUUGUUUUUCUUUUUAAUUUGUUCCUGUUCUUUAUUUUAUUUUCUCUUACAAAUAAGUCCUUAUUUUUUCAUUUAAUUCUUUUUUGGCCUAAUUAUAUGGGAUAAAGUUUUCAAUUUAAAUAGAAAUAAACUACUAUUUAAAAAAAAGUUAUGCUUCCCAACCUCCUCCACUCUCUCUUUUUUCACCAUCCAUAUCCUCUCUUUUUUAAAAAAUAAAUAAAUUAUAUCUUCUAAUAUUUUCUUCUUUUAAUCUAAUUUCUCUCAUUGGAUAAGAAUUUCAGUUAAAUAAAUGAAAGCGCAGACGUAAAUUUUAAAAUAAAAACACGAUAGAAAGGAAGCACCUGUGGAGAUUUGAAGCCUUAUUGGUUGAGGUGGCGGCGGAGGCGGGCGGUUUCGAGAGCGGAGGAAGGAAAGAGAAAGAUCUCAGGUGGGGAGAGGUAAGGAAUGUCGGACCAAAGUGAACAGUGCUUGACAGAUGACUUUAUUCUUUUCCAGAUUCGGUAACAAACUAAAAGAAGUGUUUUAUAGUGCUGCUUCACUGUUCAUAACUGACAAACUAAAACUGAAAGAAAUAUAUAUAUAUAUAUAUAUAAAACUAAGAGUGCUCAUUAAAACACGGUGCACUGUGUGUGAGUCCUGUGGCUUCACCGUCUUUACAGCGCUCCCUCUCUGUUUUUCGCGUUUCUUUUCGCGCGGUGGGUGUUCCCGCGCUUUCUUUUAGUUAGGUGAAUUCAUAACUAAAACGUUUAUUAAAAUCACUAAAAUAACUAAUAGUUUAUUAGUUUGGAUGUUUUUAGUAAUGCUGAAAUUAUAGAGAAUUGAUCAUUAAGUUGAUUUUUUAAUAUGCGUAGAAAUCAAAUCAUUAUAAAUUUAAUAAAUUAUUUAAAGUGUUCCAAUGGAAAGAAAAUGGGUGUUGUGAAUUUGAGUCUGCAUUUUUCUCUACUUUUUUUUGGUUUUUUUCGUUUGUCCCUUCCUGAAAAUUUACGCUCAGUUUUUGCCUUCUACCUGCUGCUUAGUUUAGGGUAUAAAAUUUCCUUGUCUCUUCGGAAGAUGCCUUACUCUUUGUUGACUGUCUUUCUGUUUUUAGUUGCAUCGUUAGGCUAUGUGUGUGUUUAUUGAGGCUUUGGCUGCCUUUUUUGCUAUAGUUAUGAGGUUUCUUGGGCAUAGUCUUUUGGUUAGCUUCAGCCCUCUAUUAUCCAUUCUUUAUAGAGGUGGUGUUGUCUUUGUUUCGCACAGGGUGGCAUGUGUCUUGCAAGGAAGUUUACUUGGUUUUCUUUACAUGUGUUUCUUGCAUGCUACGUGUUGGCAGAAGUCUUCUGAGAGAUCGACCUUUUUUCUUCAAUUGUUUUGGUUAGGCUGGGUGCUUGAUUUGUGUUAGGGUGUUAAAGUAUUUUCCCUUUCUUUAUAAGAAAAAUAUAUUUCUUUUGUGCUUGGGAACACAUCUUUGUAGCUGUAGAGAUGAUAGGAAAGCUUUGCUUUUAAAGGCAACAUUGUCUUUAUGGUUUUUUCGACAUGGGUUUCCUUAAAAAAGUUUUAGUUUUUGCAUGUUUAUUUAUGUUGCUUAUCCAUAUAUAUAUAUAUACUACAACAAGUUUUUAUGGAGGUAACUUGGGGGAAGAAAAUACUUUGUGCCACGAAAAUAAGAGGUUGGAGUUUUAUUUUGCUUUAGAUUCUUCCCUUAAUUCCAGCCUUUGGGCCUGAAUCUUCAUGGUGCUUCUAAAACCAAGGAAGCAAAAAACUAGCCAGCUAGUUCACAACUUGCACUACUAAAAACAGGGGUCAUUUGCAUCAGAAUUUAGCAACGGAUAAUUCCGUUGCUAAAUUCAGUAACGGAUUUGCAACGGAUUACACAUGUAUUAUUUUUUUAAUAUUAGCAACGGACUUUAGCAACGGAUAAUCCGUUGCAAAAUUUACGUUGAAUUUAGCAACGGAUUUUCCGUUGCUAAUUGAAAAAAAAAAGUUAAUAUAAAAUUAAAAUUAUAUAGACCGUUGAUUACAUUAAAUCCGGACCGUUUAUUUCAAUAUCUCGAUCCCCGCCCCACACCGAAAUACAAAUCCAAUUAACAAAACCAAAAUGUACAUUCACUCUUACUCUUCCAACAGAUCCUUCGUUCGAACAAAAUCAUCGAUCCAUCACCCUCAUCAAAAAUCACCAUAACUGUUCAACAGAUCCGAAACUGUUCAUCAUCUUCUCCUUCGUGUUCAUCAUCUCCUUCGUGUUCAUCAUCUUCUUCUCCUUCAUUUUAAACCAACAAAAACAGAGACCCAUGACAACAUCGCACCAGACCCAUCAUCAUCACCAUCGAACAUCCUGUUUUGCCCCUUCUCUGUAAACGGGUUAGGUUUUGCACUGUUUUCUUCAAUAGCUCAGGUAAUUAAUUUAUGGUUUUUGUUUUCUUUGUUGCAAUUUAAGUUACACUAAACAGUUCUAACCUAACUUUCCCAAUCUCAGGUGUGAUUCUGUUGUGUUGAUCCAUCUCCCUCACCCAUCUCCCUCACCUGUAACCGAAGAACACAGGUAAGAAUUUUUUUUCCCGAAACUUUGAAUAAUGGUUUUAGGCUAUUAAUUCGAUAAUAUAAUGUUUAUGAUAUGUUUUUACCAUGAUUUAUAACAUAAUGAUGCACGUUUAAAUGUAAAUUUAUGAAAACCCCCAAAUUAAUUUUUAGGGUUACGGUUCAUAAAUUGAAUGAUUUUAUUCAACCUGACCAAUGCUGGCAAUUCUUGUGUCUGGAAGAGAGUGAUUGAUGGAAAUUAUGCAUGUUUAAUUGAAAAUUUAUCAAAACCCCCAAUUUAAUUUUUAACAAUUAGUAUUAUUGAUGCUGUGUGUUCUUUGAUGUCUGCAAAUUGUCCUCCUGUGCACCGAAACCUAGGUGUUUUGAAUGUAUUAUAUGCUUAUAUAUAUAUAAGGAAACUUGAUUGUUGUUGUUGUGUUUCGUUAAUAAGAUUGCUGUUUUAUUUUUGUUUCUUCAUUAAUUAUUUUUUUUCUUGCUGUUUUACUUGUUAUAUAUAUAAUUAGCAGAAUUGUGUAGUGAAAGAGGUUAGAAUUCAUGGUUGCCUCCUCCUUGCAUGGUGAUAAGUUAAUUUCCCACAUUAGCUAUAUAUGUUGUCUGUUUUCAUUUGAUUGUCCUGUCUUGAGGUCAGCAUGCAUGAUUUGGAAAUUAACUAUUAGUCUCUUGGAUGAGGAUUUGUUUUUGUAUUAAAGAGUUCUACAGCUCUUUUGGCUUUUUUUAUAGUUACUAUGUUGCAUGAACUAAGUAGCAAAUUUUUUGGAGCCAACUUGUGUAAUUGCAGAAACAAUCGCAUGUUUUUAGCAUGUUUGUAUGUAAUGAUACAUGUAAAAUGCACCAGCAUUGUGCAAUGGUUCAUUUUUUAGUCAUUUCUGUGUGAAUUAAGCAAAUUGAUGCUGAAAAUCUUUGCUUGCUUAGCCAUUAUCAGUGGAUAUAGGAUCAGUUAACAAACUACAAGCAAUCGCAUGGGCUUGUUAGAAUUAUUUGUGGAAAAGGCUAGGGUCAAGUGCUGUGAGGUCACUGGACUUGACCCUUUAAAUUGUGAAAUUGGAAAUAUUAGACACUCUUUUGCUGUUUUCGGUUCACAAGGUUGAUGUUUACACUGUGAAGUCAGUUCUAGCAAAGCACUAAUUAGUAUAGAUCCAUUUCCAAUCACACAAAGGAUAAAGGAUUAGAGAGCAAAGCACUAAUUUGUUUUAAAGACUAGCAAUUGUUAUAACUUGAUGGGUGUAACAUACUGUUUAUGUUUUUUAUUUUUCCAGCAAUAUGAAUGGCUUAUUGGAUCACAACAUAAUCAAAUAGAGUUGGCUAAAUCUGAUUGGGUUGCAAUAAGAAAACCUCCACCUUGUGCCAUUGAUUUUUGGGGCUUUGGUAAGUCUAUUUUGCUCCAUUUUUACAUGGUUGCUUAAUUAUAUGGUGCGUAUUUUUUCUGUUGGGCAUGCAUAUUGUAAUCCUUUGAAGUAGUUGGAACUUUGCCUUUCAUUGGGAUAAUAUUGACAGUUUGUAUAAGAAAACUAAUGGAAUGAUUUUCUUUCAUUAAAUGUGAUCUUGAGUACACAUUUAGGUUACAUUACAAUGAUGGACAAGUUGAUUCCUUUUACUAUAUGCACAACAUAAUUGAUAAAAUAAGAAAAAGAAACCCCAGCAGUAAAAAGAGCUUGAAAUCUAUUGAAUUUGAUAUUGAAUUCUGUUGAUCGGAUUUUGAGGGAGAGAUGGGAGAAAUGGGUGAGAGAUAUUGAUGUUUGAAAGAAAUGUUUAAAUUGUUAUUCAACACUUUGGAAAAUGCAAAACCACUUUUAGGUGUUUUAUGGAAAAGUAAGUAUUCUUUAAAUUCGGUGAUUGCAAUUAUAAUUACGCGUGGAAAACAUGUAUACACACGCAAAUUAAAUAAUGUCGUGUAAUUUUUUAUUGAAAUUAUAUUAAAAUAAAUUUUUUAAUUUUUUUAACAUUGUUAUAUUAAAAUUAUUUAAAAAUAUAAAAAAAUUAAUUUGAUAUUUUUUAAAAAAUAUGUCAUAAUACAAAAACAAAUUCUCAUCCAAGAGACUAAUAGUUAAUAUACAUGUUUAACUAUAAACUUUGAUUACACAACAAAAUAUAAAUAAUAAGUAUUUCAUAGAAAGAGGUUUAACAUAAAUAUAUUAACACCUCCAUUACCUUAACCAUAAAUAUUAACAAUAAUUAUUGCUCGUCCGUGUAGAACUUGUAAUCAACUAAAUUGGAUUGUGCCUAAAGAAUUUAUAAAACAAAUGUAUUUAUAUUUUCAUCCACCAAUAUUAUAAUUAUUAUUUAACUACGACAUAAAAGAUAUAUACAAUGUAUAUGACAAGAGACAAAGAUACAAAUGUGAGUAACUAUUGUAACCCAUAAUAAAUUAUGUUUUUUUUUAUAUUGCAUUUUAAUCUUUUUUUAAGAAAAUUAAAAAAAUUCUUUAAUCUUGUAUUACCUCGCAUGUUUAUGAUUUCAUUUACCAUUUCUUAGUUGAGCAAAAAAAUAUCCGAAUAAAAAAGAAAAAGUUUGAUGAAUCCAAUAAAAAUAAAAGGAUCCAAAUUAAAAAAAAAAAAAAAACUAUUUGAGGUGGUAACAAAAGUUAGAAGGACCAAUAAAAAAAAUGAACUCUAAAACUAUUAUAAAGAUAAAUUUAUUUAAAAUUUGUUCAACUAAAUAUUUUUUUUUCUUUAUCCAUUUAUUCUGUAUAAAAUAUUAACCGAACAUAAUCUAAAAGUCUACUUUUGUCACUAGUUAGAAAAUAUAAAUGAAAAUAUAAAAUACUAACCGAACAUAUUUUAUUUUAAAAGAUUGUUUAAGUUUUAGUAGUUAAAGAAGUAUGCUUAUUUCAAAAAAUGCUUAUUGGUGUUGUCAUGUUAAUUAGAUUAAUAUGGAUGAUCGAUCGUGGAUGUAUCGUCGUCUUAUGGAUGGUCGCCUUCGUCCUGAAUACAUUACGGGUGUUAGAAGAUUUAUCAAUUUUGCAUUUUCAAUUGAUAAAAAUAUAUCUGGGGGGAAAAUUAGAUGUCCUUGUGUGAGGUGCAAAAAUCAAAAGUUUUUAAAGGAAGAUGAUGUUUGUAAACAUCUAUUGACAAAAGGUUUUUUACCUUGUUAUGAAAAUUGGACUGUACAUGGGGAGCCUUAUGUCGCAGAACCAAUAUUGGCUGGACCUUCAUCGAUUGGAAUGAGUCAUGUUGUGAAUGAUGUUUGUCUAGAGAAUCCAUAUAGGAAUCUGGUUAUGGAUGCAAUGGGGGUUGGUGAUGCAUUCUACAAUGAUAAUGUGUCUAGUCCUGUGGUAGCAGGGGAAAUUCCAAACCCGGAGGCAACUAAAUUUUUUAAGCUUUUGAAAGCUGCGGAGGAGCCGUUGUGGGAUGGGUGUACCAAGCAAUCCAAAUUAUCUGCUUGUGUACAAUUGCUUAAUAUGAAGUCAACUUUAAAUUUGACUCAGAAUGCCUUCAACAAUUUUAUUGACUUUACAAAAAGUUGCAUGCCUAAUGAUGAAAAUUUGGUUUCAAAUUUUUAUGAUGCCAAGAAAUUUAUGCGGCCACUUGGACUUGGUUAUGAGAAAUAUGAUGUGUGUCCUAAUUACUGUAUGUUGUACUAUGGGGCAGAUGCAAUGAAAAUAAAUUGUGAUUUUUGUGGAAGUUCACGAUACAAACCUAGAAAUCCAACUAGUAAAGGUUCCAAUAAGGCGGAGAAGCAACUCCGAUACUUUCCCUUGACACCAAGGCUUCAGAGACUGUUCAUGUCUCCAUAUCAUGCCAAAGAUAUGACAUGGCAUCAUUUUCAUAAUUCUGAUAAUGGGGUUAUGGUGCACCCAUCUGAUGGGGAGGCAUGGAAGGAGUUUAAUCGUGUCCACUUAAGCUUUGCAUCAGAUCCGAGAAAUAUUCGGUUAGGGUUGUGCACUGAUGGGUUUUGUCCAUUUGACAUGUCUUCAAAUACAUACUCUUGUUGGCCAGUAAUUGUGACUGUUUAUAAUUUGCCUCCGUGGAAGUGCAUGACUAGACCAUUCAUGUUUUUGACAAUGAUGAUUCCUGGGCCAAAGAAUCCGGGUAAAAAGCUUGAUGUUUUCCUAAGACCUUUGAUUGAUGAGUUAAAGAAUUUGUGGUAUGUUGGUGUUGAAACAUAUGAUGUAUAUAGAAAGGAAAAUUUUCAAUUAAGGGCAGCUUUAAUGUGGACCAUUAGUGACUUUCCAGCAUAUGGCAUGUUAUCGGGGUGGAGUACUCAUGGAAAUCUGUCUUGUCCUUAUUGUAUGGAGCAUAGCAAGGCUUUUAGAUUAAAAAAUGGAGGGAAAACUACAUUUUUUGAUUGUCAUCGACGAUUCCUACCCAUGAACCACCCAUAUAGAUUUCAAUCUGAUAAGUUUUUGAAAGGAGUAAUUGAAAGGCUCCCUCCUUUACCUCGUCCAUCUGGUUUGGAAAUGUUGAACGAAGUGUUGAAGUAUACUGAGGGACAUAAUGGAGGGUCAUCAUAUAAUGAUAAAAUUCCUGGCUUUGGUGUUAAGCACAAUUGGGUGAAAAAGAGCAUUUUCUGGGAGCUUCCAUAUUGGCAUACAAAUUUGAUUCGUCAUAAUCUUGAUGUCAUGCAUGUUGAGAAAAAUGUCUUUGACAAUAUUUUUUAUACAGUUAUGGAUUGUCCGAAUAGAAGCAAGGACAAUUUAAAGGCUAGGUUGGAUAUUCAAUUGUAUUGUCAGAAGCCAAAUUUGCAUUUGCAACAAGAUAUGAGUGGUCGGGUUUACAAACCUAAAGGCACUUAUUGUCUACACAAGAAACAACAACAAGAAGUCUUGUCAUGGAUGAAGGAAUUAUCAUUUCCUGAUGGUUAUGCUUCAAGCAUUUCAAGAUGUGUGAAAGAGGCACAAUGUAAGGUUUCGGGGAUGAAGAGCCAUGAUUGCCAUGUCUUCAUUCAAAGACUUCUUCCAACCGCUUUCCGACCUUACUUACCUAGGCCACUGUGGGAGGCAUUAACUGAACUGUCCGUAUUUUUUCGAGAUAUUUGUUCAACAAAUUUAAAUGCCCAGCACAUGGAGUUAAUGCAGAUGAAUAUAAUUGAAAUAAUUUGCAAACUUGAAAGGAUUUUUCCUCCAUCAUUCUUUGACUCCAUGGAACACUUGACGAUACAUCUACCUUACGAGGCAAAAGUUGGUGGACCAGUUCAAUAUCGAUGGAUGUAUCCAUUUGAACGGUAUGUUUUCAUACUAUGUUAAUUUUAUUAACUUUUGAUUUUUAAAAUAAACUAAUUGACAUAAAUGAUAUAGGUAUAUGUUUUAUUUGAAGAAGAAAGUGACCAAUAAAGCUAAAGUUGAGGGUUCCAUAUGUGAAGCAUACUUGAUUGAUGAAAUUACCAAUUUUGCAUCUCAUUAUUUUGGUGAUGACGUGCAAACAAUUUGGAAUCGAGUUCCACGGAAUGAUGAUGGUGGCCUUAGAAGUGUAGAUGGAUGUCUCUCUAUUUUUUCCUAUCCAGGGAAAAAAUUAUCCAAAAGAUUUUAUAAAAGGCAGUUGUCACAUGCUGAAAUGCAAAUUGCGCAUAACUAUGUGAUAUUCAAUUGUCAAGAACUGAAGCCUUAUUUAGUGUAAGUAUGAAAUAUUAUUUUAUACUAAAUUUAUAAUAAUUUGUUAUUAACUUUAACAUUUUAAAAUUUUAGGCAAUGUCGACAAGAGCUAAAGUCACAACAACCACAUGCGAGUGAUGGUGAAAUUGAAAAAUUAUGCGAAACGAUCUUUCCAAAUUGGUUAAAAAAUAAUGUAAGUAUUUUAAUAAAAUCAAUUUAUAUUUUAUGUCAAUUAGCUACUUUAAAAAUAUUAUUAGGGGCUUUUAAAUUAUUAUUUCUUAUGGAGUUAACUAUUAUGCUAGGUGGAAUACCAAUCUAACGGAAUUGAAAAUCAGCUCUUUGGACUUGCUAUGGGCCCUUCAACUUCAGUGAAAUGUUAUAAUGGGUAUUAUGUCAAUGGUUUUAAAUUUCAUACUCAACGUUAUGAUGAUGAUGAACGUGAUUAUUAUGGAAUGCUUAAAGAAGUUGUUCGGCUAAAAUACUUGGGGAGUAAGUGCAAGUUAUUUAUGUUUAAAUGUAGUUGGUAUGAUACAAGACGAGGGAUUAGAGUGCAUCCUUCGAAUGGUUUGGUUGAAAUCAAGCAUACAUCUCGACUACACGGAAAUGAAGAUUUUGUGUUAGCACAACAAUGUCAACAAGUCUACUAUACAUAUCCACCUGGUAAUAAAUCAUCUGAAUGGUGGACGGUUAUUAAGACAACUGCUAGAAGUCGUUAUAAUGUUGAUAUGGGUGAAUUUAUUGAAGAUGCAAACAAUGUGAGAUCAUUUGAUGUCGAUCAAUCAGAUGAGAUUUCUCAACCAUCUCUUGUCCUUCCUACUCAAACACUUGAUGAUCCAAAUAUACUUGUUGAAUCAUCUUAUUAUGAAGAAAUCGGGCAACAUGAAUUGAUUCAACUUGACAUAAAUUGGGGAAACAAAGAUGAUGAAGCAGAAGAAGAAGAAGAAGAAGAUGGUGAUGGUGAUGCUGAAGAAGAAGAAGAAGAAGAAGAAGAAGAAGAUGAUGAUGAUGAGGAUGAUUGUUAUGGUGGUGAUGGUUAGGAGUGAUAAUAAUAAUGAGUAGCACAAGUUAAUUAUAUUUCGUAGUAUAUGUAAUGAAUUAUCUUUAUUAUAUGUAUGGAUGAUUUCAUAUUAUUUGACAAUUUUUAGGCUUUCAAUGUUUUUUUAUUUAUUUAUUUUAUUCAAGUGUGUUAUGCAUCACAUUACAUAAAUCAUUUUCAUUGACCUUUGAAACCAUUUAUAACCUUUCAAGUAUCAAUCUUUAAAUUGUGAUUCUGAUGUUAUAUUUUAUUUUGUGAUUUGUUUUCUUGCUUAUAGGUGCUGAAGCGUGAAAGAAAGGGUUUUUCCUACUAAUUGUUUUGAUUUAUAGGACCAGACAUUAAGGUAAGCAUACUCAUAAAUUUUGAUUAUUGCUUAAUUAAUUAUUUAGAAUUUUUUUUUUAUUGUUUGUGUUAAUUGGCUUAUUACAAUUUAAACUUCAUAGCUGAUUUUUGCAUUGCAAGGAAUGCUUAAUGAAAUUGUCUUGAUGUUAUUUACAUAUUUGGUUUUGUUGCAGUAAUUAUUUUAUUUGAAUUAUAAUAUUUUUCGGAGUGAUGGCUAUUAUUGUUAUGUUGUAUAUAUUCAUAUGAUAAUGUAUAUAUUUUUUCUGGUUUUUAGCAUGCCUCGACGAGGAUCCAUAUUAGAUUCUAGGAGUGACAGGUCCACAUCAAGGAGUGAAAGGUCCACUUCAUCCAAAUCAUUUCAAACUACAUCAAGGCAUAAUAACAAAGGAUCCACAGUUCAUCAACCUGUGUAUCAGAACACAAAUGAGUAUUAUAUACCUACUUUGGGGAGUACACAUCCUCCUCAACAUGAUUAUGGGAGGGUUGAUGGAUAUCAAUAUUGUGAGGGAUUUCGUUUUCAGGAUUUGCUUCAAACUCAAGGAGGUUUCUCUCGAGAAAACCAACUUGUUUAUGGAGGACAUAAUUUAUAUGGGAGUCAUGGGAGAGUUGGUGAUGAUGAUGAUGUGAACAUUAGAGAUGAAGAUGAGGGAGACGGUAGUAAUGUGAGAGGUGUAUGUGAUGAGGAUCAAGAUGGUGUUCCAUCAUAUCACGGUUCAACAUCUUCUCCAUACAAUUAUGAUCACAUUGUUAAAAGGAAGGGUUUUGACACGCCAAUGGAUCCAAUAACAAGAAAAAAAGAGCUUUGUUUGUAUGGAACAACAGAGUAAGUUCAACUUUUUAAUAACUAACUGAUUAAGGUUAUAUUUUUAGGUAUGAAAAAAAUUAUUUAUUAUUGUAUAAUUAUUUGUUUAAUAUAAGUUUAUUAUUAUGUAUUUUCAGGUUCAAUAACGCAUCAUGUGGACGUGUAAUUGGAGAUAUUUUGAGGUCCAAUUUUAAGGGAGCAUGGCAUUUCUUGGGAAAAAGUAGAUUCAAUGUGCAGGGAUGAACUUUUUAGAGAGUUUAAGGUAAGAACCAACACUAAUUGCCAUAAUAUUCUUUUUAAUUUUGAUCGCUUUAAUGUAGCAUUAUGAAAAUUAUCAACUGAAUAGCUAUGACUGAUUUGUGUUAUAAUUUGUUUUUAUUUCUUGUUUACUCUUUAAUAUCAUUUAAUUUCUUUAGUUAUUACAUUAUCUUGCAAAUUAUGAACAAGAUAACACAAUAUGAUUAAUUAUUUAUAUAAUUUGAAAUUUUGUGCACUCUUUUUACUUGAUAUAUAUAUUAUUUGGUAGAAAAAAUAUUCCUUUCCUGAGGAAGAUGAGUCAAUUGUUCGUAAUAUUUGGGAAGAUAAGGCUAGAAUAGCUUUGAAUCAACAAUUGACACGAGCUCGCAAGAAUGCCAUGUCAAAAGAAAACACGACAAAUAUUCUAGAUUGCCUUGAUAAAGGUCCUGCCUGGAUAAACAAUGAUGAUUGGAAUCAAAUGAUCAAAGAUGUUUGGUCCACCCCUGAAUUUCAAAGGAGGUCUGAAUCUGCCAGGAGGAAUCGAUUAUCCCAAACAGAUGGCAAAAUAAGCACUCAUUCUGGAGGAACAGUGUCAUUUGCUUCAUAUCGAGCUAACAUGGUAAGGAUAUUUUUUUUUAUGCUUAAGAUUAUGAAUUAAAAUUUGUAUAUUUAUCUUUUAUAAUAUUUAUUAAUCUUGAAAGCAAGAGGAAGCUGGUGGAAAAGAACCUCCAUGGGAUGAUGUCUUUUCAGCUUUGCAUCAAAGUACGAAGCAGUCUGGUAGCUUUGUCGACAACAAGUCAAAAAAAGUGGUUGUAUGUAUUUUUAUUUGAUUAUUUUUUAAUAUAACUCAAGUAUUAUUUAACAUUCAAAUUAAUUUAUUGUUGCAUGUAUUUUAUUUGUAGGAAAAUUAUAAAAUGGAGAUGAUUUCAAAGUAUGGAACUGAUCGGGAAAAUCAUCCUUCAUUUGAUGGAGCAGCUUGGUGUGUCGCUUCAGGAGGAGUUACAAAGGGUAGGGUAUAUGGUGCACCUCGUAUGCCAAAAUCUAUAGUUAGUACAAGCUCUUCAUCACAUUCCUACUCGGUGGAGUCAUCAUAUCCAAGUUCAUCAUAUCGAGCAUUGCAAGAGGAGAAAAGGAAAAAAGAUGAAGUGAUUUUUGAAAUGAAACGGCAGAUGGAUUCCAUGAAAGAUUAUCUUGUGAACAAUCUUGGAUAUCAUGGCGGGACAUCAAAUAUUGAUCAAGGUAUGCCACCACCUUUGACUCCAUCAAUACCGCCACAUAUGGCUCCUCAGAUAAUGACACCUAUGGGUCCCACAUCUCAACCAAUUUAUCGACCUAUACCCCGACCUUUAUAUCCUGAUCAAUCUUGUGACGAUCCACAAUAUCAUGGUUCGUCUUCGCAACCAGCACCAUGAUUGUAUCUUUUGUUGUUGUUUUUUUUUUGUAUUUGAACUUAAUUGUAUUAAUGCAUGUUUAUUUAAAUUUUUAUAAUAUGAAUAUUAUUUUUAUUCUAUUUUUUAUUAAUUAUAUAAUUAUUGUUAAUAUUAAUUUAUGCUGGUUAUAUAUAUUCUGCAACUUUUAAAAUAUCCAUAAAUUAAUUAAUUAAUUAAAAAUCAUUUUAAUAAAUAAAUAAAACGUAAUUUAAUAAAAAUUUAAUAAUACAAUCACCAACGGAUUCUCCGUUGGUGAUUGUAUCUGAUGCAGGCAUCAGCAACGGAGAAUCCGUUGCUGAUGCAGCGAACCAGCAACGGAUUCUCCGUUGCUGAUUCAGCGAACCAGCAACGGAUAAUCCGUUGCUAGUUUUGCAACGGAUUAUCCGUUGCUAUUUGUAAGCAACGGAUUUAUCCGUUGCAAACAAAUCAGCAACGACAAAUCUGCAUCCGAUUUGUGCCGUUGCUGAUUCCGUUGCUAAAUUACUUUAGCAACGGAUUUUAAUGGUUUUUGCAACGGAAUAGUCCGUUGCUAAUUGCUAUAUUUUUUAGUAGUGUUGCCGCACCAACAGAUGGUGAGUGUUGGUAAACCAAGCCAUAGAGAAACUCAUGGUGCUUCAAUUUUAACUUUUGGGUCAUGUUAGUUUUUAGGAAUUCACUUUUCUAAAAACCAUUUUCCUCACUUUUCUAUGUUUGACAAAUACAUGGAAAGUUAGUCAAUGAAAUUUAAAUUCUGGUCAAAGGAAAAUAUUAACUUAAUAUGAGGAAAGUGUUUUCCCCUUUUUAUUCUUGGAAAACACUUUCCUUUCCUUUUUAAUUUACGGAAACAAAUCACUCCUUCUCUUUUACAAUUGAUCUCUUAAAAAAAUUAGCGUGGCUGUUAAAUCUUCCUUUCUCAUAUCUCAGUGUUGGAAAAAGAAUCAUCUUCAUCUUCAGGUAAUUAUUUUCCUCAAAUAUUUCUAUUAUUAUCUAUCUUUUUUUUUCCCUGUUCUAUAUUAAUUGUGAUUGUGAAAUGUUGUGAGCUUGUUAAUUCUUGGAAAAAAAUCAAAGCAAUUCCAUGCUCUGUUUUGCAUAGGAUCUCAGAUCUUGCGUGUGUUUGAUAAUCUCAUAUCAAUCUUUUAACACUUGUGAUGCAUCAUCGAUGCAAUGUUUACAAUGACAAACUUGCAUUUCUAUUCAUUGUGGUUUUUUUUUGGAAUAAGUCGAUAUAUUGAAAGGGCUAACCAGAAAAUAGCCAAAAAAAAGAUACAUGGAAAAAAAAAAAAAAAGAAUCACAAUAACAAAAAGCAAACACAAAAAGAAAAGAAAAGAAACUCAACAGAUACAUAACCGAAAAAGCAAACACAAACAUGAUAUAUUCAUUGUGGUUUUAGGUUCACAGAUUCUGAUCAAAUAGAUAUUUAAUGUUCCAAAAACAUUGUAUACACAUUUAAAUGCUUUACUUCAAUAGAUAGAUUAGGUUAUCUCUCUACACAUAUUACCAAUUUAGAUUCAGCACAGGACCUUUUUCAGGUGCUUACCACUUUGUACUCGCAAGCAAAUACAUACUCCCCCCUCCCCCCUCCCCCCCUCCCUUCCUGUUCUUGUUAUUUAUGCAUGUAUUAACUUUUCUGAAAGAAUAAAUGUUGAAGGGAGCAAAUAGUGUAAAUAGAACGAGGAGAAUACAGAAAGAAUAAAGAAAAAGAAGAAAACAAAACAAAGUCAUAAAAAAAGGCUUUUCAAUCCCCGAUGAAUAUCAGCAGUCUAAAUACCCCAGCAAAUAGAACAUGAAGAGGCCACAAACAAUAACCCAUCCCAAAGAGAUUGUCUAGGAUGUUUUAAGCUAGGAAAAUGAAGAAGAAAACGACGAGCAUUAACAAUGAAUAUUUCAUGUUAUCAUCAACUCUAAAGAGCAGACUGAUAAAAAUCAACUUAACAACUCUUGUUGAAAUAAGAUUAAAUUUACAGGCUGACCAUGCUCGACCUUGAGGUGAGUUAUAAAAUGUUCUUCCUAACUAGAUGCACAGCUACGCCUUUGGGGUGAAGUGAACUAAGUCAUUUGUUUUACACUUCCACAUGCUCUCAAGCUUUCACCUCAUACUCAAGACCAGCUGAGCAGUCCUAAAAAGAAAGAUAUAUCAUGUAGGGUCAUCAAGGCAGACCUGUUAUUUUUAUUUUUUUCGCGUUAACGUCAUGACCAAAUUAUAAAAUUUAAACUUCUUUUCUUUCUUUCUUUUUUCCAUGUGUGAGCGAGCAUAAAACCCAAGGAAAUCGAUUUGUUGUUAAAAACACAAUAAUUUUGAAGAAUUUGGUAAAUUCCAAAAAAGAAGAAUCAACCAAACAGCUCAUUUUUCGGCCAUUCCGGCAGUAAUAUCUCUCCCACUCCAGCUGCUGCAUAAACUAAUUAACAAAUUAUCGAUCGAGCCUAAAAGAUUUGAAUUGAUUUCUAUUCUCAACUUUAAAAUAAAACUAAAAAAUAAAAUAAAAUAAAUUUGGGUUCAAGAAUUCACGGCUUGAUUAUUACAACAAUAACUGUGUGAAAAAUCGGAUAAUAUCAUGUAAAUUGGGGGGGGGGGGUUGAAAAAGAAAUAUUAGAAUCGGCUGAUUGUGCGUUUCUUCGAGCAGCGAUUUCAUCGGAUCCGAUUAUAUAUUUUUUUAAUUUACUUAUUAAAAUCGAAUUGCGUUCACUAGCAGAGAUUUCAUCGGAUCGAUUAUUUGUUUUUUUUUUAAUUUAAUUAUUAAAAUAGAAUUUCUGUCUCUCAAUAAUAAUUACAAUAAAAUAAAUGAAAACACCCAUAAAUUUUAAAAACAAAAGCAUGAUAGAAAAGGAAGCACCUGGCAGAAAUCUGAAGCCUUAUUGGAUGUGGCGGUUUCCGAGAGGCGGAAGAGGGAGGGAGGAAUGUUGUCCCAAAGUGAAAUAGAUGACUUUGGCCUUAUUUGUUUGUUAGAAAGUAGUUUCUUUUUAGAAAGUGAAUUUUAGGGAAAGUGAAUUCCAGGAAAGUUUUUUUCGAUGUUUGGUAGUAUAAUAAAAAAUAAAUUGGAAAACACUUUUCAGUUUUAGGUUAUGUCAUGGAAAAUAAGCUGGAAAAUUGCUUAUUAAUAUUUUAUUUUUCUCAAGUUUAUUAAAAUAAUGAGGAACAAAUUGCAAUCUAAAUAUAUAUAGAAAAAUAAUAAGAAAAAAGCAAAUAGAAUUAUAAAAAUAAGGACCAAAGUUAAUAUAAAAAUAAAAUUUUAAGAGAUGAAAUUGAAAAAUAAAUAUUCAAAACAAAAUAUAUAUAGCAAUCAAAAGUUUGAGGAUCAAAUUUGAUAUAAUCAGCAAAUAAUAACAUUUUUAAAUUUUUCACAACUUCCGAAAAAUGUUUUUCCUCCAAAUUUUUUAGGAAAACACUUUCUUGAAAACCAAGACAAAUUUUCCUUUUACUAGAAAGUGUUUUUCAUUGACCAACUUUCCUAAUGGCAAACAAACACAAGAAAGUUUGGAAAGUAAUUUCCCGAAAACCAUUUUCCGGAAAACAAACACAGCUAAAGAGAAAACACUUUCCUGAAAACCAAGUUAAAUUUUUCUUUAACUGAAAAGUGUUUUUCGUUAACCAGAAGUGUUUUCUGUUGACCAACUUUUCUAAUAACAAACAAUCACAAAAAAAUUUAAAAAAUGAUUUUCCAAAAUCUAAUUUUCAAAAUACAAACAUAGCCUUUAUUCUUUUCCAGAUUCCUUCUAAAAAAAAUUAACAAGUAAACACUCGCUCGUCAAGCAUCCGCGUUCACGACCUUUUAAUUAUGCCUUAACUCAUAUUGGCCAGUAGUGCUAUAAAGAAGACAAAGUGGUAUAUCCACUUUUUCAUCAAUUACUUACACGAGACAAAGAAAAUGAUUGCUAUUAUCGACAAUUUCUCUGUUACACACACACACAAUUUGUCUUUAGCUGUAUUUUCUUACAAAGGAUCUUUAGCCAUGCAUUAGAGAUGAACACCUCCAACUUCUUGAUUUUCACUCGUUUUCAUCCCAUUUAAAAAAGUUUUAAGUUUGAAUGCUCAUUAUACAAAUUCUAAUAACAGGCAGCUAAAAGGGCUUGUCGAAGAGCUCAUCUUUAACGACUACUCUUGCAGGUUUUGAGAUCAUAUCAUCACAUUUGGGAAAACUCAAGAACCUUGACCUGAGCUAUAAUAUAUUCAACGACAGCACCAACUUUUAAAACAUCAGUCACCAACUUUUCAUUAUAGAAUUGCUCAGCAAAUAUUGGCCUUAUGCCUUCAAGAGUUGAGUUCCAUCCUCAAUGAGUCACAAAUGCACCUAUUGCUUUAUGAUCAAGAAUCAAAACUUGGAGUGUCCAUCCUCUGAUAAUAGUCCUUUGCCUUCCAUUCUUUCCUCAAAUCCUUCGGGUAAACAAUCUUUCUUGUCUUCUUGACGCUUUGUUUCUUCUAACUACCCGGAUAAGGAUGAAACACUUCACACGCAUUACAGAAUUAGCAUUGUGGAGGUGAUCAUGACAUUUUGCCAGCAAGGCGAUAUACAUAGCAAUUUGCAGCAAUAGAAUGUAAAAGAGUUUGAUAACAAUGCGAGAAGAAAAACAAAAGGUAAGAUGUUUAGAAAUUCAAUGCUCGGAUGCAUUAUUACCUGCUGGAUCCAUGGGGGCAGUGGGCAUGGCAUUUUGAGACCUGAUCUUCAUCAAAAGCAUCACCAGAGAUAUUUUAUGCAGAUAAUCAGACUAAAAUCAGAUAUUAAUAACAAAACAUUAGAUCUCAGAGCAAUCCAUGUUACAAGAGGAGGAAAAUGGAUAUAUGCUCUAUCAUUUCAUCUUUUGUGAGGAUAGACUUCUGUUUCCUCUCUUUUUAUUUACUUAUUUAUGUAUUGAUUCGCAAUUUGCUUUUUGCACACUUCCCAUGUACUUGAACUUGGUCACUCUAAAUAAAACACUUGUCAAGAGAAUUAACAAAAAGAUGCAAACUCUCAAUCAGCCUUGCAUUCAGAAUGAACGGUGUGGAAGUGUAGGCACACUACACACACAUUUGUACAAGCAUAAAUGCGUGUGUAUAUUCAUGUCUAGAUAAUAUCGUAAUUAUUGAACCUCGCAUUAGGCAAAUACCUGAUUGGUAGCGGUGGUAUAAAUCUUUUCCUCAAAACGUACGGCAAAUUUCUUGAGUUCUGGUAAUCCCUCCUAACCAGAAAACAGAAGAUGCCUCUUUAAUGUCUCCAUUCUGCAUAUGCAAAUCAUCACGUUUCAUUUUUAAUGACCAAGCAAGUAUAGAGAAGUUGCAGUAGCGAGUAAGAACCCUGAACUCAUAAACCACACCAAUAUAAAAAAUGUGUGGAAUCAUUAGCAAAAAGUAAAAACAAAUAAUGAGAUAAGCAAGAGAUGGUCAAGUAAUAUAAGACAUCAAAAUACAUAGACAUCCUUUCCCUGCAUUAUUCCAGAGGUACAGAGUAUAGGAGUUUACUUGGCCACCCUUCUGUCUAAAAAUUCUAGCUACUAGCUUCAUGGUUAAUUUUCUUGAAAUGGAAGAACCUUUCAUUUAUGGCUAUGUUCCAAGAUAAUUAGUGACUUAGUUGCAAAGCAAGAGAGUCCGUGAAAACAUUACAAUAGCAUUUACUCGAGUAAGAACACUUCUAUGCAUGUGCUGUAACUGACAAAAGAAAGAAGAGAAAUCCUUUCAAUAUAUGAAAAUGCAACGAGUUAACCUUAUCUCAAACUGCAAUAUAUACUCUACAGUAUUUAUUGACCACUGCAAGUGCCAGCAGUAGCUGUCUAUAUGAUUUUUGAUGUAGAAAGGUCAACAAAACAUUCAACUUUAUGCUGAGAAACUAGGAAACCUUACACCAUUCAACAUUAACUGCUUUUCUACUUUAAGAUCACUAUCAUUUCAACUUUGUAGAAGUUAAAACAAAUGGAAGGCCCAUAUCCAACACCAUUCAAUUUAAGUUCAGUUGCAACUAGACGUAUGCUCACAACAAUAGAUUAACCUUGAAAUUUAAAGCGGAACAAGCUUCAUGCAGCCAUCCAAGAGGUCAUCAUCAAAAGAAGAGAUUACAAAAGAAAUUCCAACAAAAAUUACUUCCCAGCGCUUUAUGUUCCCUCAAGUUUGCUUCUCGUGAGAAACACAUGAAAAGAUGAAAAAAAAAACAAAAAAAAAGAGGUGUGAUAUAUUUAUUUCGGGCAUUCUAAGCAAAGAUUUGGGCCUGAAUCUUCAUGGUGAUUCUAAACCAAGCAUUCCCUUCUAAGCAAAUACUUGCUGUCAAAACCCCCUCUCCUUCCCCUCCUGUUCUUGUUAUUUAUGUAUAUAUUUAUUUCUCUGAAAGAGGAAAAUGCCACAAAAGAAUAAAGAAAUAAGAAGAAAACAAAACAAAGUCAUAAAACGAGGCCUUUCAAUCCGCAAUGAAUAUCAGCAGACUAAAUACCACAGCACAAAUAGAAGAUUAAGAGGCCAGAAACACUAAAGCAUCCCAAGAGAUUGUCUAGGAUGUUUUAAUCUAGGAAAAAGUAGAAGAAAACAACGAGCAUUAACAAUAUUAAUCUUUUUAAAAACAACAAACAGAACCUAAAAAUGCUGAUUAAAAAACGGUGAACUGUAAGUGCCAGCAAAAGGUAAGGAUGUUUAGAAAUUCAAUGCUCUUUCUAAUACGCACACAUGUGUACAUGCAUAAAUCCACACACUUAUGCAUGUGUAUAUUCAUGUCUAGAGAAUAUCGAAAUUAUUGAACCUGGCAUUAGCCGAAUACCUGAUUGGUGGCGGCCGUAUAAAUCUUUUUCUCAAACCGUAUGGCAAUUUUCUUGAGUUCUUGUAAUCCCUCUUGACCAGAAAACGGAAGAUGCCUCCUCUCUUUUCAUUUAACUAUGUAUGCAUUGAUUCAUUAUUUGCAUUUUGCACACUUCCCUUAUUCUUGAAAAGGACCUUGGUUACUCUAAAUAAAACACUUGUCAAGAGAAUUAACGAAAAGAUGUGAACUUCUACAAAAUGACCAGUGAGGAAGUGUGGACACACUACGCACACAUGCAUAAAACCACACACUUAUGCAUAAAUCCACACAUUAGCCGAAUACCUGAUCGGUGACGGCAGUAUAAAUCUUUUCCUCAAACUGUUUGGUAAUUUUCUUGAGUUCUUGACCAGAAAACGGAAGAUGCCUCUUUAAUGUCUCGAUUCUGCACAUGUAAAACAUUACAUUUAAUUUUUUAAUGACAAGGCAGGUAUAGAGAAGUUAGCAGCAGUGAAAAAGAGUCGUGAACUCAUACACCACACUAAUAUCAGAAAUGUAUACAACGGGAUCAUUGGCUAUGGCUAUGCUCUGUCUGAAAUUCCAGAGGUACAGGGUAUAGGAGUUUACUUGGCCACCCUUCUGUCUGAAAUUCUAGUUACGAGCUUCAUGGUUAAUUUUCUUGAACCGGAAGAACCUUCCAUUUAUGGCUAUGGCUAUGCUCCAAGAUAUACAAGUGAAUUGGAUGCAAACCAGGGGAACUCUGUGAAAACAUUACAAUAGCAUUUACUCUGAGUAAGAAAACUUUUAUACAUGCAUGGACUGUAAUUAGCAAAGAAAAGAAGAGAAAUCCUUUUAAUUUAUGAAAAUGAAAUGAGUUAACCUUAUCUCACGCCGCAACAAAAAAUUACUUCCCAGGCACUUUAUGUUCGCUACUUGUGAGAAACACGCGAAAAAUGAAAAAGACAGAAACAGAGGUGUGAGGUGUAUGAUACUUGAGGUUGGUUGCCUCAUGUCAGUCCUGCUGAUUUUAAUUAACCUUUUGCCCUUCUCUUUUUCUUUUUCUUUGUUUACUAUUCUUUGAACACAUGGUGCUUCUAAAACCAAGGAAGCAAAAAACAAGCCAGCUAGUUCAUAACUUGCAGCACCAGCAGAUGGUGAACCAAGCCAUAGAGAAACUCAUGGUGCUUCAAUUUUAACUAGUUCGUGCUUGGACCCCUCAAAGAACAUUAGCACUUAUUCAAGAAAAAACAUAUAAAGUUGUGAGACACGAGAGACUAUAAUUAUUAUUAUUAUAUAUGGAAAGCAAUGCAAUGCAAUUUAUUUUUUAAUUUUUGUUAUGAUUUUUUUUCAAAUCUAUUUUUACAAUGGUUGAGAAUCUUGGUAAAACAAUUAGUCUUAAUCGUUGUUGAUACUUAAUUUAUAAUGAUAGAUGUUGGAAAGUCACGGUAACUCCUAAUUUUACUCUUGUCGACAAUAAUUUAUAAUGGGUGAUGGUUGAGGAUCAUCUGAUAAGUACGCUAACUUAGCAAAUAAGUGAUAAGUGCCUCUCUUUUUUUUUUUGGCAACUCUCUGUGGCCGCAUGACCAUUUUUAUAAGGGAAAAAGAAAGAAAAAAAACCCAUGACCUUUAUUUGCUCAGCAAGAAACAAAACACAAAGCAGAAUUGGACCUUUAUUUGCUCAGGUGUAACCUUGCAGAGAUUACAAUAAACAAAACACAUAAGAAAAACAAGAGGUUUAAUUGACUUAUAAAAUGUAUGUUUGUGAGCUAUGAUGUAGUGUUUUUUGUUCAAUUGUUGAGAGAAUUUCAUGAAACCAAUGGAAAAACAAAAUAAUAAGGAUUUAUGUAAGAAAUACACCUGUUUAUUUUCGUGUUGUGUUCGUUAACCAUUUUAUAACCAAUUUCUUUUUAAUUUAUAAUUUAAGAAAAAGUAUGGAAUAAUUCUGUAGAGUGUUCUCCUUCUGGGGUUUGGAAAGCGUAGAGGCUUUCCAUUGGAACUGCCAUUCUAUAUUUUGAGAGUUUCUUUGCGAAUAGCUUUUUUGGCAUUUUGACAGAUAUGAGAGAUUCUAAGAUGGAAACUACUUUAGUUGCUGAUAAACGUGCAGCUAGCAUCAUUCUCUUCAUUUUAUUUAUAAUUAAACGAAUAACGAUAAUUGAUGGUGGAUCCGUUUCCCUUUAAAUGUUUUUUUUUUAUCUGGUAUCUUUAAAUUAAUUUCUCCAUCAAUUAUUAAGUUUCACUAUAACGUGUAUUAUUUUUCACUAUGAGUGAAUUUACUGUGGAUGCAUUGUAAGUCCUGGCUUUACGCGGGGCGGGCUCGAGCGCCAAGUGGUGCUGGGUGGCUACAUGGAGCGGGGCAGAACCCUGGCACUUGGGUCUUGGCAAAGGCCUGAUUGGAUUGGGUAUAGCAGCACAGCGCUGCAUGUCGCUGGGGAACCCCGAGCGCCACCUGGCGUUAGAGCACCACCUCGUGCUGGGGCGGAUCCAAUUCUCUGGGUAAACCCCAGCGCUAGGUGGCGCUAGGGUCUUGUCAAAAGGCAUUUUUGGUUAUGAUAGCCCCAAUGUCACGUGGCACUCGAGUCCGGACGCGUUUUGCCCAAUCACAUGUGUGUUUAAUAAUGUGUGUUAUAAAUAUUAUUUUUUCUUUUAUAAUUCAAAGUGUUCAUAACAAAAAUAUUAGUAUUUGUGUUAUAAAUAUUAUUAUUUUUAUUAUAACUCAAGUAUUGAUAUAAAAAAAAAUAUUAUUAUGCAUUAUAAUCAUCCUUGAAAUUCUUAAUAUAAUUAUUUCUGUUAUUUCUUAAUUCUAAAUAUUCAUAUCAAAAAUAGUAUUAUUUGUGUUAUAAAUAUUAUUAUUUUUAUUAUAAUUCUAAAUAUUCAUAUAAAAAAUAGUAUUAUUUAUGUUAUAAAUAUUAUUAUUUUUAUUAUAAUUAAUAUUAUUAAUAUUAAAAAUCUUAUUAUUUAUGUUUUAAAUACUAUUUUUUUAUUAUAAUUCAUAUAAUUAAGAAAUCUGAAAAAACAAAUUCUUAUUAAUAUUUUAAAAAAUAUUAUUUGUGUUAUAAUUAUUUUUAAUUUAUUAUGAUUUGUAUUAUAAUUCAUAUUAUUAAUAAAAUAAUUAAUAAAUUUGCAAAAAAAAACAUUCUUAUUAAUAUUUUAAAAAAUAUUAUUAUUUUAUAAUUAUUUUUAUUUGUAUUAUGAUUAAGAGUAUUAAUAUUACAAAUAGUAUUAUUUGUGUUAUAAUUAUUUUUAGUUUUUAUUAUGCUUAAGAGUAUGAAUAUUAAAAAUAGUAUUAUUGAUUUAUUAUUAUAAUUAGAACUAUUAAUAUUAAAAAUAGUAUUAUUUGUGUUAUAAUUAUUUUUAUUUUUAUUAUAAUUAAAAGUCUGGGCGCAUCUACGCCCAUCCCAACGUUGGGCCUGGAGGCGUCCACGUUCAUCCCCAAAUAGGGUUCGCCCAGCCAUGCCCACCCCUAAGAUGGGUCUGGACGCGUCCACGCCCAACCACAUUUGUUAAUAUAAUAAUGUGUGUCAUAAAUAUAUAUUUUUUCUCUUAUAAUCCAAAGUGUUCAUAUCAAAAAUAUUAUUAUUAGUGUUCUAAAUAUUAUAACUUUUAUUAUAACUCAAAGUAUUGAUAUAAAAUAUAUUAUUAUUUGUGUUGCAAUCAUUCUUGAAAUUCUUAAUAUAAUUAUUUAUGUUAUAAAUAUUAUGAUUUUAUUAAUGAAUUUGAAAAAUAAUUAUUGUUAAUAUUUUAAAAAAUAUAUUAUUUGUGUUGUAAUUAUUUUUAUUUUUGUUAUGAUUAAAAGUAUGGGUGCGUCCAUACCCAACCCAAAGUAGGGCUGGCUAAGAGUAUUAAUAUUACAAAUAGUAUUAUUUGUGUUUUAAUUAUUUUUAUUUUUAUAAUGAUUAAGAAUAUUAAUAUUAAAACUAGUAUUAUUUGUGUUAUCAUUAUUUUUAUUAUAAUCAAAAGUAUGGGCAUGUCCACACCCAUCCCCAAGGGGGGCUGGGUGCGUCCACGCCCAACCCCCCGGCAGGCGUUGACGUGUCCUUGCCCACACCCAAGUGGGGCGUGGAUGCGGCCACGCUCGACUCCAAGUGGGGUCUGGACGCAUCCUCGCCCAACCGCUUGUUAAGCGUGGAGGCGUCCACGCCCAAACCCAAGUUGGGUCGGAUGUGUCCAGACCCAACUUGGAGUAAAAAAUAUUAUUAUGUGUUGUAAUUAUCCUUGAAAUUUUUAAUAUAAUUAUUUAUGUUAUAAAUAUUAUUACUUUUUAUUAUAAUUCUAAAUAUUCAUAUAAAAAUUAAUAAUAUUGGUGUUAUAAAUAUUAUUAUUUUUAUUGGAUGGAUCUAUCGAGCAUGCCCCAGCGCCAGGUGGCGCUCGGGGUUCCCAAUCAGCUAAGUGGCACUCGGUUGUUCCAAAGUGCUAGGUGGCGCUUAGGUUUUCCAUUGAGUUUCUAAUAUUAUAUUUCUACGUCAAAACCAAUUUUUUUUAAAAAAAAAAAUGGCAUUGUUUUGCUUACAAAAUUGAUCAAGUUAACCAAUAACUCACCAGUUGAUCAACAAUUCAACAAAAUAGGUUUUUAACAGGAUCAAAACCUGAACCAGGCUGGAUGACCACGCCAUAAGUUGCAUCUUAUUUUUGUCUUUGCAAUACAAUAAUACUUACAAAUAAUAAAUAACUAAUUUGUAUACAUCUUUUUGUCACAUCUUUAUAGUUUUUGUAGAAUAAAUUGGAACUUAAGAUUUUGUCACAUCUUUAUAUAUAGUUUUUGUAGAAUAAAUUGGAACUUAUUAAGAUAAUAUUCUUUAAUUCUCAAUGCUAUUUGUAAUCAAUAAGAAAGAUAUGGACAAGUCGAUCGUGCGAUUCACAUGGAUUGAACCCCACAUUACACACGGAAUAGACAACACAAUAACCCUGACCAUGCUCGAUCUUGAGGUAAGUUGUAAAAUGUUCUUCCUAACUAGAUGCACAGCUACGCCUUUGGGAGGGAGGGAGGGAGGGAGAGAGAGAGAGAGCAAAGUGAAAUAGAUGACUUUAUUCUUUUCCAGAUUCCUUCUGAAAAUAUUAACGAGUAAACACUCACACUCACGCACGCAUAUGAUGAUUAAAAUUUGAGUUAAAUUCUAUUUAACUAGUAUCUGUAUUUUUGUUAAACAAACAGAUUAAUCCCUCAAGUUGAUUUCAAUAAUUAAUUGAUCAUUUAAUCACAUUUUACUGUUAAGUUUUUCCAUUAGCAACGUCGCUGCUUUAUCUUGUUGCCUGGCAGAGUUCCUUGAUGAAAAAGAGCCUAAUGCUUCUACUUCUUUCCAAGUUUUUGAAGACAUGCUUGAAGAUAAUAUCUCAUCAAGGUAUAUUUAUUAUAACAAAGAAGCAUACUCAAGGAUGAUACUUCAACUCUAAGAGUUGAUAUAGCAAGUAAGAGUAAGGAUAUAGAGCAAAAUGAGCCUCCCUUCUCUCCUUCUAGUCAAUCAUCUUGAAGAGCCUAUGUUCUUGCCUUGAUAAAGACUCCUAUCUUAUAUUUAUUGAAGAAAUAUCAAGAAAGUUUCCAAAUUCAUCUCUUGACAAAAACAUCUCACCCACCUUAGCACAUGUCAAAUCCUUCAUCCCCUUAUGCCAUUGCACAGACUUGCCCUCGGGGUAAAUUCUAAAACUUCAGGCAUUUUUUAUAUGGAAAUUUAUAAUCAUAACUUGGUGUUUGUCCAUUUAUAUACAUGUUUAAUGCUUAUAAUUCAUUGUAAAAUAACUUCAAAACGGUUAAGGAGCACUUUUAUUACCAAAAAGAAAUGGCCCAGUAUAUAUUAUUAAAGGAUCUCAAAUCUUACAUUGUAAAAAUAAAAUAUUCUUCUAAUAUUUAUAUAGUGAACUUUGAAAAUGGUUAAUAACUAACCAAAAAUAUAUAUAAAAAAAGGAGUUUCUGACUACGAGAAAAAAAAUAUUUGAAAAAAAAAAUGGAUCUCAACUGCAUUUUGCUGGAUUGUUUUCGUCACGGAUUAACCUAAUGAGUUAAAAAAAUAUAUAUAAAAAAAAGAGAGGUAUCUGAAUAAAAUAAAAACAUUUUCAAUUUUUUUAUAUGUCAUGUAUAGCUAAGGGACCCAUUCCUUUGUAUAAAAAAUGAUUUGACGGUGCUUGGAUUGGGUGUAUGCCUACGUACUUGGUUUUUUAAACAGACCUUGAGCUUUAUUUUUUAUUUUUUCUAUGUAGUAUUAGUUUUUAAAAGAAUUAUUUUUUAAAAUCUUAGUAUAUUAUACAAUUGGAUUUAUUAUGAUGUUUCUCACACGUGUAUUAAUUAUAUAUUCAAUUCUUUAAUAGUUAGAAAAUACAAAGAGUUAGUGACACUUACAGAGCAUUUUGUAUCUUGUUUUUUCUAAUUAAAAACUUGUAUGGAUUUAUUUAUUUAUUUGAAUACUUGCUUUUAAUUAUGAUAUUUUUAUCAAUCAAGUCUCUAUAUUAGUUUUGUUGUCAGAAUGCAAAUAACACGAUUAAUAGUAUUUUAUUUUCAAUUUUUUUUCAAGGCCUAAAUUUUCCACACGUAAUUUCCAUUAAAAAAAAGUAGCCAGUCUUCUUUAUCCAUCAUCGUCAUGUGCAUAGCAUUAACCUUUUAUUCAUAUUUUUUUCAUAAAUAAAUAAACUUAACUUGGGGUCAACGUUUCAAGAAGGAAUAUAAGUUUCGGUUAAUUACAUAGUUUUUUCCAAAAUGUUCCGCUUUUGUUAUCUCUCUAUUACUUUUCCUUUUAAAGGGGUUAUGUACAGCCCUUGUAUAUUAUUUUGAAUUUAAUAUAUAAAAAUCUUUAGUAUAGAUGAAUUUUGUUUUUUAAAAAAAAAAAAAAAUUAUUUUCAAAUAAUAUUUCUAAUAUGUACAACAUUGCAUAUUAUUAUUUUUUCUUUUAUUUUGUUCAAUUAAUUUAUGAUAUGUAUGUUCUUUUUAUUAUCGUUUAAUUGAAUAAAUAAUUUGAAUUUUUAGAAAAUACAAUUGCAUAAAUGUCAUGUCUUGUGAAAUUAAAUAUUUUGAUCUACAUCUGUCUCUCGAUUUUUUUAGUUUUUAUUUUGAGUUAUCAUUUAUGUUUUUUUUUUUCAUUUAUUGACACACAUAAUUCUCAAUUUAUUUGACAAUAUUAUUUGUAUAUAAUUUUUUUAAUAUCCACUUAAUUUUUUUAAAAAUAAAAAAUAUAUUAAAAAAAUCUAUAUAUAAUUUUUUUAAUUAAACAAAUUUAACUUGCAAUGAAGCUUUAAUCGAAUAACUAAGUCCAUGUACUCAAAUGAGUGGCACUCGAAACUUUACAUACCUUAUCUUCCAAGCAAGAAGAGACAAGAAAAGCAGUAGGUGAUGUUCUUUUCCCCGGUUGUAAAUGAAUGAAGGGGUUAAUACCAAAAACAUGGACAAAAAUUGACAUGGACCCGCACCACUUUGAUUAUUCUUCACUCUUCCUAUGUUUCACUACUUGUUGAUUCAAAAGUUAUCUAUUUAAAAAAAUUUAAAAUAUUUUAAAAUAUGGUUACAAUAUUUUUUCUUAAGAAAAUAAAUUGAUGUCAUGUGUUAAUAACAAAUAAGGAUUUUUUGCAAUCAAAAAAUCAAAUUUAUUUUAAUUAAAAAGUUUCCUAUCAAUAGCAGCAUUCCCAAUUAAACCAAAGUUUUUCCACGAACCCAUCUUGUGGAAAAAAUGCAUGGUGGUUGGAAGAGGACGUCUCAUGGCCUCUCCUCUGGAAAAAUGCAUGAUGGCAACGGUCUCAGAGACCGAUGUCGCACCCCAAAAACAACAAUUUUCAAUUGCAAGUUCAACUGGCGAAAUUUUUUUUAUUUUUGGUUCUUUGGAGUCGCCACCUAGUAUUUUGGUCACUAGGAACCUAACUGGUCUCAGAGAUCGGGUACGGAGACUGGUUGCGUAAAGGGAAGGUAUUAGCACCCCAAAUACACCUUACCUAAGGUAAGCUGCAUUGUUUAAUUGUCUGAUAAAAAUAAUAAUAAAAAAAAAAAAACUAAGGUGUUAUUGUGUUUUCCUAGUUGUUGGUCUGUCUAUGGUUCAAGAAAAAUCCUCCUCGGUAAGGAGAUCUUUAUCUUAUCGGGUAAAAAAAAAUCCUAACCGUUCUAACGUCCAUACCAAAAUUUUAUUAAUAAUAUUUGGGAAUACGUUUUACGUAUAAAUUCGUAAUCCCAAAUACUAAAAUAAAACAAAAAAAGAUUUUUUAGAAUUUUUGAAAUAUUGGCCUAGUUCUCAUGGCUUGAAUAAACUGGUUAUUAAAGCCAAAAUGCAUGUUAAUACAUAUAUUGUUUUGAAAAUUUCUUUGUUGCGUGAAAAUAUGAUGUUAUAAUAUUUAUAUAUAUAUUGGAGAGACUAGGCCGUAUUUUAAAACAAAAAAAAAACAAUUUUUGGAAAAUAUUAUUUUUUUUAUGCUUUGACGAAAAUCGGGUAUUUUAAUACUGAGCUUGUAUCCUUACGGUAUAAAAAUACAACCCAAUAUUAAUCCACUUUGAUAAAAAUAUGCAGAAAAAUCAACAACAUUUUUUAGGGACUUUUUAGAAUUUUUUUUUUUAAAAGCAAAAACAUUUUUUAUUCUGAAAAUCUUUGAUAUUUUGACGAAAACCGGGUAUUUUUAACACUGGUUUUGUAUCUUUACAGUAUAAAAAUACAAAACCAAAAUGUAUAAAACAAACAAUAUAUUUAUAUGAAAAGAAAAUAACAACCAGAUUUUUUUAGAUUUUUUUUCAAAGAAAAAAAACGUAUAUAUGUAUAUACACAUAUAAUAAUAAUAUAUUUAUAUAUUAAAAAGGGGCUGGGCCGGCCCAAACCAAACUGGGCCGGACCCAGCCCUAACAGUCGUUGGGCCGAACUCGGCCCAGCAGGUACUGGGCAGAACUCGGCCCAGAAACUAAUUAACCUCGGUCUGGGCCGGACCCGGCCCAGACCGCCGGACUGGGCUAGAUCCCUCUGGCCCGUCCCACAUAACUCUGGGCCAGACACAAUCUGGCCCAGAAAAAAAAUAAAAAAAACACGGGGGGGGGGGAAUUAAUUUCCCCCCCCCCCGCCUCCUGCAUGCAGAACGAUUCUGCAUGCAGGAGGCAAAACAUAUAUAUAUUAACAAAAAAAAUGCAGGGGGAGGAAAGGAGGCGUACCUGGUGCGGUGGAGGAGGUGGUUUGCUGGCGGGGCUGCGGUGGUGGUGGCAGUGUCUUAGCUUCACAGACGACGGCUUCUCUCUCCUAUGUUACAGUGUUUCUCUCUCUUCCUCUCUCUCUUCGUUUUUUUUUUCUUUGUUUCGGGGUUCCUCCCUUUCUCUCUUUUUUUUCGUCCCCCGUUUUCCCUUUUGGUUCUCUAUUUAUAGAACCAUGGCGCGACUUCGACGUGGAGCCCCGAAGUGGGUCGAGGAGCGUCUGUCGGGGAGCGGCGGGCCUCCCUCGGCUUCGGCCACGAGGAGGGUUGUCGACCAUUGUUUCUGUCGGUGGCCCACCGGCGUGGGGUCUCUGUCGGUGGUAAGGGGGACCUGCAAAAAGAAUAAAAAAUACAAAGUUUUUCUUCUUCCCCGCUGUAAUGUUCGGGGGGGAAGAAGACAGUGAACAGUGUCGUUCAAAACGGCACCGUUCGGUUCCCCCCCCCUUUUUUUUUUUUUUUUAAUUUAUUUAUGCAUGAAACGGCGUCGUUUUGGACAAAACGCGCCGUUUCAUUUAAAAAAACGCCAGAAACUUUGUUUUUAAAUCAGUCCCUAAUUUGUCAUUUGUUCUAUCAAGUCCUUCAAUCGAGUCCUUUAAUCAAGAAUAAAAUUCAAUUGCGUCCCUGCCAAAUUCGGUCCCUACCCCUAUAAUUGGCCGCGUUUUUCACUUUGAUCCUUGACCUCUGAUUUUCACAAUUAAGCCCUUAAUUGAUCAAUAAACUUCCAAUUUCUUCAAUUAAGCCCCUGAAACAAUUCCAAACAGCCCCCUCUAUCUUUGCGCCUUCUCCAAAUUGGUCCCUGGUUUCGGAUUUUUCACAAUUAAGUCCCUAAUUGGCCAUUAAACUUCAAUAUUUAUGCAAUUAAGCCCCUGAUUUGACCCAAUAAAUUCCUAAAAAAUAUAUUUUGACCCCAGAACUUAAAUUUCUUCAAAUUAAAGCCCAAAUUGACUUAAAAAUCAAUUUUUCUUGCAAUCAAAUCUUCCAUAAAUUCAAAUAAAAAUCCAAUUAAGUCCAUAAAAAUCCAAAUUUGGGUUUUUCUCCUCAAAAUUCAAAUUUUCCUUCUCAAUAGGGCUUUCAUCCUUCAAGAAUAUACUGUCAAAAAUUCAAUCCUUGUAUUUUUAAAUUCCUUGACCAAUUUUCUGACUGUUUUCCGAGCGCUUCUACCUCCUGUUAUUUUUCUAACCUCUUUUGGCUAUUUAUUUUAUUUUUCAUGGGGACCCAAAAAUGGGUUACAACAACCGAUAUGCAGAUGUAAAUGUUCUCAUGUACCCAUCUCGUAGAAAAAACGCAUCCGAGUAAAUAGAAUUUUUUUUUCUUUUUUUUUAGAUGAACAUGACUUUCUUAAGCUCAUUGUAGUAUAUAGGAUUUUUUUUAAAAUGAAAAAAUAGAAAUAUUAUUCGCAUCCGAUUAAAUAUCUCCACCGAUAUAAUUCCAUUGAAAGUUGCGUCAUGUAUUAAUCUAAGGUCCAUUGUUCAUUAAUUAAUCGGUGGUUGCGUUUUAACACUUGAGAUUUAUUUUUUAUGCAUAAACAUUUAAUUUAUUUUUUUGCAAACUAAAUUGAAAUUAAAGCAUAUUAAUUAUCCAUUCCCAAGCUUACAGGGCAAUGGUCUCAUGGACCCAUCUCGUAGAAAAAACGCUUGAUAGCAAUGGUUUCGUGGACCAUCCCACCAGCCUAUAUCGUGGAAAAAAAUGCAGAUGGCAAUACAUGGUCUCACAGUCCCAUUUCACACUGCAAAUUGCUAUUCAUCUUACUUGUUGAUUGUGUUACAUAAAAAUAGACUGACAAGUACUUUAAAAAAAAAAAAAAAGACUUGUUGUCAUGACAAUGACAAGAAGAAUUUUAAAAAUAAUAUUAUUUGAGGUUCAUUUUAUCAACGAUACUCUUUGAUUUUGUCAUCACAAUCAAAAUUAAGGCAUGAUUUUUGAAGAUUUUAGAUAAAGAUGAUAAUUUUGAGUUAUGGUUUGUUUAAAUAAUGAAUUUGAGUUAUAAAUCUUGAUAUAUUAAUAAGUGAUCUGUGUGUAUUUAAAAUUAAAGUGCAUAAAUUUAAUAUUGAAAUUUAAUUAAAGUCUCUCUUACAAUCCAAAAUUUAUUUUUAAUUAAAGUGCAUAAAAUAAACAUGGUUAAAGUUCUUUCUUUCUCUUUCUCUUUCUCUCUGUCUCUGUGUAUGUUAGAUGGAGUUUGCAUUAGAUAAUCAAUAAUAUUGUAUAUAUUGUUUUUGGAGAAGUAACUCAUUUUCACACCCUUGGUGUAGUUUUCCAUUCAUUUUCACACCCCAGUUGCCACCCUGCUUUUCUUUUCAUUCACGCACACAGAUAGUGCAUCAAAGCACUACGACAAUAGUUGACUCCCAGUCAAUACGGUCAAGAUAAGGUAAUCAAAAACUAAAUUUACUUUUACUACUAUUUCAAUUUUAAAAAAAUAUUUUUCUUUUGUUUAAUGCAUUAAUUUCAAGAAAUAUUUUUAUUUUUUUGUAAUUUGAAUACUUGCUCUUAUGAUUUUUUAUCAAUAAAGUCUCUAUAUUAGUUUUGUUGCUAGAAUACAAAGAACACAAUUAAUAGUAUUUUAUUUUUAAUUUUUUUCAAGGCCUAAAUUGUACACACGUAAUUUCUAUAAAGAAAGUAGCAAGUCUUCUAUAUCCAUCAUCGUCAUGUACCUAGCAUUAACUUUUAUUCAUGUCUUUUCCAAAAAAAAAAAACUUGACUUUGGAUCAAUGUUUUAAGAAGGAAUAUAAGUUUCGGUUAAUUACUUAAUUUCAAAUUUUUUUUGUACUCUAUGUUUUCGAUGAACAUCACUUUCUUAAGCCAGUUGUAGUAUAUAGAAAUUUCUUCUAACAUUUUAGAAAUAUAAUUCACAUCUGAAUUGAUAAAUUCACAAAUUAAUAUAAUAGGUUUUAAUAUUUAUUUUUAAUAUAUAUUUCGAAUUUAAUAUUAAUAGUUAUAAAGUUUAUUUAGUUAAUAAAAAUUGUUCCACUUUUGUUAUAUCACAUUCCUUUUAAAUUAUUGUAAAGUUUAUUUAUUUUGAAUUUAAUAUAUAAUUUUUUUUGGAAUAAAUAAACUUUAUUUUUUAAAAUAAAAAAACUAUUUUCAAAUAAUAUUUCAAAUAUAUGAAGCUUGUCAUAUUAUUACUAUUUUUUAUUUUAUUCAAUCAAUUUAUAAUAUGUGUCUAUUUUUAUUAUUGUUUGAUCGAAUUAAAAAAUUAUUUUAAUUAGAAAAUUUAAAAAAUGCAAUUGCGUAAAUGUCAUGUCUUGUAAAAUUAAAUAUUUUGAUCUACACAUGUCUCUUGAUUUUUUUACUUUUUAUUUUGAGUCAUCGUUUAUGGUUUUUUUUUUUCACUUAUUAACACACAUAAUUCUCGAUUUAUUUAACAAUAUUUGUGUAUAAGUUUUUUAAUUUUCACUUAAAAUUUUUUUAAAUAAAAACUUUAUUGAAGAAAUCAAUAUAUAAUUUUUUUUAAUUAAAAUAAUUGAACUUGUGGUGAAGGUGUGGUCAAAUAACUAAAAAUAGGUGGCACUCAAAGGUUCAUAUACCUUAUCUUCCAAGCAAGAAGAGACAAGAAAAGCAGUAGAUGAUGUUCUUUUCUCCGACAAUAAAUGGAUGAAGAGAUAAAUAUCAAAGACUAUUAUAUUAAUCGUUCAUACCCCCCCCCACCCCCACCCCACGAUCUCUUAAAUGCAAAACAAUUUGGAAUAGUUGAUAAAUCACUUUUGGUAAUUUCACAUCAAAAACAUCUCACCCACCUUAGCCCAUGUCAAAUCCUUCAUCCCAUUAUGCCCUUGCCCAGACUUGCCCUCGGGGUAAAUUCUAAAACUUGGGGCAUCUUUUAUAUGGAAAUUUAGAAUUAUAACUUGGUGUUUGUCCAUGUAUAUACAUUUUUAAACGUUAAGGAGCACUUUUAUUACGAAAAAGAAAUGGCCCAGUAUAUAUUACUAAAAAAACUCAAAUUUCACAUUGAAAAAAUAAAAUAUUCUUUUAAUGUUUAUAUAAUAAACUUUAAAAAUAAUUAAUAACCAACCAAAAACAUAUAUAAAAAAGAGAGGUUGGAAAAAAAAAACAUUUAACAAAAAAAAUGAGUCUCAACUAGGUUUUCUUGAAUUGUUUGGAUUACGGGUUAACGAGUCAAAAAUAUAUAUAUAUAAAAUGAGAGGUUUCAAUAAAAUAAAAACAUUUUCAAGUCUUUUAUAUGUCAUGUGUAGCUAAGGGACCCAUCCUUUGUAUAAAAAAUGAUUUGACGGUGCUUGGAUUGGGUGUAUGCCUACGAACUUGGUUUUCUAAACAGACCAUGAGCUUUAUUUUUUAUUUUUUCUAUGUAGUGUUAGUUUUUAAAAUCUUAGUAUAUUAUACAAUUGGAUUUAUUUUGAUGUUUCUCACACGUGUAUUAAUUAUUUAUUAAAUUCUUUAAUAGUUAGAAAAUACAAAGAGUUAGUGACACUUACAGAGCAUUUUGUAUCUUGUUUUUUCUAAUUAAAAACUUGUGUGGAUUUAUUUAUUUAUUUAUUAAUUUGAAUACUUGCUUUUAAUUAUGAUUUUUUUUAUCAAUCAAGUUUCUAUAUUAGUUUUGUUGUCAGAAUGCAAAUAACACGGUUAAUAGUAUUUUAUUUUUAAUUUUUUCAAGGCCUAAAUUUUCCACACGUAAUUUCCAUUAAAAAACGUAGCCAGUCUUCUUUAUCCAUCAUCGUCAUGUGCAUAUCAUUAACCUUUUAUUCAUAUUUUUUCCAUAAAUAAAUAAACUUAACUUGGGGUCAACGUUUCAAGAAGGAAUAUAAGUUUCGGUUAAUUACUUAGUUUUUUCCAAAAUGUUCCACUUUUGUUAUAUCUCUAUUACUUUUCCUUUUAAAGAGGUUAUGUACAGCCCUUGUAUAUAAAAGUCUUUAGUAUAGAUGAAUUUUAUUUUUAAAAAUAAAAAAAAAAUUAUUUUAAAAAAUUAUUUUUAAUAUGUUCAACAUUGCAUAUUAUUUUUUCUCCUUUUAUUUUGUUCAAUUAAUUUAUAACGUGUAUGUUGUUUUUAUUAUCAUUUAAUCGAAUAAAAAAAUUAUUUUAAUUUGAAUUUUUAGAAAAUACAAUUGCGUAAAUGUCAUGUCUUGUGAAAUUAAAUAUUUUGAUCUACACAUGUCUCUCGAUUUUUUUAGUUUUUAUUUUGAGUCAUCAUUUAUGUUUUUUAUUUAUUUAUUAACACACAUAAUUCUCGAUUUAUUUGACAAUAUUUGUAUAUAAAUUUUUUAAUAUCCACUUAAUUUUUUUCAAAUUAAAAAUAUAUUAAAGAAAUCUAUAUAUAAUUUUUUUAAUUAAACAAAUUUAACUUGCGAUGAAGCUUUGAUCGAAUAACUAAGUCCAUGUACUCAAAUGAGUGGCACUCGAAAGUUCACAUACCUUAUCUUCCAAGCAAGAAGAGACAAGAAAAGCAGUAGGUGAUGUUCUUUUCUCUGGCUGUAAAUGGAUGAAGGGAUUAAUACCAAAAACAUGGACAAAAUUUGAUGUGGACCCGCACCACUUUGAUUAUUCUUCAUUUUCUUCACUCUUCGUGUGUUUCAUUACUUGAUGAUUCAAAAGUUAUCUAUUUAAAAAAAUUAAAAUUUUUAAAAUAUUUUACAAUAUGGUUACAAUAUUUUUUUCUUAAGAAAAUAAAUUGAUGUCAUGUGUUAAUAACAUUUAUGGAUUUUUUCCAAUCAAAUUUAUUUUAAUUAAAAGGCUUCCUAUCAAGAACAUCAUUCCUAGUUAAAACAAAGUUUUUCCACGAACCCAUCUUGUGGAAAAAAUGCAUGAUGGUUGGAAGAGGAUGUCUCAUGGCCUCUCCUCAAGGAACAAUGCUUGAUGGCAACGGUCUCAGGGACCAAUAUGUAGAUGGAAAUGUUCUCAUGGACCCAUCUCGUAUAAAAAACGCAUCCGACUAAUUAGAAUUUUUUCCGUUUUUUAGAUGAACAUGACUUUCUUAAGCUCAUUGUAGUAUAUAUAACUUUUUUAAAAUAAAAAAAUAGAAAUAUUCGCAUCCGAUUAAAUACCUCCACAUAUAUAAUUCCAUUAAAAGUCAUGUCAUGUAUUAAUCUAAGUUUCAUUAUCCAUUAAUUAAUCGGUGGUUGCAUUUUAACACUUGAGAUUUAUUUUUUAUGCAUAAGCAUUUAAUUUAUUUUUUUGCAAAUUAAAUUGAAAUUAAAGCAUAUUAAUUAUCCAUUCCCAAGCUUACGGGGCAAUGGUCUCAUGGACCGAUCUCGUAGAAAAAACGCUUGAUAGUAAUGGUCUCGUGGACUAUCCCACCGGCCUAUAUCAUGGAAAAAAAUGCAGAUGGCAAUACAUAGUCUCACAGACCCGUGCAAAUUGUUAUCCAUCUUACUUGUUGAUUGUGUUACAUAAAAAUAGACUGACAAGUACUUUAGAAAGAAAAAGAAGAAGAUUUGUUGUCAUGACAAUAACAAGAAGUAUUUUAAAAAUAAUAUUAUAUGUGGUUCAUUUUAUCAACGAUACUCUUUGAUUUUGUCAUCACAAUCAAAAUUAAGGCAUGAUUUUUGAAGAUUUUAGGUAAAGAUGAUAAUUUUGAGUUAUGGUUUGUUUAAAUAAUGAAUUUGAGUUAUAAAUCUUGAUAUAUUAAUAAGUGAUAUGUGUGUAUUUAAAAUUAAAGUGCAUAAAUUUAAUAUUAAAAUUUAUUUAAAGUCUCUCUUACAAUCCAAAAUUUAUUUUUAAUUAAAGUGCAUAAAAUAAACAUAGUUAAAGUUCUUUCUUUCUCUUCCUCUCUGUCUCUGUGUAUGUUAGACGGAGUUUGCAUUAGAUAAUCAGUAAUAUUGUAUAUAUUCUUUUUGGAGAAGUAACUCAUUUUCACACCCUUGUUGUAGUUUUCCAUUCAUUUUCACACCCCAGUUGCCACCUGCUUUUCUUUCCAUUCACGCACACAGAUAGUGCAUCAAAGCACUACGACAAUAGUUGACUCCCAGUCAAUACGAUCAAGAUAAGGUAAUCAAAAACUAAUUUUACUUUUACUACUAUUUUAAUUUUUAAAAAAUAUUUUUAUAUUGUUUAAUGCAUUAAUUUCAAGAAAUAAAUUCCUUUUAUCUUAAAAUAUGAACUUGAAAAACCAAAUGUAUUUUAUAAUGAGGGAGAAAACUAGAAAAAAUGAUUAGCCUUCUCAUUGUAGUAAUAUAAAUCGUAUAUCUUUGACUCGAUUGAGUUGAAAUGUAAUAAAAACAAGUCAAGAAUACCUUUCCUAACAUAAAAACAAAAGUGUGUGUGUUUUUUAUUUGAAGUUUUUGUAUAUAAUACUAUAGCCACACAAUCCACAGGGAUAAGAUUUAUAAUUAUUCCGUGUUUAUUAUUAUUGAUAAUUUAUGUAUUUAAUUAUAUAUAUAUAUAUAUAUAUAUAUAUAUAUGAUAGUGAGAUGACACCAUGCAAGUAGGCUGCAAGUAGGCUACUAAAUGAUUCUAAAUUAUGACAAGAUAAGUACAAUUAUAAAGCUAAAAAGAUCUUACGCGGAAUCAUACACGAAUGUUCGAUAAUACUACAACAAUUUUUAUUUUUUAUUUUUUCAUAAAUUAGAUAAUUAGUAUGCAAAAUAUAAUUAAAUGCAAAUAGACUAAGUGCUAAACAAUAAAAUAAAAUAAUAUUCAAAGGUUUCCGUAGUGAAGUUGUGGUCAAAUAUCUAGUCUAUGUACUAAAAUGAGUGGCACUCAAAGAUUCAUAUACCUUAUUUUCUAGGCAAAAAGAGCUAAGGAAAGCAGUAAGUGAUGUUCUUUUCUUUGGUUGUAAAUGGAUGAAGAGAUUAAUACCAAAAACAUGGACAAAAAUUUAUGUGGACCCACACCAGUUUGAUUAUUCUUCUCUUUCUUCACUUUUUCUGUGUUUCACUACUUGAUGAUUCAUAAGUUAUCUAUUUAAAAAAAAAUUAAUUUAUUCAGUUUUUUAAAUUAAAAUAAAAUAUACCUACCAUUCUUAGAUGUGACAUAAUGAAAUUAAAAACCAUAGCUUUUAGAGCCCCAAGUGCACAGCCCCAUCUCGUGGAAAAAAUUGCUUGAUGACAAUGGUAUCACUAACCCAUCAUCUAGUGGUGGAUAAUUUGUUUCAUGUCCUCUCCAUCAAAAUCCUUUUUGUUUUGAAAAGGAAUAUAUAUAUAUAUAUUAGUUUUCAAGAAACAUACCACAAGAUUUAAAAAUAUUUUAUAUUUCAUUAAAAUGAAUAAAUAAAUUACUUAUAUGGUUACAAUAUUUUUUUUCUUAAGAAAAUAAAUUGAUUUCAUGUGUUAAUAACAUUUAAGGAUAUUUUCCAAUCAAAUUUAUUUUAAUUAAAACGUUUGCAAUCAAUAACAACAUUCCCAAUUAAACCAAAGUUUUUCCACGAACCCAUCUCGUGGAAACAAUGCAUGAUGGUUGGAAGAGGAUGUCUCACAGCCUCUCUUCGAGGAAAAAUACAUGAUGGCAACGGUCUCAAGGAAAUGGUCUCACGAACUCAUUAAUGCAUUUAUAGUGAUAUUUUUAUUGUUAGAAACAUACAAUAGCUUAGGGAAUUUUAUCAAGGAACAAAGAUAUUUUCAGAGAAUAACAUUUAUAAUGAUACUUUUAUGCCAUUCAAUUUUUUCUUCUUUUUAGUCUAUGAUCCUGAUAAACAUGACUUUCUUAAGUUAGUUGUAGCAUAUAGAAUUUUUUUUAAUAAAAAAAAUAGAAAUAUAAUUCGCAUAUGAGUAAAUACCUUCACAAAUUAAUAUAAUAGGUUUUAAUAUUUACUUUUAAUAUUUAUAAAAUGAAAAAUAUUAAGAGUUGAUUAAUUUGUAUAGCUCCAUUUGUAUAUCAUUCUAUUUUUAUUUUCUUGCAAAGAAAAACCUCGUUUUGCGUAACUGUUCCUAUGUCUUUUUAUUAUUGAUGUAUGUUUGACAUUUUUAAUAUCUUAGAAGAGCACACAUAAACGUUUACGAGGAUUCCAUGGGAGGCUACUGAUUUUUGCUCUCCAUGAGAAGAGCAUCAUGGAACUUCUAACUGAGCAUUGAAUGUCAUAAUGAGAAAGAUUGGCAGUUGCACACCCAAGAGAAUGCUUUUUUUAUCUUUCUUUUUUUUCCCAAGAUAAGGUAAUUAGCUGUUGUGUGUUUUUACUUUUAGCAUUCUUUUUAUUAUUAUUAUUAACGUGAGUGUCUGGACAGCUUGCGCGCAACUUGACUAAUCCCACAAGCUCUAAAGUUAACGAUUAUGUAAGUUUCUAGUGGCUUUGAGGUUUAUAAAACUUGAACCGGUAACUUUUAGAAAGCAAAUCUAGAACUUGAUUAAUUGAGUACACCCUCAGAAUUGCUUUUAACAAUUUUUUAGAUUGUCUUGUGGUGGUACUCCAAGAUUCCGGAGGACCACCUGUAUGGAUAAGGAAAUCACUGCAUGGUUGUGUUUAAAAAUCAAAAUGGCAUACAACAAGUCAAGCAUCAAUUACUCAAGAUUUGUGGAAGAUAUGAUACAAGAGAUAAGAAAAUGAUUGCUAUUAUCCACAAUUUCUUUGCGGAGUUUCCAUUAGAUAAUCAAUAAUGUAUACAUAUUUUUUUGGAGAAGUAACUCAUUUUCACACCCUCAGAUGCCAAACAUUAACAUCCCUUUCUCUUCUCUUCUCUUCUCCUCUUUUCUUCUUUUCUUUUCUUGUUUUUUUAAUUAACAUAUUUUUAUGAAUUUGUUUAUCUUCUUAGCUUCACUAGCAACUACAUUAAGAUAAAAUUUUUAUUUUUUCUUCUUUUUUGUGUUCUUUUUCAUUAUAUUUGUUCUUUUAUUUAUUUAUUUUUUAUUUUUUUCUGUUCUUAAUAAUUUUAUAAAUGUUGAUGUAGGAUUUGUUUUUCACGUGAGAUCAAUUUUUAGUUGAUUUAUUUAUAGGAUUUUUAAAUAAAUUUUAAUUAUUUAAUUAUUUUUCUAGUUUUGUUAAAUAGAUUUUUUUUUUAAAUUUUUUUUUUAAAUAGUCACUGACAGAAUUGCAUACGGUAUGUUUGUCGAUUACAUGACAAGCUUCCCGAGGAAAUUACCAAUGAAAUGAAGUAAAUAAAUUUUUUUUAGCCUGUUUUACUUAUUAGUAAAUCUAUCAGUGAUAAUAUUUUUUUAUUGCUAACAAACAAAAAAUUACCAAUAAAAAAUUCAUGAAUGGAACAUUUCUGUUUGUGAUCCCAUCAAUAAUUAAUUUACCUAGAAAAUUAAAUAAUAAAUCAAGAGGGUGAGCCUUUCCUUAACGAAUAUCCUCAAUGGCCUCUGGGGUCGAACCAAAUCCUGUGGCCACGAUUUAUUGUUAGCACGUGUUUGCAAUUUGCAACAUAUAUUUUGAUGAGCUACUUGUAGAGUAAGGUGCUGUUUUUGUUUCUAGCUUUAGGUGAUUGCACCAAACAUGGACUGAACAAAAGGGACAUCCAUUGGUGGAGAAAUUGGUUCCAGUUCCUUUUGAUACAUUUAACCAGUUUUGUAUUCUUGCUCACUUUUCAAUUUGGUUUCGGUAUCGUGUUUUGUUAUUAUUACUUACUGCUGCUGUUUUGAAUUUACUACAACAAUUUUUUUAUUUUAUUUUAUUUAUAUAAAUUGGAUAAUUAGUAACCAAAAUAUAAUUAAAUGCAAAUAUACUAAGUGCUAAACAAUAAAUUAAAAUAGUAUUCAAAUCCUAGAAUAUUCCAAAAAAAAUAUAUAUAUAUUCAAAUCUCAAAACAUGAAACCCUAAAUUAUUACGAGAGAAGUAUAAUUAUAAAGUCAUGAAAACAAUCUUACGAAUGUCUACAAUAUUUUUAUUUAUUUAUUUAUUUUAUAAAUUGAAUAAUUAGUAACCAAAAUAUAAUUAAAUACAAAUAGACUAAAGGUUGAACUGAACAAUAAAAUAAAAGCCGAACUGCACAAGAUAAUAUUCAAAUCUAUAUUAUCAACAAACACACCAUAAAGGCCGAAGUGUCAGACUUUGUCACUUUUAGGUUAAUUCCGUUGGAUCAUGUUGAAUUGUCAACAAUGGUGCGAGGUACUCUAGGAUACUUAAACUUUAGUACUUGCACACAAGCCAACUGACGGACAAAAGUGAUGUUUACAGUUUUGGAGUGGUUCUUGUGGAACUACUAACUGGGAUCGAUGAAGGCAAUUUCCUUCGAUAAGCUUGAGGGCCUUUAAGUGCUAAAUAAUAAAAUAAAAUAAUAUUCAAAUCCAAGAAUAUUCCAAAAAAAUAAUAUUCAAAUCCAAGAAUAUUCCAAAAAGAAAUAAAAUAUAUAUUCAAAUCUCCAAACAUGAACCUGCACACAAGAUAUGCAGAUAAAGUCAAGGAAAUUAAAUGGCCAAAGUGUAGUAUAAAUAGGACCUCUAUGGUUGCCCAAAGGCACAUAACAAACAACAAUAUUCUACGUAGUAGUUCAUAGAAUAUUAUCUAAGAUGAUGAUGAAAAGAAUUGGGGCUUGGAUGCUGCUAGCAUUAUUGACUCUGGUUGGCGAAUGGGCUGGUCGUUGUUAUGGAUGUUUGGAGGAGGAGAGGGUUGGUCUCUUGGAGAUCCAAUCUUUGAUCGACCCAGAUGGCCUUUACUCGAGAGAUUGGGUGGACGGUAGUAAUUGUUGUGAGUGGGGGUGGAUCGAGUGUGAUAACACUACAAGGCGAGUGAUCCAACUCUCUCUUGGCGAAGUAAGGGAUUUCCGCUUGGGCGAUUGGGUUCUCAACGCAUCGUUGUUUCAGCCUUUUAAAGAAUUGCAAAGUCUUGAAUUGGAAGAUACUGGAUUGGUUGGUUGCAUGGAGAAUGAAGGUUAGUUCAAUGUUUCUGCACUUAAUUAUAAUCAUAAAAUAAAUGAAGGUUGGUUGGUGUUUAAUGUCAAUUAUCUUGCUUUGAUGAUUCUCUUCCAGGCUUCGAAGUCCUAUCAUCAAAACUGAGGGAACUUGACCUAUAUUAUAACCGAUUUAAUAAUGAUAAAAGCAUUUUGUCAUGUUUCAAUGGUAACCUUUCCACUCUCAAGUCUUUGGAUCUAUCAUAUAAUCAGUUGACAGAUGGAUCAGGUAGCUUCUAUGGUAACCUUUUAAUUAUUUAGCUUCGAAACCUUUUCUGUUCUUCUUCCAAUAUGCUUUUGAGGAACAUCAUGCAGGUCUAAAAGUCUUGUCAUCAAGGUUGAAAAAGCUGGAGAACCUUGAUCUAAGUGACAAUCAAUACAACGAUAGCAUUUUUCCAUCUCUUACUGGAUUUUCAUCCCUCAAGUCUUUGGAUCUAUCGGCUAAUGAGUUGACAGGAUCAGGUAUAACACACAGUUUCUACCUAAAUGCUUCACAUGACAUUCUCUUAAUUAUAUUGUUUCCUUAUCAACAAAAAUGAGGACUUUAUAUCUAUUUAAUAAAAACUAUCAACAAAACUCUCUAAUACAAAUCACUAGACAGCCAACGAGAGACUGCCAAUUUCUUUAUUAGAAAAACUCUUGAACUGUUUUAUCAAUGAAGACCACAACAUAAAACCCACAUAUUUGAUAUUUAAUUCUUGUUUGUAGCCAUUUAUUAUUUCCUCUCUUUUUAAUUAUGGUUUUAUAUUAUUUUGGACCUUUUUUAAAUCACAAUAUUAUUCAGUAGUGGAGGAUAUAUUGCCUUAUGGUCGUGGUGAAUGGUGAAAUAUUUGGACUUUGAAAAAUAAAACGUGAAAAAGUUUAUAGUUCUUUAAUGCCAUGGAUAAAAUUGGGAAACUUGCUAGAAAACAGAGGCAGUUAGGAAAAAAUUAUAAUGACUAAAUUAGUAACAGCUAAGCAUCUUACUAACUAAAUAGAUAGAGGAAUUAAGUUAUGAUUAUUAUUCUUGUUUAACUAUUAUUAUUCUUGUUUUAAUUACCGAUGAGGUCUUAAUUACAAGUUUCUUUAUCAUAACUUAGCUUCCAUCUUUUUAUGUAUAAUUUGAGAAUCAUAUAUCAAUUGAACAACAGCAUCUCAUCAAUUCUAAUUAUCUUUAGUUUCUAUAUAUUAUGCAUAUCGUGAGCUCAUAAUUAUGACUUACUCUUAGAAACAACUCUCUUGCAGGUUUUGAGAUCAUAUCAUCACAUUUGGAGAAACUCGAGAACCUGGACCUCAGCUAUAAUAUAUUCAACGACAGCAUUUUCUCACAUCUGCGUGGACUUUCUUCUCUCAAGUCUUUACAUUUAUCAGGCAAUAUGUUGCUAGGAUCAACAACUGUAAAUGGUAAAGUUGUGAAAUCUCUGGAUUUUUCAGGCAAUUUGUAGUUUAUAUCCAAAAAUCAUCUCACUAUAAAAGUACCAGUUCUUUAUCAUAGAUUUAAGAACUCGACCAAGAUAACACUUAAUUUCACUACUUACUUGAUUGCAUGUUUUCAAUUCUACACAUCAUAGGUUCAAGAAAGCUAGACUUCCUGCAGUCAUUGCCAUCCCUGAAGACCCUUUCUCUCAAGGAUACUAAUUUAAGUCAAGGUUAAUCAUAGUUUAGUUUCUUAAAAUCAUAAUUAAGAAUAUUGAAUGGAAUGGCCAUUCUGUACCACCACUAUUUUCAUCAUAUCUUUUUUCUUCUUCUUCUUCUUUUCACAGGGACUUUCUUCAAUUCUAGCACCCUUGAAGAAUUGCAUCUAGAUAAUACUUCUCUCCCAAUAAACUUUCUCCAGAACAUUGGAGCAUUGCCUACUCUUAAAGUUUUGUCUGUUGCUGAAUGUGACCUCCAUGGCACCUUACCCGCUCAAGGUAAAUUAACAACUCUCCAUUCGCCUAUAAUUACAUCAUUAAUAAAAGAUUCUUUCAACAUUGUUUUGACUGUUUCGAGAUAAAUUAUACAGGUUGGUGUGAAUUGAAGAAUCUGAAGCAGUUAGAUCUCGCUGAAAAUAAUUUAGGAGGUUCACUCCCAGAUUAUUUGGGGAACUUGUCAUCUCUACAACUAUUAGAUGUUUCUGGUAACCAGUUUACUGGAAAUAUUGCCUCUAGUCCUCUUACCAACCUCGUAUCCCUUGAAUUCCUCUCACUAUCAAAUAACCUCUUUGAAGUUCCCAUUUCAAUGAAGCCUUUUAUGAACCACUCAAGCCUCAAGUUCUUCACCAGUGAGAACAACAGACUUGUAACAGAACCUCCAACCUUUGAUAAUUUGAUUCCAAAGUUCCAACUAGUCUUUUUCCGCUUGUCAAAAACAACGGAAGCACUUAAUGUAGAAAUUCCUAACUUCCUCUAUAACCAAUACGACUUAAGAGUCCUUGAUCUCUCCCACAACAACAUCACCGGAAUGUUUCCAUCGUGGUUGCUUAAGAACAAUACACAAAUGGAGAAACUAUAUCUGAGCGAGAACUCCUUUGUUGGUACUUUGCAAUUGCUAGAUCACCCAUAUCCGAAUAUGACCGAAUUAGAUAUAUCCAACAACAACAUGAACGGUCAAAUUCCAAAAGAUAUUUGUUUGAUCUUUCCAAAUAUGUUGAUCUUAUGGAUGGCUAAGAAUAGAUUCACAGGUUAUAUUCCUUCUUGUUUAGAAAAUAUUAGCUCUCUUUCAUUUUUAGAUUUAUCCAACAAUCAAUUGUCUACAGUAAAACUAGAACAACUAAAAACAAUAGCGGUUCUCAAGCUAUCAAACAACAAUUUGGGUGGGCAAUUACCGACCUCGGUGUUCAAUUCUUCUAGCCUGGCUUUUCUUUACCUACGUGGUAACAACUUUUGGGGUCAGAUAUCAGAUUUUCCAUUAUAUGGGUGGAAACCAUGGAUUGUAUUGGAUUUGAGUAACAAUCAAUUUUCAGGCAUGCUUCCAAGGUGGUUCGCCAAUUAUACGAGCCUUAACUCAAUUGAUUUGUCCAAAAAUCAUUUUAAGGGUCCGAUCCCAAGAGACUUUUGUAGGCUUGACUGGCUUCAAUAUUUGGACUUUUCUGAGAACAACUUGUCUGGAAAUAUACCAUCUUGUUUCAGUUCACCAAUUCUAAUCCAUGUGCAUCUAUCCGAAAAUAGAUUGAGCGGUCCUUUAACAUAUGGAUUUUAUAACAGCUCUUUCCUGGUUACGAUGGAUCUUCGAGAUAACAGCUUCAUCGACUCCAUUCCAAAUUGGAUUGGCAAUCUUUCAUCAUUGAGUGUUCUUCUUCUAAGGGAUAAUCACUUUGAUGGUGAGCUCCCUGUUCAGUUAUGCUUGUUAGAGCAAUUAAGCAUUUUGGAUGUUUCACAAAACCAGCUCUUUGGCCCACUACCCUCAUGUUUGGGCAAUCUUACUUCCAAGGAAAGUUCCCAUAAAGCGUUGGCGUAUCAAAGAGCUUAUUUUCCACUAGGGUCCAUAGAAAAAGCUUAUUACAAAAAAUGGGUCCACCACUAGUGGAUAGUAUUUCCAACUUGGAAAAUUAUGUUUGGCUUAACUUUACAGAAGAAGUGAUAGCAUUUACAACUAAAAAUAUGCAUUAUGGUUACAAGGGGAAAAUUCUCAACUACAUGUCUGGUAUUGAUCUCUCCAAUAACAACUUUGGAGGAGCAAUCCCACCAGAAUUUGGAAACUUAAGUGAGAUACUGUCAUUAAACUUGUCACACAACAAUCUCACUGGAUCUAUCCCUGCAACAUUCUCAAACCUAAAGCAUAUUGAGAGUUUGGAUCUUUCUUACAACAACUUGAAUGGUGCCAUCCCUCCACAACUUACUGAAAUUACCACACUGGAAGUUUUUAGUGUGGCGCACAAUAACUUGUCAGGCAAGACACCCGAGAGAAAAUUUCAGUUUGGGACCUUCGAUGCAAGCUGUUACAAAGGAAAUCCUUUCUUGUGUGGACCUCCAUUGCAAAACAAUUGUAGCGAGGAAGUGGUGCCAUCGCAGCCAAUGCCUAAUGAUGAACAAGGAGAUGAUGGUUUCAUAGACAUGGAGUUCUUCUACAUCAGUUUCGGUGUAUGUUACACAGUUGUGGUGAUGACAAUUGCAGCAGUUCUCUACAUCAAUCCAUAUUGGCGACGCAGGUGGUUGUACUUCAUCGAAGACUGCAUAGAUACUUGCUACUAUUUUGUGGUGGCUAGUUUUCGCAAGUUCUCCAACUUCAUAAGGUGAAUUUGUUACUGGGGAGAUGGGGAGACGGUCGUUUCUGGUUUGUCAUGAUUGUUUGUUUAGCUAUUGGGUGCUUAAUUUUGUAAUGUAUUGUCUCUGCAUCAAAUAUAUAAGUCGGACUUCUCAUUCCUGAACCAUUAGGAAGGGAGCUGAUUUGGAUUUGCCAUUGACUAUUUGUCCUGUAUGUCUAGCUAUUGGGUUCUUCAUUUGUAGUGUACUGUCUCUAAGCUCAACCUUUCUAUUUGAAUAGUUAUUUGGGCUAAAUAUAUAAGCUGGACUUGUCAUUCAUAAAUCAUUAGGAAGGGAACUGAUUUGGAUUGGUCAUUGACUCGGCUGUGAUUACUCUUUCAACUCUCAAGACUUGUCUGAAAAUAAAUUGCCAAAACCACUACUAAAGUAUAAACAAAAUAUUCUAUGCCUUUGUUUCAAGGGCGACCCCACCUCAGUUAUUCAAUCAAAGCAUUGAAAUCGGAGCAAGAAGAUCCACCUUCUUCAACAGCCUUCCUGGCCGUUUCUCCUAGCUUCUUUGCUCUGCUCCUCAUUUCCUCUGUUUCUUCACCCAUCAUAAUUUGAGUGAUUGCCUUCUCUACAGCUUCACUUUUAACAUGAUCUCCAUGCACUCUAAGCCAUUCCUCAACUCCAGUUUUUAAAACAUCAGUCACCAACUUUUCAUUAUAGAAUUGCUCCGCAAAUAUUGGUCUCCUAAGCACAAAAAAAUAAAAUUGUCCUUGUCAAACAUGCAGCUGUGACUUGAGACAUUCAGAAUUUCAACCUCAUUUUCUAUAAAAUUCAACAAUACUGGAUAUGGUCAUGAUUCAAUGGAAUAAUCCCCACUUAUUUUCUUGAGACCUUUUUCCAUUGAAAUCUUGCAAGACUGUGGCAUACAUGAACUCCAUCUAAUGAACAGUAAAUCAAAGAAAUUACCUUCUGAUAGAUCUCCUCUUGCCAAUCAGCGCCUUUUGCAUGUCCAGUCUGUGCUGUAGAAUCUAGGGAUGCUACAAAAAUUUCAAUGCAGACAACAAAAUGUUAGAAUUCAUGUAUUUUUGUGUGUUUUCCAUAUACAAGGGUAUUUCUGUAAUUUUAACACUAGCUGAAAGUUAUGAAAUAUUGCAAGUCUCAGUUUUAUUUUCCAUUUAGUAUUUAAUUAUUCCCAAAGUAUAGCGAGCUUCAUUAGGUUUUUCCUAUUCUAGAUAGGCUAUUAGUAUUUUCCUAUAUAGGAAUACAAGUCCUUUUUGUAUUAGGAACUUCAUCUAAAUGUUACGUAAUCAUAUAAAUGCAGAAUCAGAGGGUGAACAGCUGGUGCAAUGCACUGGAGGGUAUGAUGUGGUAACAAAUGCGUGUGUGAUUGCAAUGGUUUCAAUAGCAGUGGCAUUACUAAUGCCACAAGUGGCAGCAGUAGCACAUAAAGCUACCUAAAAGAGUAUUGCUGACUUGAACCAUUAUGAGAGGUGAACAGUUGGUGCACCGCACUGUAGGGCAUCGUGUGGUUACAAAUGCAUAUGUGAUUGCAAUAGUUCCAAUACCAGUGGCAUUUCUAAUGCCAUAAGGGGAAGCAGUGGCACAUAAAGCUACGAAAAAGAGCAUUACCUGGCAUUUGUCUCUGAGAAUUGACAAACAUAGUGGAGGGAAUCCCUUGUCCCAUUGAAUUCCCCAAUGAGUUCUGUGAAACACCAGGGAUACUCUGCAUGUUAGGAUUCUGGACAACAGUGUUGGGGAUAGUCUGGGUUACACCAGAGACAGGAGGCAGUGCCGCUUGUAAACCAGCAUAACUUUGAACUCCAUUAGAUGCCAUGCAAUUCUGCAUGUUCUGUGAUACCAACUGCUGAUGUGCUUGAGACUGAUCAGUGGACAAUAGGAUAGGGAGAAACAGCCCUUGAUUCUGAACUUCAGGGGGCAUACUAUGGGAUGCUGUUCAAGAUAAAAGGCAAAAGGGAAAAACAUGUCACAGAAAAAAAGAAGGCACUGAACAAGGAAGACAAAUGAAACAUCGGCAGUCCACACAUAAAGUUAUGAGCGAAAGAAUUGGGAUGGAUUUGAGUCAACCUGACAAUUUUCAGGGAUGGGGGAAGAAGAGGCGGCUGAAAACAAAAAAAUAAUAUGACAAUUUUCAGGGUGGGCGAAAGAAAAGGAGGAGGCAGAAAACAAAAACAAUCUGUAAUAUUCUUGCAUAACAUUCAUCAAUUACUCAACUUUUUGAUUAAAGCAUGCCAUACACAUAGAAAUAUGUUGCAAUAAAACGCAAAAGAGUUUGAUAACAAUGCGACAAACAAAACAAAAGGUAAGAUGUUUAGAAAUUCAAUGCUCGGCAGCAUUAUUAUAUAUGAAAAAAGGAUCAAAUACUUUCUCUCGGAAGAAAAGCAAGAAAGUGACGUCUUACCUCCUCAACAGGAAAAUCUUUAAAAUCUACCAUCUCAAUCAUAAAAUUUAAAAUACCAUGUAUCACAGUCCUUGUUGCUGAACAAGUUAAGGAUGAAACACUUCACAUGCAUUAAAGAAUUAGCAUCAUGGAGGUGAUCAUGAGAUUUUUCCAGCAAGGUGAUAUACAUAGCAAUAUGCAGCAAUAAAAUGUAAACGAGUUUGAUAACAAUGUGAGAAGAAAAACAAAAGGUAAGAUUAGAAAUUCAAUGCUCGGCUGCAUUAUAACCUGCUGGAUCCAUGGGGGCAGUGGGCAUGGCGUUUUGAGACCUAAUCUCCAUUGAAAGCAUCUCCAGAGAUAUUUUACGCAGAUAAUCAUACUGAAAUCAGAUAUUAAUAACAAAACAUUAGAUCUCAGAUCAAUCCAUGUUACAAGAGGAGGAAAAUGGAUAUAUGCUCUAUCAUUUCAUCUUUUGUGAGGAUAUACUUCUGUUUCCUCUCUUUUUAUUUAAUUAUUUAUGUAUUGAUUUGCUAUUUUCUUUUUGCACACUUCCCUUGUACUUGAACUUGUUCACUCUAAAUAAAACACUUGUCAAGAGAAUUAACAAAAAGAUGCGAACUCCCAAUCAGCCUUGCAUACAGAGUGAACGGUGAGGAAGUGUAAGCACACUACACACACAUUUGUACAUGCAUAAAUGCAUGUGUAUAUUCAUGUCAAGAGAAUAUCAUAAUUAUUGAACCUCGCAUUAGGCAAAUACCUGAUUGGUGGCGUAGUAUAAAUCUUUUACUCAAAAUGUAUGGCAAAUUUCUUGAGUUCUUGUAAUCCCUCCUGACCAGAAAGAAAAAGCUGCCUCUUUAUUGUCUCCAUUCUGCACAUGCAAAUCAUUACGUUUCAUUUUUAAUGACCAGGCAAGUAUAGAGAAGUUAGCAACAGUGAGCAAGAACCCUGAAUUCAUAAACCACACCAAUAUCAGAAAUGUGUGGAAUCAUAGCAAAAAGUAAAAACAAAUAAUGAGAUAAGCAAGAGUUGGUCAAGUAUUAUAAGCCAUCAAAAUACAUAGACAUCCUUUCCCUGUAUUAUUCCAGAGGUACAGAUUAUAGGAGUUUACUUGGCCACCCUUCUGUCUAAAAAUUCUAGCUCCGAGCUUCAUAUAUUAGUGACUUGGUUGCAAAGCAGGGGAGACUGUGAAAACAUUACAAUAGCAUUUACUCUGAGUGACUUCUAUGCAUGUUAAUUGACAAAGAAAAGAAGAGAAAUCCUUUCAAUAUAUGAAAAUGCAAUGAGUUAACCUUAUCUCACACUGCAAUAUAUACUCUACAGUAUUCAUUGACCAAUGCAAGUGCCAGCAGAAGCUGUCUAUAUGAUUUUGGAUGUAGAGAGGUCAACAAAACAUUCAACUUUAUGCUGAGAAUCUAGGAAACCAUCCACCAUUGUGGCUAAUUGAUUUUUGUCUACUGCUUUUCAACUUUAAGAUCACUAUCAUUUCAACCCUGUAGAAGUUAAAACAAAUAGAAGGCCCAAAUCCAACACCAUUCAUUUAAGUUCAGUUGCAACUCGAGUUUUAAAUUGAAACACGUAUGCUCAUAGCAAUAGAUUAACCUUGAAAUUAAAAGCGGAUCAAGCUUCAUGCAGCCAUCCAAGAGGUCAUCAUCAAAAGAAGAGAUUACACAAGAAAUUCCAACAAAAAUUACUUCCCAGCACUUUAUGUUCCCUCAAGUUUGCUUCUCGUGAGAAACACAUGAAAAGAUGAAACAAAAAAAAAAAAAAAGAGGUGUGUGAUACUUGAUGUUGCCUCAUGGCAAUCCUGCCGAUUUUAAUUAACCCUUUGUCAUUCUCCUUUUCUUUCAUAUAAAUAAAAAAUUUACUAUUUUGCAGCACUUGCACAUACAUUUUGUCGACUAUUCUUUUCCGUGAGUCAGGCCGCAAUUGAAUUCUCCAAUCACCCGUGUCCAUGACAGGUUCUCCGCCUGGGACAGUGGGCCAACCAAAAAGAAAAAAAUAAUAAUAUUGCAUGUUAGAAUAGACCCUAAAAAGAAAGUCAGGAACGGCAAGAAGAGCAAAAGCACAUCAAGAACAUGAAAAAUGGAAUAUCAGUUUAUUCAGACUAGAAUAGAUUUAAAAAGAACUUCCGUCUAAUAUCAUGUACUUUAUUAAAGAAUUCAGCCAGAUAUGGAUGCAUAACAAAUAUACAAAACCAUUCAGGUCAAGGUGCUAGGAUCCUGGGUAUUCGGCCAUUCAAAGCAAAGAAUCUUCAUGGUGCUUCUAAACCAAAGAAGCAUUCCCUUCUAAGCAAAUACUUACUGUCAAACCCCACUCCCCUUCCCCUCCUGUUCUUGUUAUUUACUUCUCUGAAAGAAUAAAUAUUGUAGGGAGCAAAUAGUGUAAAUAGAAAGAGGAAAAUACCACAUCCCCAAAAGAAUAAAGAUAUAAGAAGAAGGCAAAACAAAGUCAUAAAACGAGGCCUUUCAAUUCCCAAUGAAUAUCAGCAGACUAAAUACCACAGCACAAAUAGAAGAUGAAGAGGCCAGAAACACUAAUCCAUCCCUAAGAGAUUGUCUAGGAUGUUUUAGUCUAGGAAAAAGACAAAGAAAACAACGAGCAUUAACAAUGAAUAUUUCAAGUUAUCAUCAACUCUAAAGAGCAGACUGAUAAGAAUCAACUUCACAAAUUUACAGGCACAUCUUUCUUUGAAUAGACAACACAAUAACCCUGACCAUACUAAAUGCUCCACCCACGAGCUGAUUGCACCUUUCUUCGAGUUGCGUUCACGAGCAGCGAUUUCAUCGAUCCGAUUAUAUAUCUUUUUAAUUUACUUAUUAAAAUCGAAUUUAUCUCUCUGGAUAAGAAUUUCAGUUAAAUAAAUGAAAACCCAGACAUAAAUUUUAAAAAUUAAAAACAUGAUAGAAAAGGAAGCACCUGGUGGAGAUUUGAAGCCUUAUUGGUUGAGGCGGCGGCUUCCUAGAGUGGAGGAGGGAAAGAGAGAGGGCUCAGGUGGGGAGAGGUGAAGAAUGUCGGACCAAAGUGAACAGAGCUUGACAGAUGACUUUAUUCUUUUCCAAAUUCACUAACAAACUUAAAUAAUUGUAUUCUGGUGUUGCUUCACUGUUCAUAACUAACAAACUAAAAGAAUUAUAUAUAUAUAUAUAUAUAUAAAAAAAAAAAAAACUAUGAGUGCUCAUUAAAACACGGUGCACUGUGUGUGAAUCCAGUGGCUUCACAGUCUUUACCGCGCUCCGUCCCUGUUUUUCGCGUUUCUUCUCGCGCGGUGGGUGUUCCCGCACUUUCUUCUCGGCUGCUGAGGCUCCCUGGCGUCUUUUCAUCGACUUUUGUCUGGUGCAUGUUCAGAUUGAGGCGGUUUGGCUGGUGCUAGGCGCGCGAGGAGAUGUCAGCCGACGGGUAAUCACCUGCAUCGGCUGGGAUGGCUUCAUUGAAGCUGUCCUCUUGGUCUGUGGCGGGCCUUCUCAUUAAUGAAAAAAUUAUUCUGAGACAUUGUUUUUGUUUUUAUAAACUCGUUUCUAUUUUAUUUUUUUUUAUCAAAAUUUUUAUAGGAAACACCAUAUAAAUUCUGGUUCGCUGUUUGUUGUUCUUGGUUAUGUUAUCAAAAAUACAAUAUUAAGUUAAUUAAAAAAUGAUGUUACAAUUACAUUACUAGCAUCAAAGAGGCGAUGAUAAAUUGUUUUAAAGCUAGAAAAUUGAUCAUUAUCUCUAUCUAUUUUUUAUUUUCGUUAUUGAUUUGUAUGUAUGUUUUAUAUGCUGACAUAGAUUGCAAAAAAGUUGUUUAAUUUUAGUAGGAAAAGUAAAGUAUAUAUAGUUUCUGUUAAAUUCCAUGACUUGUUAAAUUAUUUGUUGUGUGCUAUCUUUAUACUUGUUGCAUUGAUUCUACGGGGAAAGAAAUUUUAUGUUGCAUGGUAUUUUCUUUGUUGUUGGAUUGAUAUGAAAAAAUAAAUAAAACAAAAGAUUGGGAAAAAAAAGUUGCAUAUUUGGAUAAUAAUUACCGGUGAAAUAAUAUAUUAUUGGUUAGUAAAAGAAUACAAUACUCAAUUACGAUUAAUACUUGAGGUGUGAUGUAAAUUUAUUAAAUCACGUUAAAAAUCGAGUUUACAAUCUCUCUUUUCUUAUCUAUUUACUUUAAGCAUUUUAAUUAUAUUGUUUAUUAUUAUAUUAUAUGUGUUUAGUAUGUUUAUUUGUAUUAUUUGACAUAAUUAGUGUAACACCUAAUUCAUUUCCAUUAGAUGUUAUUGUUGUUUUAAUCCUAGAAUAUCAUAAGUAUCAAUUAGAUUUGUUUUUAUCAUAACUUUAGAAAAGUGCAUAAUGUUUUCUUAUGUUGAUGUCAAAAGAAAAAUAUUUAUAAUUAUUUGUAUUGUUAUAGUUUCUAUUGAAAAUUACAUUGUAUCUCGUAGAAAAACAAAUAAAUAAAUACAGAAUUGCAAAGUUAAAUUGUUUUUUCACAAAAUUAGUGUGUUAAAUUUUUGUGAUUAAUUAUAAUUAAUAUUAUUUGAGAUUAUAUAAGUAUGAUAUAUAAUUGCAAAGUUAAUUGAGAUAAUAGAUUGAUAAACCUAUUGAUAAUAAUUUCAAUAUACUUGUUAAUGUGGUAAUCUUUGUGGUUUAGAUGGCAAACCUAAUUCCUCAACAUUCUUCAUAUGGGGUAAAAACCAAAAUAAUUUGAGUGGUGUGAACUUAAAUAUAAAGCAUGAUGAAACAAUAAUCCUUCCAUCAUCAAGCCUUGUUAUGACAGCAAAGCUCCACAAAACCAUGAUUUCUUAGCAUAUAAUUGAGAAUGUUGAUAAGAAAGCUACUAAGCUUGUUGUAGUUGUGUUAGAAGUAAACUUCAUGGAAAAUCCUAAUAGUGGUGGAUUGUUAUUGGAGUUAUCUAUCAUGUAUGUUUUGAUAUUUUUUUUAUUUUAGUAUGCAACAACUACUAAUGGAGAAUAAUUAUUCUUGGAUAACUCCUUAGUGAUUGUUUGAGAGUGUGGUAACGAUUGCGUUACAAAGUUUUUUCGUUUGAAAAUACAUUAAAAUAAUUUUUUUAAUUUAUUUUUGACAUUAGUAUAUCAAAACUAUUCAAGAACACAAAAAAAUUAAUUUGAAGCAAAAAUAAAUUUUUAAAAAAUAGCAAAACAACAAUUUAACUAUAAUGGCAAACAAGCCUUUAAUAUGCAAAAUCCUAGACCACAAAAAAGGUGAUGUUAAGGAUGACAUAGGAAAGAGUGGACUCUGAACAAUAUAGUUAAUGCUUCUAAUAUUCAAAAGAGUAUUGUUUGUGGCUCACUAUUAAGCAAAUACAAGUUUAAGUUAGUUUUCUAAUCUAAUAAAUGUAUCCUCACCAAGAGUGGGAUGGUUGUGGGGAAGGUAUAUUCAUGUAAUGAGUUAUUUAAGCUCAAUGUGAUGACUAUUGUACUAAAAAGCCAAAAAAAAAUAUGAACAUUCCUUCUUCUUUUUUUAAUUGGUUAGAGCCUUCUAAUCUAUUCUAUAGAUAGAAGUAGCGAGCCUCUAGAGUUAAUUCACAUUAAUAUUUGUGAUUUAAAUUUAUACCAAUUAAAGGUAAUAAAAAUUAUGUUAUUAAAGUUAGAAGUUAUUCUACUUCUUUUCUUUAUUUAAAGUUGUGUUUGUUAAAACUCUACCUGAAAUAUAAUUGUUUACUUUUAAACUAUAAAGAUGUAACCUUUUGUCUUAAAAGUUAUGUUAAAAUUAAAUAUUAGAAUUACCUAUAAAAAGAGAUAAUUCUGACGUGAUUUUGAUAAUGAAGAAAACUUCUAGUCUUUUUAAAACUCUUCUCUUUUAUAUUUUUUCAACCAAAAUUCUUACAAAGAGUAACAUAAAAAUUUUAGUUCGCCGUUUAUUCUUGGUUAUGCUAUCAAGAAUAAGAGAUUGAAUAAGCUUGAAAAAUAAUAUUAUAAUUACAUUGCUAGCACCAAAGAGCAAGUAAUAAAUUGUUUUAUAAUAAUUUAUCGUCAAUCUAUUUAUUUUAAUUUGUAGCUAUCCGUACAAUAUAGAUCUCAUAGACCUAUAAAAAUUCAAAAUGGUAUUGAGAUUUCUAAAAUUAUAAGUGAAUAUGCGGACAAUGAUAAAAAAUUAUUUUUUAUGGAUGUUAAAGCCAUGAAUAUUUUAUAUUAUACAUUGGACAAAAGUAAGUUUGAUAGAAUUAUAUUAUAUAACAAUGCUUAGAGAUAUAUAGAUUGCGUUCCAAGUAACUCAUAAAGAAACUAAUAAGUUAAAAAAUCUGAAAUAUGAAUUGUUCAAAAUGUUUGGUGACUUCAUCGCUAAAAUGUUUAUUAUUAAUAGUUUAUUAGUUUGGAUGUUUUUAGUAAUGCUGAAAUUAUAGAGAAUUGAUCAUCAAGUUGAUUUUUAUAUAUGCAUAGAAAUCAGAUCAUUAUAAAUUUAAUAAACUAUUUAAAGUGUUCCAAUGGAAAGAAAAUGGGUGUUGUGAAUUUGAGUCUGCAUUUUUCUCUACCUUCUUUUUGGUGUUUUUUGUUCGUCCGUUCCUGAAAAUUUACGCUCAGUUUUUGCCUUCUACCUGCUGCUUAGUUUAGGGUAUUAAAUUUCUUUGUUUCUUCGGAAGAUGCCUUACUCUUGGUUGAUUGCCUUUCUGUUUCCAAGAUAAAUAAGUGAAUUAGUUGCAAAACAGGGGAAUCUCUGUAAGAACAUUACAAUAGCAUUUACUCUGAGUAAGAAAACUUUUAUACAUGCACUGUAAUUGACAAUGAGUUAACUUUGUGGAUUCCGUAGCACCGACUACAUCGCAGGCCAUGCCUGAUAAUCAAAUUCAAGCUGUUCUGACUUCGGUUGUUGGAAAGCAAAGUUAACAUAAGUGAAAAAAAAUGUUUCUAUUCCAAUUCUUCUGUGUCAAUGCAUGGCUGUGGGGUAGUUGGGGGUGGGGGGGGGGUAAUUAGUGCAGAUGAUACAGUGACAAGCAAUGCUGAUGGGGAAAACAAAUUAAUCAAAAGCUCAGCUGUGGGGGUUUAUGAAUCAUGUGUGAGCAAAUAAAUCAGAAAAAAAUUACAAAGACAACUUACCUGCUGUAACUUGGUAGCAAUUCUCUGGUACAUUUCAUUUAUUUCAGGCAAAUACGUUUCCUUCAUAACUUUGAUCUAGGAAGUACAUAUAACCAGCAAAACAUUAUCAAUCAUAUGCUUGAUUUCUUCAGGUGGCAGAGUCAGAAAGCAACUUAAGCAAACUUGAGAGAAUUGAUAGAUAAAUAAAUAAAAUGGCAGAGGACAGCAUAUAUUGUUUGAGAUAAAAAUAGCAGAGUGGAAUCAAUGCUGAAAACUCAAUAGAGAAUAUAGUUAUUGAUUGCAUGCAAAGAUGCAAAGGAUUGUGUAGUUACCCCUUCAGACAAGAUUCAGGGAUUGGUCAAGUUCAGUUACUUUGUCUCACGGCAAACUACUCACCAUUGUUUUCUAUUGUUCUCACUCAAGUCAAUGGAUGUCACGACUUUGGUAAACACUUCUUAGCUUUAUAACUUUAGAUUUAUAAUCCUUAUAUCCUAAUUACAACCACUCCUAUUCCCGUUUUAGUACCCUCCCAGGCACAAAAAAAUUGACCUCAUCAAAUAUGCAGUUAUGAGUUGCAACUACAGCCAUUAAACGAUUCAGAAUAUCAACCUCGUUUUCUAUAAAAUUCAACAAUGCUGGACAUGGUCAUGAUUCAAUGGAUUAGGUCCACUUAUUUUCCUUUCUUCGAUUGUCACAUGUUUCAGAACAAAUUUGAUUGUAAUCUUGAAAAUAACUGUUCACUUAACCAAAUAUAACGAUGACUAUUCAGAAACAGUUCACUCUUGUUUUCAAGUCUGUCUAUUAUUGUAAGAAGUAUUGUCAAUUGGACUUAUUGGAAAUAAUAAAAUAAUAAUUCACCACACAAUAAAUGUAUGGAAAUACAGGGAAAAAAUUGAAAGGGAGAGAUUUGCAAUAGAAAAAAUUGUCGUGUCAGUACCAAGAAAAUAACCCUCUUGACCUAGAAAUCUGAAUAUUUACCUUUAAUCAUCUUAUCAGUAAUUUAUCGUUUCUUAGUUGCUGCAAUCAUGGAACUUACAAUGCUUCCUAACUAAUCACAACCAUAGCUGAAUAAAACUCCCUUGUACCAAAUUCCAGGAGACCUUUUCCAUUGAAAUCUUGCAAGACGAUGACAUACAUGAACAGUAAACUACAGAAAUUACCUUUUGGUAGAUCUCCUCUUGCCAAUCAGCACCAUUUGCAUGUCCAGUUUCUGCUGUAGAAUCUACACACACAUGUGUACAUGCAUAAAUCCACAAACUUAUGCAUGUGUAUAUUCAUGUCUAGAGAAUAUCGAAAUUAUUGAACCUAGCAUUAGCCGAAUACCUGAUUGGUGGCGGCAGUAUAAAUCUUUUCCUCAAACCGUACGGCAAUUUUCUUGAGUUCUUGUAAUCCCUCUUGACCAGAAAACGGAAGAUGCCUCUUUAAUGUCUCCAUUCUACACAUGUAAAACAUUACAUUUAAUUUUUAAUGACAAGGCAGGUAUAGAGAAGUUAGCAGCAGUGAGAAAGAACCGUGAACUCAUACACCACACCAAUAUCAGAAAUGUAUACUACGGAAUCAUUAGCAAAAAGUAAAAACAAAUAAUGAUAUAGCCGAGUGUCGAUCAAGUAAUAUAUGGCAUCAACAUACAGACAUCUAUUUUUACUUCCUUUCCCCGUAUUAUUCCAGAGGUACAGGGUAUACGAGUUCACUUGGCCACCCUUCUGUCUAAAAUUCUAGUUACGAGCUUCAUGGUUAAUUUUCUUGAACCGGAAGAACCUUCCAUUUAUGGCUAUGGCUAUGCUCCAAGAUAUACAAAUGAAUUAGUUGCAAACCAGGGGAACUUUGUGAAAACAUUACAAUAGAAUUUACUCUGAAUAAGAAAACCUUUAUACAUGCACUGUAAUUGACAAAGAAAAGAAGAGAAAUCCUUUUAAUUUAUGAAAAUGCAAUGAGGUAACCUUAUCUCAUGCUGCAAUAUAUACUCUACAGUGCUCAUUGGCUACUUUAAGUGCCAACAGUAGCUGUCUAUACGAAUUUGGAUGUAGAGAUAUCACCAAAACAUUCAACUUUAUACUGAGAAACUAGGAAACCAUGCACUAUUGUAGCUAAAUGAUUUUUGUCAGCUGCUUUUGUACUUUAAGAUCACUAUCAUUUCAACCCUGUAGAAGUUAAAGCAUAUAGAAGGCUCAAAUCCAACACUAUUCAUUUAAGUUCAGUUGCAACUCAAGGUUGAAAUUGAAACACCAAUGCUCAUAGCAAUAGAUUAACCUUGAAAUUUAAAGCGGACAAGCUUCAUGCAGUCAUCCUAGAGGUCAUCAUCAAAAGAAUAUGUUACACAAGAAGUUACUUCCCAGCACUUUUUAUUCCCUCAAGUCACUUCUUGUGAGAAACACGUGAAAAAUGAAAAAGACAAAAACAGAGGUGUAUGAUACUUGAGGUUGCCUCAUGGCAGUCCUGCUGAUUUUAAAUAACCUUUUUCCCUUCUCUUUUUCUUUCAUUUAAAUACAAGAUUUACUAUUUUGCAGCACUUGCACAUAUUAGGAAACAGAUACUUACAUUUUGUUGACUAUUCUUUGCCGUGAGUCAGGCUGCAAUCAAGUUCUCCAAUCACCUGUGUCCCUCACAGGUUCUCCACCUGGGGCAGUGGACCUCCAAUUAUUGGCAUCCAUGGGGUUUUGGCCAACCAAAAAAAUCACUUCUAUCACCAAAUUUUUUUUUAAUUAUAUUGCAUGUUAGAAUAGACCCUAAAAAGAAAGUCAGGAACAACAGAAAAGUAAGAGCACAUCAAAGUCAUGAAACUUGGAACAUCAGUUUAUUCAGACUUGAAUAGAUUUAAAAAGAACUUCCAUCUAAUAGCAUGUACUUUAUUAAAGAAUUCUACCAAAUAUGGAUGCAUAAAAUCUGAACAGCCAUAACAAAUAUACACGACCAUUCAAGGCAAGGUGCUAGGAUCUUGGGUAUUCAGGUAUACGGGUAUUAUAAGAGAUUUGGGCCUGAAUCUUCAUGGUGCUUCUAAAACCAAGGAAGCAAAAAACUAGCCAGCCAGUUCAUAACUUGCCGCACCAACAGAUGGUGAGUGUUGGUAAACCAAGCCAUAGAGAAACUCAUGGUGCUUCAAUUUUAACUUGAUGUUUUCUAGCAACACUCGUGAUGCAUCAUUGAUGCAAUGUUACAAUGACAAACUUGCAUUUGUAUUCAUUGUGGUUUUAGGUUCACAGAUUCUGAUCAAAUAGAUAUUUAAUGUUCCAAAAACAUUGUAUACGCAUUUAAAUGCUUUACUUCAAUAGAUAGAUUAAGUUAUCUUUCUAGAUAUCAGUAUAUCACAUCUUACCAAUUUAGAUUCAGCACAGGACCUUUUUCAAGUGCUUACCAAUUUUUACUCGCAACCAAAUACAUACCGUCAAACCCCAACACCCCCCCCCCCGGUUCUUGUUAUUUAUGUAUGAAUUAACUUUUCUGAAAGAAUAAAUGUUGUGUGGAGGAAAUAGUGUAAAUAGAAAGAGGAGAAUACCACAUCCCCAAAAGAAUAAAGAAAGAAGAAGAAAACAAAACAAAGUCAUAAAACAAGGCUUUUCAAUCCCCGAUGAAUAUCAGCAGUCUAAAUACCCCAGCAAAUAGAACAUGAAGAGAUUGUCUAGGAUGUUUUAAGCUAGGAAAAUGAAGAAAACGACAAGCAUUAACCAUGAAUAUUUCAUGUUAUCAUCAACUCUAAAGAGCAGACUGAUAAGAAUCAACUUAAUAACUCUUGUUGAAAUAAGAUUAAAUUUGCAGGCACAUCUUUCUUGGAAUAGACAACACAAUAACCCUGACCAUGCUCGACCUUGAGGUAAGUUAUAAAAUGUUCUUCCUAACUAGAUGCACAGGUGCGCCUUUGGGGUGAAGUGAACUAGGUCAUUUGUUUUGCACUUUCACAUGCUCUUAACUUUCAACUCAAUCAAUCACAAUACAGUCCUUGGUUAGGACUAACUGUCCUACUCAAGCUUUCACCUCAUACUCAAGACCAGCUGAGCAGUCCUAAAAAGAAAGAUAUAUCAUGUAGGGUUAUCAAGGCAGACCUAUUGUUUUUAUUUUUUUUCGCGUUAACAUGACCAAAUUAUAAAAUUUAAAGUUCUUUUCUUUCUUUCUUUUUUCCAUGUGUGAGCGAGCAUAAAACCCAAGGAUAUCGUAUUGUUGUUAAGAACACAAUAAUUUUGAAGAAUUCAGUAAAUUCCAAAAAAGAAGAAUCCACCAAACAGCUCAUUUUUUGGUUAUUACAAAAUCUGAAGCCUUCUUGGCAGCGGCGGUUUCCGAGAGGCGGAGGAGGGAGGGAGGGAGUGAGAGCUCGGGUGGGGAGAGGUGAGGAAUGCUGGGCCCAAGUGAAAUGGAUGACUUUAUUCUUUUCCAGAUUCCUUCUAAAAAAAUUAACGAGUAAACACUAGCUUGCUCGCUCGCUCGCACGCACGCACGCAUAUGAUAAUUAAAAUUUGAGUUAAAUUCUAUUUAACUAGUGUCUGUAUUUGUGUUAAACAAACAGAUUAAUCCCUCAAGUUCAUUUAAAUAACUAAUUGAUCCUUGAAUCACAUUUUACCGUUAAGUUAGCGGCACAAACUAAGGAAAUAUUGCUGACAGCUCAACAUUUUACUAACGAAAAAUUUAUGAAGGGACCGCAUUGUAAACAUAUUUAAAAGUAUAGGGAUUAGUUAGAACAGCUAGUUAUCAGUUAUCACUGCCUCUGAGAAUUAAUAUACAGCUCAGCAUUUUGUUGAAGGGACGGGCAAAGGUACAUUUAUUUCCGUUAACUUUCUAAUAUUAGAUCUUGCUUCAGUACACUUUAUUAAAUUUAUUUUAAUAUAUUAAAUAAUAUAAAGCACAAAACAGAUCAUAAUAAAAUACAAUAAAAACAAGUUGUGAUAUAUUUGUUGCACAUGGCAAUCUAUAAAUGAAGUGGUUGGACCUCAAUUUUCAAUUUUUUUAUUUAAAAUUAAUUUUUAUUUUAGAUUAUUUUGAUGUAUUGAUAUUAAAAAUAAUUUUUAAAAAUAAAAAAAUUAUUUUAAUGUAUUUUCGAGUUAAAAACAUUUUAAAUACAAUCACACUUUCAACCACCCUCAAAUUGUUUGAUAUACACUUUCAACAUGACAAGGAUUGAUCAUUGUCUUAUCCAAAGUUUUUCUCCGGAUAAGAAAUUUGUAAAAAAAAAUAUUUUUUCUUAAUUUUGUAUUUUGUAUUUAUCGCUUAUUUAUCUUUUAAUUCGAAAAACUAAAAUUUGACCAAUUUUAUUGAAAUAGAUAUGUGCAUGUAAGAUUUUAAUUGCAAAAUCUUUUUGAUUUAAGAACUAGAUUGUUCUAGAUGACAGAAAUUCUAGUAAAGACUAAAAUAUCAUAAAAAUAAAAAUAAAACAAAUAAUUGAAAAAAUAUCAAUAAUAAAAACAAAAUUAUUUGAUCUUGUCUCGUGUGCAUCAAACAUAGAAUAAAAACAUAUAUUAUCUAGUUCAAUUCAAUUCAAUCUUAAAUAUUGUUUAGUAUUUAUAUUAUCAUUUUCAAACUAUAAUAACUAACGCAUUUUUAGUUUCAAUUUACAUACAAACUCAUCUAAUGAUAUUUUUAUUGUUAAAAAAAUAUCAUAAUUUGGAAUUCCAAAAAAAAAUUCUAUUGGAAAAAUGUUCUACAAAAAUAAAAAGAAAUGUGGAAAUAUACUUAUAUAUUAUAAAUUAAUGGAAAUACAUCAAAUUAUUGAUAAUGUCAAAAUGUUGCAUGGCACUUUAAUCACAUGUCUCCUUCUCCUCCUCCUCCUCCUCCUCCUCCUUACAAUUGUGUUUCAAAAUAUAUGAUAAGAGAAAGGCUUGAAUGACAACAUACACGUUUCUAUAUGCUAUCAAAAGGUAAUAUUUGAUUACAAUCCUGAACAAAAGAGACGAAAACCAUGAAAAUAAAGGAAACAAGAUAGAAAAGAAUUUGAAAAUAUAAUUAUGUCUAGUAGUAACUAUUUAUAUAUCUUAUUUGAUAAUGAUAAAUAAAUAAAAUAAAAUAUAAAAAAUUAUUUUAUCUUUAAUAUGUAUUAUUAUUAAACUUAUACAUUUAUACAAAUAAGUUUGUAUUAAGUGUUAAAAUUAAUAAUAUUAUGAUAACCCUAAUUAUAAAGCCUACACUGGCCUAGUGGAUCGAUUCGGGACUUAGUCGUCUCUAGACCUGGAUCAAUACAAGUUUAAGAAAAGAUAAGGUGAAUUAAAAAACCUUCUUGAUUCAGGAUAAAGCAUGGGUUGACUUAGGAUAAAACACGGGGCAAAACCCAUUGUUUUUUUUUUUUUUAAAAUGGUCAAAACAAGGUUGUGUUGAUUCUCAUUUAAAAAAAAAAAAUUUGGGUCAACUCGAGUUGACCCUCCCAACUCAUGACCCAAGCUUUGCCUCAGAUCGAAUCUUAGAUGAAGUUUCAAAACUAUGAUAAUAAUUAUUUUUAUCUAUGCAUUAAUCCUCCUGACCCAAGACUUGAGCUUAUAUCAGGUCAAUCCCUGAGUUGAGUUUUAAAAAUAUUGUAAUAACCAUUUUUAUCUUGACAUUGACCCCGUUCAACCAGAGUUGACCCUCCUGACUUGUGACUUGAGCCUUGCCCUAAGUCAACCUUCAAGUUAAGUUUUAAAAUUAUAAUAAUAACCAUUUUUAUUUUUUUAUUGACCUGGGUCAAUGGUCAACCUAAACAAUAACUCGAGCCUUGUUCCAGGUCGACUCUCGUGUUAGAUUUUACAACUAUAAUAAUAACUAUUUUUAUGCUUACCUUGAUUUGGGUCAACAAGGAUCACAUAUUUUACUCCAAGUCAACCCCCAAGUUGGGUUUUAAGACUACAAUAAUAACUAUUUUUAUUUUUACAUGUCUUAGUUAGGCAAUUUUGAAAUUGAAAGUUUUUUACAAUGAUAUUUUAUGAAUAAAAAAUAAUAAAUAUUGUUUAUAAAGAUAUGUCUUAUUUGUACUUUCUAUUUUGAAAGUCCAUAAAUUCACUGUAAAAUUAUCCUGUAAAAAUAUUAUUUUUAUAUCUAUUUUUAUUUUCAAUUAAACACAUUUUUGUCUCUACUAUUUUCAUUCUUUUUAUCCUAAGAUAAUAACUAAAUGCUACACUAGAGUUUAAUAAUGAUAUAAAUGCGAACAUCUUAACUUCGUAAAAUCAAAUGAGUAAAGAAGAAGACAUAAAAGGGAAGUUCAUGUUAAUUUUAUAAAAUCAUAGUUAUUAUAUCUUGCUUAAAGCUUGAUUCGGCUAAAAUCCUAGAUUAGCAAGUUAUAGGUCAACCUAUUAAGUUAAUGAGUUGACUAGUAUAUCAAUUAUGAUAAUAAAUUAUACAUAUAAUAUUAAAUCUAAAUGUUUCAUACAUGUUGGUUUUGGUGGGUUGGUAAUUUUUUUGUGUCAAUAAAAAAACACCAAGAUUCAAACAUUACUGUAUGAAUAUUUUUUUCAAAGUCAACCUUUAAAUCAACUAGGUUUUAAAAUUUAGUAGUUAAACUCACAAAUCAAUCAUUUGAUUUAUGUGAUAGGCCUAUAUUUAAGAUGAACAUUUACCAUAAAUGAAAUGUAUCUUACAGUAUCAGACUUGUUAUUAUAAAACAUGUUUUUGUUAAAGAGUUAUUGAUACUUCAAAUGCAAAAUGAUGAUAUAAAACCUUGAUAAAAAUACACUUUUAAGUAUUAAUCAAUGUUCUACUAGAAUGUAGGAGAAGCAUAGAGAGUGGGACCCGACUUCUCACGUGCAAGUACAACAGGAGUUCAAGGUAAGGGUUGCCCCCUUGCUUCUUUAAAAUGUUUAAAUUCUUGUAAAGCUAAUAUGUUAUAGACAUUAUAUGUAUCAUGUACUACUGUGUAUCAUGAGAAAUAUGUCCUAUAUGAACAUUGUCUACGGGUAGUAUAAAUAUUGUUGCGUGAAAGUUACCAACAAGUAGGAGAAAUAUUAUUAUUGUGUGAACGUUGCCAAUGAGCAAGAAAUGUUAUUACAAUGUGAAUGUUGCCUACGAGCAAGGAAAAAAAUAUUAAUUCUAUGUGAAUGUUGCCUACGGGUAGGGAAACAAAUACUAAUUCUAUGUGAAUAUUACCUACAAAACAGAGAAAUAAUAUUAUUAUAUGAAUAUGUCCACCUAGUGAAUAUGACUAAAGAAAGGAAAGAUACAAUGAAACAAACAUGGAUUUGAAAUUUGAAUUUUGUUCGUAGUCUCUAGGAUUUGGAGUUUGGAUAUGGGUCUAUAUUAUGUUUAUAUAUAUAAAAAAAAGAAAAAGAAAAGAUUGCCUAUGGACUUAAUUACCGACCUCGAAUAGGGGUAGCUAAUGAUGUUAACAAAUAUUGUUAACAUUGGCAUGAUCUUGAUGGAAAUAUAAUGAAUAUUGAACUUGAUUAACUAUUUGUAUCACUAAUAGUUAAUGAUAUUGAUGAAUAAUGUUUGUAUCGACAAGCCCAUACUAACUAACUUGAUUAACUUUAUAAGGUUGAAGUUAAUGGUGUCAUGAGAACUUGGCAUCGGCAUUUCUGGAAAUAUCUCCAAUUGUGAUGGAGAGUAAUUGAUUGACUAUUUCGGGUUGGAAAUAGCUCAAUGGCAUCGAUCGAUUAAGUUGGUGUCGGCAUUGCUAAGGAAUUGAUUAGUUUAUCUAGGUAAGGGUGACUAAUGACACUAAUAGGAGUUAUUAGUGUUGGCAGUGACUGCCUUAGAAUUUGGGGCGGAAGAAAAAGGGUAAAUCAUACAAAAGUUAAUGUGUGAUAAUCGAAAAGAAAACCAUAAGUAGGUUGUGGAAGGAUAGGUGUUAGAUGUAGUAAAUGAUCUUCUUUUACGGAUCAACUAUGAUUAUGCCCUAUCAAGUGGGUACACAUAUGCGUAGUUACAUGUAGUAGUGACCCUCCAUUAUCUGGUUGUAUUUUAUUUAUUUAAUAUAAUUAUUCUCUUAUUUUGAUGUUUUAGGUCUUUCUCAUUCCCAUCAGGAGUAGUGUCCUAGGUGUCUAGUUCUUUUGUAUGAAUUAGGGAAUUAUCAUUUCCAAUUCUUUUGUAUAACUUAGGGUUAGCAUCUUUAUUUCUUCUGUGUGAACCUGGGAUGAAAUGGAUGUUGUAUUUUCUUUAGAUAAUUAUAUGACAGGAACGAUGUUAAUGUUCCUUUAUCUUAAUCUUAGAGACCUUUAGAAUUUUAUGCUUGUAAUAUUAAUGUUAUUAAUCAAGUUUAUUACUAUUAGUUUGUGUUGUAAAUUAUAUGUUCGAAAUGAAUCCUUGGAUUUGCAAUAUAUUAUGAUUAAUAAUAAUUUUAUGCUUGUAAUAUUAAUGUUGUAGGAAUUAAUUUUAAAUGCUUACGAAAUCGCCGGGCAUUACAUUACUAAUAAGGCUAGCUACCAAAUCCUCACCCACCGAUGUAGGAUAUUACAAUCCACCUCCCUUAUGGAGCCCGACGACCUCGUCGGCACAACUGGAUAUCCAGUGAGGUUGGCUCCGAUACCAAAUAUCACAACCCGCCCCAACUUGGAAAAUAUUAUUGGUUUUGGGCCUUACCGCCAUCACAAAUUUGUUUUUAGAAGCCACGCAUAGCUCCAAAACGUAUCUGACAAGUCAACAACCAACAAUACUAAUAAGGCUAACUAUCAAAUCCUCACCCGCCGAUGUGAGAUAUCACAAUGCACCCUUCUUAAGGAGCCCGACGAUCCCAUCGGCACAACCGAACAACCAGUGAGGCCGACUCUGAUACCAAAUGUCACAGCCCGAUCCAACCUGCUAAAUAUUGUCCGCUUUAAGCCUUACCACUCUCACAGAUUUGUUCUUGGCAGCCACGCAUGGCUCCAAAACACGUUUGACAAGUUAGCAAUAGUUAGCUACUAAAUCCUCACUCAUUGAUGUGAGAUAUUAUAUUAAAAAUAUACAAGUUUGUAUACUAGUGUUAUGCUUUGGAGAUAAAAAACCCUUUAACUGUAAAACAAAAUAUCCAAGUCUAAGGGAACUCAUUAGCAUUAUUAUUAAACUUGAAAAUACAGUAGUUUUGAAUUUUUCUCCAUCAAGAUAAUUUUUCUUAUUAACAUAUUUUUUUUUGUUUAUCCUGGUGAAUGCAAGCUUUUUUUUCUUUACUAGAAUCAUUGUUUCUAUUAAAAGAAUAUUCUAUAAUUGUCACAACAAAUUAAAAAAAAAUAAUCAAAAUAGUAUGUUAAUAUUUUUAUGUGUGAUUGAAAGUUAAAAAAAUAAUAAAUAUGAUAAAAUCAUGCUCAAAAUAUAUUUAAAAAUUCUAAGAUUAAUUAAAAAAGUGAUUUAAAUUGAACUUUCAUGAACAAAUUUUUAUGGCAUAUAUAUAAUAAUUGAAAACAAUUAUUAAAAUUUAAAUAAAAAUUUAUAAAACAAGGCUUGCGCAUCUGACCUUGUUUUAUAUUUUUAUUAAACUCUACUCGAAUGCUGGAGCUCUAUCAGUUGUUCCUCUAUUUUUAUUAUCCCAGCAUUAGUUGUUGACAAAAAAAACUGGAAACAUCCUCUCGUGGUUGCUAGGAGUUGGGAGUCACAAAAAUUUACAUGACUAGAUGAGAUAAUAACAACAUCCUUGUAGAUGAGGUUGCCGAUGCGUUGCGGUUGCUGCACAUUGCGAUGUCUUUGCAGAUGAAACCCACUAGCUGCUGAUGCAAAGCUUGUUGAAUUUGCCACAUGUUGAGCUUGGGCUUGCAUAAAAGCAUUAGUGUAGAUUAGUUGAGUCUGUUGCAGUGCAUACUUUUUUAACUGCUACUGCUACUGCCGCUUUGAACAAGAUUUUGAGGAAAUGCAGAAGUGCAUUAGGUAACUUGGUACCCAUAGAUGAUGAUGAUGAGAUGUGGUCCGAAUAAACACUUCCAUUACUAGUUGUUGGUGUUUCACUAUGAAUGGAAGCUGCAGCUGCAAAUUGUCUCACAGGAAUUGUUGAAACAGAGGAGUCUGUUAAAUAUAGCCAAGAGAACACAAUUGACUGCCCAACAGUUAAUGGGGUCUGUCCUCCAACCAUAUCGGCCUUCCUCUCUCCUUCCAUAUUUGAAGUGUCAUUUCCUCCAUUUUCCCCUUCUUCAGGCACACGGUAAUUCAUCUGUUGUGUUGCUUGGGCCGCAGUGAUGAAGUGAUAGCCAUGCCUUGCUGCCGUUGGAGGGCUUUGGAGAAGAGCAUGAUUCUGAACCAGCAAUGAAACAUCAAGACCUAGGAAAGUUGUGGUUCCGUUGAUGGAGCAAAUGACAUUGCAAAAGGAGGAGGUGUUUGUGAGUAACAUUCUGAUUUUGCAUCAGCUGCCGCUACUAGUUCGGCAGGGAAUGAUUCUGUUGAUGAUUCUACAGAUAGUUGGAUCUUGAUGAUCGCUGCUGAUUCCACCUAAUUCACUCCCAUGUGGUUUAUGCUGCUGAUUCUGCAAAUGCUUCUGAUUCUGAUGACGAGGAGCCACUAGAAAUACUUGGAUUUUAAUGACCCUGUUGGCUUUGUUGUGUCUGUAUGAAUGGUUGUUGCUGUCGCUGAAGCUGUGAAGGAUGAAGCAUUCAAGAAGAAAAAAAUUGAUCCAUUGAAGAAAGACAGCCUGAGGAUGGGUUCCUUUGUAAGUUGUUGUGGCCCCCAACAUGUUCAGGGAUUGGAAUCUCGUACGCACCAUUUUGCAAAAUUGCCAGGGAAGUUUGGGUAGUUGAAGCUCAUUGUUGUAGCACCAGUUAUUGUUGAUGUCGUGGCAUUUAUUGAAGCAGAACUUUAGCUACUUGAAGAAGCUACAUUGCUAGCAACAGGGGAAGGCCUCACACUGGCUAGUUGAAUAGAAGCUUUUACUACUGCAGUAGCUUGUUAUUGAUCCAUUGGGAAGAUGAAAGCGAGCCCUUGCUUGAAAAAUCUUAUUAUGAGCCCUAGGGGGCAGAACUCGCUGAAGCAAAAUCUGCAAGGGCCUAAAUACAAAAAAAAAAAAAAAACGUUAUGUACAAGUUGAAUAAGAAAUUGGAUAGCUGAUAGAAUUGAUGCAGGCAACAAGGAAAAUAUGGGGAGUCGCUAGCAAGGUCAUUUAUGUUACAAUGAUAUGUUCUUAUUUAUUGCUUUUCUGAAUAAGAGAUCAUGUUCUUAUAUCAUAUACAAGGCUGCUAAGUAUGGAAAGUAAUAACUAUUUACACAUAAAUUGGCUGGGAUCAUGGUGAUACAUAUUUUGUGGAGCUAAUGGAUUCUAUCCUCGUGAUUUCAGCAAUUAAUCUCAAUGAUAGUUCAUGCCAACACUCUCCCUCGAGUUGGUGCACAGAUGCCUUUAAUGCCCAACUUGUCUAGCGAGUUAUAAAACAUCUUGCUUGAAACAACUUUUGUGAGAAUAUCCACUAGAUGGUCUUCUGAUAUUACAAAUGGGAAUUGAACUAUCUUGGCCUCAAGCUUUUCUUUGAUAAAAUAUUGAUCUAUUUCAACAUGUUUUAUCUUGUCAUGUUGAACUGGAUUUUGUGCAAUUUGUAUAUUUGCUUUAUUCUCACAAAACAACCUCAUGGUUGGCCAAGAUGAGUAGCCAAUUUCUUCCACCAACUCCCUUAACCAAAGAAGCUCGCAAAGUCCUUUGUCCAUGCCAAGAAACUCAGUCUCUGCACUAGAUAAUGCCUCAACUUUAUGUUUCUUACUUCUCCAAGUGACUAAGUUUUCUCCACAAAAGUGAAAUACCCAAAAAUAGACUUUCUAUCAACAAUGUUUCCGACUCAAUCUGCAUUUUUAUACCUAUCAAUGUUUAGGUGGUUAUACUUCAUGAACAUAAGCCCUUUUCCUAGAGAUGCCUUCAACUAUCAUAAGAUCCGGAUCAUAGCUUCCAUAUGCUCUUCACUUGAGCUAUGCAUAAACUAACUCACCAAGUUCACAACAUAGGUAAUGUCUAGUCGAGUAUGAGAUAAAUAAAUCAACUUCACAACUAACUGUUGAUACCUUUCUUUAUUAGUGGGUAUUUGAUUUGGAUGCUCUCCUAGUUUGUGGUUUUGGACUGUUGGUGUGUCUGCUGGUUUACAAUCAAGUAUACCUGUCUCAGCUAGUAGGUUAAGUACAUAUUUUCUUUGUGAGAGAAAUAUCCCUUUACUUGAUCGAGCCACUUUAAUCCCCAAAACAAAUUUUAGUCCUCCAAGGUUUUUCAUUUCAAACUCAUUCGUUAGAUGUUCUUACAAGCUCAAGAUCUCCUCCUCAUCAUUUCCUAUAAUUAUCAUAUUUUCGACAUAAAUUAAAAGGCAGUUACCAUUUUCCCUUGAUGUUUUAGGAAUAAAGUGUGAUAUGAAUUUCUUUGUUUGAAGCUGUACUUCUUCGUGGCUAAACUAAACCAUCCAAACCACAUCCUUGGUGACUAUUUUAGACCAUAUAGUGCCUUCUGCAACUUGCACACUACUCCAGCAUAUGAGGUAGCAAAGCCUGGUGGGACAUCCAUAUACACUUUUUCUUCAAGGUUCCCAUGAAGGAACACAUUUUUGACGUCGAACUAUUGGAGUGGCCAAUCUAAAUUCACAGAGAUUGACAGCAAUGCCCUGAUUGUAUUUAAUUUUUCCAUGGUGAAAACUUCCCCUGAUAGUCAAUGCCAUAUGAUUACGUAUAUCCUUUUGCGACAAGCCUUGCCUUGUAUCUAUCAGCCUUGUAUUUAAUAGAGAAUACCUAUUUACUUCCUAUUGCUUUCUUCCCUUUUGGUAGUGGCAUGAUCUUCCAUGUUUCAUUCUUUUGUAAAGUUGCCAUUUCUUCUAUUAUUACUUGAUUCCAUUUUGGAUUACUCAAGGCUUCUUGCACUGUGUUUGGGAUGUGUUCAGAAGACAGCUUUUGCACAAAGGUCUUGAGUGGCUGUGACAAUCUUUGGGUAGUGACAUGAUUAGCAAUUGGAUAUUUAAUUUUCUCCUCUCUAUGGUCUGGUGAGUAUCGACUUGGUGGCUUGCUGCGGUUGCACCUAUGAGGUAAUUUGUAGCCAACAAAACUAUCUUUAAUAUUAUUAAGAGAGAGAUUUGGGAACUGUACCUCAGGAUUAUUCUUAGGACAAUGGUUGUUUGAUACUGAACCGAGAGGGGGCUGUUCUUGUUCUUGUUCAUUCUCUGUCUUGUUAUUCUACCCAACUAUUGUGUUUGUGUCUCUAAACCAUGGCCAGUUCUCCCAAUUACAACCAUGGUCUAUAUUCUGCUCUUCACCAAUCAUCUCCCCCUGAAGAGAAUAAUGAGAACCUGGCUCUUGAAAGAAGUAUUUAGUUUCUAGAAAUGUAACAUCCAUUGUGAUGUAAAGGCGUCUUGUUAUAGGAUCAUAGCAUUGGUAGCCAUUCUUAUACUGUGUAUAGCCUAGGAAUAUACAGCGGACUGCACAUGGAUGAAGUUUGGUUCUUUGAUUUUUGUGAAGAUGGACAUAAGCUACGCAUCCAAAUAUCUUUGGUGGAAGCAUAAGUAUAGACGGGAGAGGCACAUGAUGGGCGAGAGCUUGUAAUGGAGUACUAAAGUUUAACACCCUAGACGACAUUCGGUUCAACAAGUAGACCGCAGUUGUGACUACAUCUGUCCAAAACCGUGGAGGUGCAUUUACUGCUGUUAAGAAGGCCCAAGUUGUUUCUAAGAUAUGUCUAUUCUUCUUCUCUGCAACAACAUUUUGCUGUGGUGUUUGGGAGCAUAUUGUCUCAUGGUAUAGCCCACAUGUUUGGAAGUACUCUUGUAACUCUUUAUUGUCAUACUCCCCACCAUUGUCAGAACGAAGGAUUUGAAGUUUGGUAGAGAAUUGGGUUUUGAUCAUAUUAUGGAAAGAGCGAAAAAUCCUUGCUACCUCAUUCUUACUUUUCAUCAAAUAUAACAAUGUCAUGCGUGUGCAGUCAUCCACAAAAAUCACAAAUCAUCUGAUGCCUCAAGAAACUGAAACGGGAGCUGGUCCACAUAUGUCCGAGUUAAUUUACAUAAAUGGUGUCUCACACUUUUUGAAUUUAUUGGAUAGGAAACUUGAUGGCUUUUAGCUAAAAUGUAGGUUUUACAUUUUAACAUUGUAUUGUCUGAGUUGCAAAACAAACUAGGAAAUAAAUGUUUUAAGUAGGAGAAUGACGGGUGUCCCAAGCAGUGAUGCCACAACCAGAUAUCAUGUUCUUUGUUACCAAGAUGACGAACAUUGUUCGCCUUGUUAGAAUUGAAAAUAACUUAAACAAUACAGUAAACUUAACAAUGCAGUUUACGUAAAGAAAAAGCAAUUUGAUUUUAAGAUGGCAGAGUUGAGUAGAAAGAUCAAUACUUUUCAUUAACUUCAAAUGCAUAUAAAUAGGAUUACAUAGAACUUGAAAUGAUGAACUCUCAACAAACUUGAGAGAUUAUUGGAAUUGAAAUAACAAACUCAGCAGAAAGUUUCUGCUGCAAUCUGAAGAAGCUAACGAAAAUUCAAAUAUUUAAAAACUACUCUUAACUCUAUCUUUCAAGGCAAAAACUCAUAAUUCUAACACUCCUCCUUGAGACUUGCCUUGACAAACCAAGUUUCAUCCUUAGAAAUUCCAGUCUUGAUCUAGGAAGAGCUUUAGUCAUUAUAUCAGCAAGUUGAACAUCUGUUGGACAAUAGAGUAUCUUUAUAAGCUUGUUCUUCUCGGCUUCUCUUAUAGAAUGAAACUUCACAUUGAUGUGCUUGGUUCUGCCAUGUUGAACCGGAUUUAGAGCAAUAGCAAUGGCAGAUUUGUUGUCACAAUAAAGCUCAGUUUGUGAGCUUUGUUCUUGACCCAAAUCAGCAAGCAAUUUGUUCAACCAAAUUGCUUGAUUUGCAGCAGCUGCCAUUGAGAUAUACUCUGCUUCAGCUGUUGAUUGUGCCACCACCUCCUGCUUCUUUGCAUUCCAACAAAUUGCACCUGAACCAAUAUUAAAAACAUAUCCAGAGGUGCUCUUCAUGUCAUCAACACUCCCUGCCCAGUCACUGUCUGCAUAACCAAUCAGAUUUACUCCUCCUGUCUUCAAGUACCAGAUGCCAAGAUCAGUUGUUCCUCUGAUGUACUUCAACACUCUUUUAGCAAUUCCCAUGUGAAUGUUGCUAGGUGAGCUCAUAAACCUUGACAGCAAACCAGCUGGAAACAUUAAGUCAGGUCUAGUUGCUGUCAAGUAUAGCAAACUGCCCACUAGGCUUCUAAAUCCAGAGGGAUCUUCAAGUUUCUCACCAUCAUUCUUUGAAACUUUCUCAUUUUGUGCUAAAGGAGUUGCUACUUCUUUGCAUGACUCAAGCUUGAACUUCUUGAGUAUAUCAACAACAUACUUCCUUUGUGAAACAAAAAUACCCGAACUACAUUGAUGUAUUUCCAUUCCAAGAAAGUAGUUCAUAAUGCCAAGAUCAGACAUUUCAAAAACAUCUUGCAUUUCAGUUUUGAACUCUUCCAGCAACUUUGCAUUGCUUCCAGUAACUAGCAUGUCAUCUACAUAGAGUGAUAUCACCAGCUGCAAACCAUCUUCAUCUUGUUUCAGAUAUAGGGUAGCUUCAUUUUCACUUCUUUUGAAUCCUAGUUGAAUCAAAUGAGUAUCAAUCCUGCUGUACCAAGCCCUUGGUGCUUGCUUCAAACCAUAAAGAGCUUUGUGUAGCUUGUAAACUUUGUGUUCAUCACCAGCAAAACAAAGCCUUCUGGUUGCUGAACAUAAAUUUCCUCAAGUAGUAUUCCAUUUAGAAAAGCAGACUUCACAUCUAAAUGAUAAACUUUCCAUCCUUUUUGUCCCGCAAGAGCAAGUAGGAGUCUUAUAGUGUCAUGCCUAGCUACUGGUGCGAAAGUAUCUCCAUAAUCCACUCCAGCAACUUGAGCAAAACCUUUAACAACCAAUCUAGCCUUGUGUUUGAAGAUUGAACCAUCUGGAUUGAAUUUGGUUCUGAAAACCCACUUCACUCCAAUUGCCUUUUUAUCUCCAGGAAUUUCAGUCAAUCUCCAAGUCCCAUUUCUUUCAAUGGAAUCAAUUUCUGAUUUCAUUGCUUCAAUCCAAGCUGGAUCUCCUGCAGCUUCAGAGUAAUUUGUAGGCUCAGCAUGUACAAGGUUACAUCUUUCAUACACAUCAGACAAUUGUCUAACCUUAAGUACUGUUGUAUCUGAAGUUGCUUCAAUGGCUUGUUGAUCUUCAUCAUCAAUACUUUGUACUGGUGAUUCAAGGCAGCUGUGAUAGUCUGUUGAACUUCUUUUAAGUCCCAAUUCCAGCAGGCAUUUUCAUCAAAUUGCACAUCUCUGCUGACCUGAAUUUUGGCUGAAUUCAGAUUGAAAACUCUGUAACCUUUUGAUUCUGUUGCAUAUCCCACAAGAAUCCCUUUUUCUGCUCUAGCAUCCAGUUUUCCUCUUUUGGCAGAUGGAACAUGAAAAUAGCACAAUGAUCCAAACACUUUUAAAUGUUUGGCAGUAGGCCGGACUCCAGACCAUGCCUCCAAUGGUGUUUUGUUUUGAACAGACUUGGUUGGAAGUCUAUUAAGCAAGUAUACUGAAGUAUUUACUGCUUCAGCCCAUAGAAACCUUGGCAACUUCUUUUCAAACAAUAUACAUCUGGACAUCUCCAUCACUGUUCUAUUCUUCCUUUCAGAAACUCCAUUCUGCUGUGGAGAGUAAGGAGUCGUCAGCUGGUGCACAAUUCCAGCUUCUGAACAAAAGGCAUUAAACUCCUUCGAAAUAUACUCUCCACCAUUAUCAGUUCUCAACACUUUGAUCUUCUGACCACUUUGAGUUUCAGCCAUGCUUUUGAAGUUUUUGAACAUAGAUAAAGCUUGUGACUUGUUUUUCAGAAAAUAAACCCAAGUCAUUCUGCUGUAGUCAUCAAUGAAUAAUAUAAAAUACACAUUAUUAUUCAAAGAAGCUGUGCUCAUAGGUCCACAUAUGUCUGAGUGAACCAGCUCCAGCAUGUGUGUUGCCCUUUUGGAUAUACCUUUAGGAAAUGGUUGUCGAUGCUGCUUUCCCAGUUCACAACUUCCACAUGUAUGAGCAGUAACAUGUAUUGCAGACAUGUUUUCUACCAUUCCAGUAUCAUACAGCAACUUUAAUGAAUUAAGAUUGUAAUGACCGAAUCUUUUGUGCCAAAGAAUGCUUUCAUCAAUCUUUGCACUAAACACAUGUCCAUUAACAGCAUCAAGCUUCAAAUAGAAGCUAUUACCAUCCAUUUUGAUUUUUGCUAUCUCUGAAUUAUGUGUAUCAGUGAUAAAGCAAAAUUUCUCUUUAAAAGAGACUUCAUAACCAUUCUUGAGCAUUUGUGCAACACUAAGGAGAUUCUGAUCUAGUUCAGGAAUGUAAAGAACAUUUGUGAUGGUUUUAAUACCUCUAUUUGUGCUGACUGCAACAGUUCCUUUCCCCUUAGCUUGCACAAUAUCUCCAUUUCCCAGCUUAAUCUUCGGUUGAACUGAUCUGUCAAUAGAGGAGAAAAUUGACAGAAAUUUGGACAUGUGACUUGUGCAGCCACUGUCUAUAAGCCAUGUAUUCAGUUCAGAGGUAUUGCUAGCUUGUGUUGCCAUAAACAAAUGCUCCUCCUCAUCUUUGCUUUCUUCAGAAACAUUUGCUUGUUGUUGUAUUUGUUGCUGAGGUUGCUUCUUCUUGAUUCUGCAAUAUUUCUCACUGUGACCGAGAUUAUUACAGAAUAAACAUUGAAGAGAAGGUUUCCCCUUAAACCAGCAAUCUUUCUCAGUAUGGUUAGUUCUUCUGCAAUAAGAACAUGGUGAGAAAGUCUGUCUUUUUGAAGGUAUACUUGAUUUCCUUUUAGCAUACUUGACAGGUUUGUUUCUUGGUAGAUUACCAGCACUCCUUUCCCUGUUGUUUGCUUGGAAAGCCCCUUCAACUGCCUCAUCAUCUCUCAUAUGAACUCUUUGCUCCUGAAUAUGAAGUUUGCUAAUUAACUCAGCAAUAGUCAGACUUUGCAGAUCGCAAGAUUCUUCUAUUGCUGAGAUUUUAGCUUCAAACUUUUGAGGAACAGACAUCAUAAGUUUUUCUACUACCUUAUGAUCUUCAAAUGUGUUUCCAAGAAGCCUCAUUUGAUUUACAACAUCCAUUAAUCUGCCAGAAUAAUCUUUGACAGAUUCAUUGUCUUUCAUCUUCAUCAACUCAAAUUCCCUCUUAAAUGCAAGAAGUUUAACUGCUUUGACUCUGCUGCUGCCUUCAAAUUCAACUUGAAGCUUAUCCCAUACCUGUUUUGGUGUUUCCAGAUUCAUUAUAUUUGUAAAAAUAUGAUCUGCAAGACCAGAAUGAAGACAUGUAAUAGCUUUGUCCUUCUUGAGCUUUUCUUCUUCAUGUGCUUUCAUUUGAGCAAUUGUUGGAUUUGCAUUCAAUGGUGGAGGAUCAGAAUCGGUUGCCACAACAUUCCAUAAGCCAUGAGACCUUAAAUAAAAUUUCAUUUUGACAGCCCAAAUAUGAUAGAGUUCUCCACUAAACAUUGGAAUUGCAGAUACAAUAUUAUUUGAAGAAGACAUUGACAAAAAACAGAAAGAAAAUAACUCUCAAGUGUUUCGCUCACCCUCUCUGUGUUUGCCUCACCUUCUCUUAUUAUUGUCACUCAAAAGAAAGAAAAAUUGUUUGCCCCACAGCCCGUAGGAUCUAAUGCUCUGAUACCACUGUUAGAAUUGAAAAUAACUUAAACAAUACAGUAAACUUAACAAUGCAGUUUACGUAAAGAAAAAGCAAUUUGAUUUUAAGAUGGCAGAGUUGAGUAGAAAGAUCAAUACUUUUCAUUAACUUCAAAUGCAUAUAAAUAGGAUUACAUAGAACUUGAACAUGACUGAAACUCUCAACAAACUUGAGAGAUUAUUGGAAUUGAAAAUAACAAACUCAGCAGAAAGUUUCUGCUGCUAAUCUUGAAGAAGCUAACCGAAAAUUCAAAUAUUUAAAACUACUCUUAACUCUAUCCUUAUCAAGGAAAAAACUCAUAAUUCUAACACGCCUGACAAUACUGAAGUCAUCAAUGCAGUACAACCCCCCUUGUUUAGUACUACAACCAAUAAUCUCCUUAGUUAGAAUAUCAUGAAACAAGCAAAUUUUAGGAUAGAUUAGUGGGCAGCAGUUCAAAUCCUCAGUAACUUGUCCUACCAAUAAUAAUUUAUUGGAAAGAGUUGGAACAAGUAGAGUGUUUGAUAAAGAAAAAGAGGAUGACAGUGCCACUUCUCCAGCCCCAGUAACUGGAUAUUUUUCACUGUUUGCAUUGGUUAUGCUUGUGAUCUGUUUUGGUUGAGUCGUUUCAAUAAAGUCUUGUGGAUUGAAUGUCAUGUGAUUAGUUGUCCCAGAAUCAAUAAUCCAACCGUGGUUCCUGAUUCAUUCUGGGCUAGGGAAUAAUUUGCUGCUGCUAGUGAAAAAUCCUCCUGAGAUAUAUGAGAAAGGUGAGGUUUGAUGGAAGAAAAAGAAGUGCUCUCAGCUCUGACAAGUGUAGCCCGACCUCUUUCACGCUUUUUCUUUGUCUUGAGUUCAUGCCACCAGCUUGAAACAGGUUUCCUUAGUAUGUUUCAUAUUCCCCCAGUGUACAACCACCUCCCCCAGCUUGUGUUUUUGAUUUCAUGCCUAGCUUCCCAUCUGUUACCAUCUGAAGAGAAGGUUGCUGUUGUGAUUUUUGUCCUCCUUUUGAUAUCAUGGCCAUGCUGGAAAUGGUAUCUGCUUUUGAUAGCAUCACCAUUUGUCUUAGAUCUUCUCAUCGGACAUGGGCAUAUGUCUGUUCGAUUGUUGGAAAAGGGUGAAGUUGAAGCACAUCAGCUUGAAUCUUGUCCGAGCGACCAUCAAGUCCGUCCAAGAAAGUAUAAACUCUAUCUUCCUGUAUAAUAGAGUUAUAUUUCUGUGUAUCAACUUCACACUUCAUGGGAUUUGGACGCCGAAAAUCAAUCUCUCUCCAAAGACCUUGAAGAGUGUUGUAAUAUGUCUCAAUUGAUCCUUCCCCCUGUUUGAAUCUUGUCACCCUUCUCUUCAGAUCAUAGACUUGUGAGGUGUCGGAGCCAUCAAAACACGUUGUGACAAUAGCAUCCCAUACUGCCUUAGCCAUUGGAAAUCUGAUGUAAUUUCCAAUUAGUUUUGGAUCCAUGGAGUUGAUUAGCCAUCCUUUACCAUUGCAUUUUCAAUUCUCCACUUUCUGAAAGUAGGAUCUGUCUCUGUAGGUUGUGGAAGAUCUCCAUUCAUGUAUCCCAACUUGUCUUUACCAGAGAUAUACAUCUCGACAACUUGGGACCAGAGUCCAUAGUUCGUGUCAUUUAACUUGAUACCGAUUGGUGCAGCAACAGAUUCAUGAGUUGCUGCAGUUGUUGUCUGACUCAACAUCUAUGAUAUUCUGGAUGUUAAGUCAGCAAGGGUUGAAGGAUCUGCUUGGGAGUUUUCUAUUGGGGGGGGGGGUAAGAUCUCUCAAAUUCUGUCUUCUUUCCCUUUCUUUCUAUUAGUUCACAGAAAGAAUCAGACAGGUCCUAGAGUUGACGCACUGAUAUCAUGUUACAAUGAUAUAUUCUUAUUUAUUACUUUUCUAAAUAUGAGAUCAUGUUCUAUAUCAUAUACAAGGCUGCUAAGUAUUGAAAGUAAUAACUAUUUACACAGAAUUUGGCUGGGAUCAUGGUGAUACAUAUUUUGUAGAGCUAAUGGAUUCUAUCCUCGUGAUUUCAGCAAUUAAUCUCAAUGACUGUUCAUUCCAACAAUUUUUGGAUGAAAGGCUGUUUGGCGAUGCUGCACUAUAGUAAAGAAAAAAAAAUAGAGCCCUCGAUCACCAUCGUCACAAAGACAAGCUGAGGAUUAGCAGAGUCACAAGACACGCUGAGAAUUAGCAGACUCCUUCUAUGAUUGCUAGUAGCAAACAAUAGUCGAAUGAGGCUGACAAUAGCUCGCAGCCCUACAAUAAGAGUAGUUGUUGAUUAAUUGAAUGGAAGCAGGCAAGAACUCACAAACAAUUCUAUCAAGUUUAGUCAAGUUUCUUUCAAUGGCAAGCUCGCACCAUCCAUCAUGCAGUUGCAGGAGCAGACAUGGGUUAACACACACAUAUAAUAUGCUUUCUAAGUCUCGGUCUUUGAAUUAGAAGCAAAAUCAGAAAACAACAAACCCCAACCAAAGCCAAAUCAAACUCAGCCGAUAUAAAUCCACUCCUCAAAACAGAGAAACCUCUAUAGGAUUCUUCCCCGCUCCCUUGGAUGACUGUGUCCCUGUCUUCUCUUCCACUACUGGUCUCUAUUUCUCUGCCCUUUUCUUUAUUCUAGGCCUUUCACAAUUUCACUUUUCUCCAUGCGGUCAAAAAUAGGAAGACGGUGCAAAUGCCUUUAUAAAAGAUCUAGAGAAGUUUAAGUUACUGUUAUCAUGAGCUUUGGUUAGAAGUUUAAAGAUUAUUUCACCUGCAUAAACUCAGAAUUGUGUCCAGCAUUCAUACAAAAACAAAAAAAAAAACUUGCAGUUGUAAAAUAAAUACUGAAGAGCCAUGCAUACCUGCUAAGACCGUCGGUGAUGCUGGCCUGCUAGGUGGAUGUUACACUGUUAGUGAAGGAGAAGAAGGACUGCUUAGUUGGUAACAAAAAAGAAAGGCAAUGUGGUGUUUUUUAUAACCCCACCAGGGAGCCUGUCCUGAUUACAAAAGAAAAAAAAAAAUCCUCCUAUUCUAUGAAAAUAAGGUCGGCCACGUGCACAAGCUUUUUUUCCUCUUCGGAAAUAACAUGGUAACACAAAAGAAAAGGAAACAACAAAUUUUCUAUAAAUAGCGUGCCUUAAUUGAGAGAAAAGGAGGAAAAGAUUCUUGGAGAUAUAAAUUUCCUUCAAAACAAGCUUUUUGGGCGGUCGUUGGAACCAUCAAAAUAUAAUUUUAACUUAACUAUCACAAACAAAAUAAAUUUGUAGUAAAUAUGAUCGUGAAAACCAGGUCGAACCUAAAGGAAAAUUCAUUUCAUCUUCCUACAAUAUACUAAAUAAGAAAGAACGGGGGGUUUGAAUGAAAAAAAAUCAAGAAACAAUAAUUCCAAAAAUAAUAAAUUGAUAUGUUGUUAAAUCAGUUCAAGGGUCCACACAUCCAUUCUUAUAAUUCUGUUGGUCAUCGAAGUAAAAUAAAUAUGCUUUCAUGUCAAGCAAAUAAAUUUGAUAUUCCUUAAAGCUGAGGGAAAUAAAUGAGAUUACAAGUACAUUAAUUAGAAAAAGCUUUCUAAUAAAUUUCUUACCAUCAAGUGAAUGUAAUAUUGAAAACAAUUUGCAUUUAUUCGGUAGUAGUCUAGGAAUAAAAUAUGUGCAUUUAUUCUAAGCAAACGUUCAAAAGCUUGACAAUUUAACUUAGUUUAUUCUUCCCUAAUAAAUCAAGAUGAGAGUUGCAACAAUCAAAUUAAUUCUUUUGCUUCUUACUCUAAUCCCUAAUAACAAUCAAUGAUUGAAGAAACUAGAAAGCAUACAUGUCAUCUCAAAACAAUUCAAUAAGCUUGAAUAACAAUCAAUAACAUGAUUCUGAACAAGGGAAAAUAAAUACUUGAAUCUAAAAAAAUUACAAUGAUAACGUUACUUCUGACAACUUGCUAAUGGAGAUGGUGUGUAUUCCUUUUGAACCAAAUUCAGGAGUUUAGUUCAUAGUUCUUGGAAAAUUGACAAAGCAGAGAAGAAAUGAAUGUUUUUCGAAUGUUGUUUCAUCUAUGUUCUGCUCUAUUUAUCCUCUUCCUUGGCUACAUAAUUUCUUUAGGAUUAUUAGGCUAAUUAGAAUUAUUCAUGAUACUUAAUGUGUUCAUUUUUUUAUUUGGUCCUUAAGGUUGGAUAAAUCUCUUAGAAUUUAUUUUGAAAACUAACUUUGUUGAUGUCAUAUCUCUGCCGUAAUUCCAACUUUGCUGCAACUUAAACUUUGUUUUUGACUUGGUUUCUUGCAAUAUCCGACUAUCACUGCUGUAUUCAUUCAUUCAUUGCAUGUUAGAGGCUUGAUCUAAAUCUUUUUUAGGUCCUAAGGCCCACCGUUUUUUAUCUCAGACUUUCAGUCGUAGUAGGAUGCUUGACACCGUUAGUUUCCUGAUCAGAUCAAGAGACCCAUCUCAUCCUUCAAAUUGCGUUCGGAUUUUGGCCUUCAAAAUGAUCUUAUUUGACUUGGAGUCCUUAUCAAAGUUAUAGUCCUAAAUGCGUAGAAGAAUUUGGGCUUUUUAAUCUCUUAAUUUUGAUAUUUGAAACUCAAGAUAUUCCUGUUUGAAUAUCUAGUGUGAAAGUAAAGAAUCUUGUUGUGAGUAGGAUUCUGACCCGAGUUUGCAGGUUUAAUUAGAAAUCCAAAAGAGAUUGGGUUGUUACCCAUAAUACCUUCCUGGAAAGCUUGACAUAUGUAAUUCAACUUAGAUUCAGCCCACGUUCUCAUUUGGGAACACUAACUUGACGAAAAACCUGUCAUAAGAAGCCAGGUCUAGAACAUAAAGUGCAUAAUUUCUUAUCUUAAGCAAUCAGUUCACAAUCUCUUAAACAUGCCAAAAUCAUAAAAAUAACUUUCAAUAAACUCAAAUAUUCUCAAAAUACAUUAAAAAUCAUAGUGUAAAAGGAGUAAAAACUUAUGUAUAUUUUUCACUUAUCACUCUUUAAGCAAGGAAGCUCUGUCAAAAGUUUUCAAGCCCCAUCUACGCUUGAAGUCUACAAAGAAUGAAGCUUUGCUGGAUCAAGCCUAAAACACCCCACUAGAGUUCUUCAACAAUACUUUGAAAACAAAUCAAAAGUACUCUUUAAAUCAUCAAAUCACCAAAUCUCGUUUUGCAAUACACGCCCAAAUUCCCAUUCUUGCAAAGUAUAAAUCUUGGCUUGAUUCGUCAAAUAAAUCAAGUCACCAUAUAUCAACUCCAAGGGAAGAAUCAUAGGAUUGUCUUAUUCUUUUGAAAAGAAUACUUAGAUAGAGAUUGUACAUGGUUAUAUAUUUAAUAAAAUCAUAUAUUUGUACACGUGUGCUUGUUUAAUUUCAGGUGCUCAAAAUUAUGUCUACAUAGAGAUGAUGACAAACUGGAUGUUGGGCUGGCUAAAUUUGUAGUGGGAUGUUGAUUUGUGAUAAAAUUUGGGAGGUUUGUGGUGUUUGUUGCAGAUAAAAAUAGAGAAAAAAGAAGAGAUGGGAGAGAGAGAGGAGGGUCCUUUCAUUCCUUUUCAAUGUAAUUCACUCGAUAUAUAUCGAGAAAAUAUUUGUGUUGGUGUUUACUGAUUGAUACUGCGAGGGUAUAUUCAAUCAGAAAAAUUUACUAUAAUUUACUAACAAAAAUAUUCUAUUAGUGUAUUCAUUUGUGUUUGUCAAUUUUCUGAUUGUGUUAAUAGUUAGGAGAUGAUAGAAGAAAACACAUAGAUUUAACUGAAUAAACCCUACUAAAGUUGGAUUUUCAAAUCAAUUUAUCCAAAACUUCACUUUAUAACACCGCUUUUGAUAUCUUAUCAAAUAGAGAAUCAAAAGAUCCUAUCUCUCUUAUUCUUAGAGCACUUCUCUAUUUGAAAUUCCAUAUCCAUAAAAAUCCAUCUCACACACCCAUAUUAGCUACAGAGGAAACUUGAUCUUCAGGUAGACUAUAUAGUCUAGGAAAUUGAACUACAAGACAAGAAUCUAUCAGCCAGACAUCAUGCCAGAAGUGUUGACCUCAUAGCUUAGCCUUAUUGUUGAUCGUUUUAAUAGAGAAGUGUAGUAACUAUAUUUAUCUGUGGAAGCCUAAGUCUGUCUUGUUUAAUUACUUUGUUUUCGCUAUUUUUUAAAAAAACUUUUAUGCACUUACCAUCAUGUUGGAGUCUUCUGAUCAAGAAGUUAAAAAUGAUAUAGUCCAUCUUCAAGUUUAGUUUCUCAUUGAUAUCUUCCUAAUUUAACAUAAAAAAUGAGAAAACUAUAAAGAAAACUCCAACUAAGCCUGUCAUGACUAACUCUUUCAACUUGUCUCAAGGUGUACACACCACAAAGAUAUCUUUUAAUGAUGAAGACUUGUUGCUUGGAUCAAAACUCGAUAAACAACUUUUUUUUUAUUAAAAGAUGUGUCAAUGAAAAGAUGGUGAAUUGUCUCUUGAUGGAUGAUGAUUCAACUAUUAAUAUACUACCUUUUAAGAUUAUAAAUGAGCUCAGGAUUCAUAUUUAUGUUUAUAUAUAAAAAAUAAUGUUGUUUUGACACACACACAUAAAAUUGAGGUUAAUCCAAGUUGAUCUAGGAUGGAUUAAAAAUUUUGACACAAAUUUUAUCCCGGGUUAACUCCUGAGCCGGGUCUAAUGAGUCUAAUGAGAAUUGUUUGAAAAAAGAUUAUGGAAAACCACCGGUAUAUAUAAGGAAAUCACUAGGAAAUUACUGAAUGGUUGUGUUUAAAAAUCAAAAUGGCACACAACAAGUCAAGCAUCCGCUUUCACGACCUUUCUUGGCCAGUAAUGCUAUAAUGAAGAGAGAGUGGUAUAUCCACUUUCUCAUUAAUUACAACAAAAAUAAACAACUAGUCAAUACGGUCCACGCAAAUUGUUUGGUAAGGUUACAUGCCAACAAAACUAAUUGGAAUAGGUAUAGAAGUAUUAGGUUAACAAUUAGAUAAUAAAGUUAGAAGUUGUUAGUUUAAGUAUUUUACAGGGGCUACUGUUUGAUCCAAAAAAUGAUUUGAAUAUAUACAGUUUUUUAUCCAAAUUUUAUACAUAGGAAAAGCUUGUUCUCUAUGGUUUUUAAUACCAUAAACGGUGCAUUAAUCCAGUUUUUAUAGAAAUAGCUAUGAUGAAAGUAGUAAAGAACACGUGGACUAUAUAUAUGUCAAUAAUGCCCAGAAAUGAUUUCGGGAAUUAUUAUAAAUUGCUAUCUGGAUUAUAUAUAUAUAUAUAUAUAUGUAUAUAUAUAUAUAUAUAUAUGUAUAUAUAAUAGAAUUCUGAAUGUUCUAAGCUAUGAUUAGUUUAUCAGGUAGCAUGCAGUUAACAAAUUAUUGUAGUUGAGUCAUGGAGGGAUUUUAACGGGUUAUAUGCUUGCGAAUAGGUUUUUUGAGCUAAGAUUUCAGACCUCAGCUAUUUAAGCAAAGAUAGUAAGUAAAUAUUCACACACUAUUAUUUUUAAAUAGAAUAGAUAUUUUUCUGAAUUGUGCAUUUUUCAUCUACUAAAUGUAUUACUUUCUAUCAAAAAAAAAAAAAAAAGAUCAAGCAAUGGCUGUGUUUAGAUUGAUUUGCUUAUAUGCGAUAUUUGUGAAUGUAUGGUAUAUAAUUUUUGUAAGAAUGUUUUAUAAUAGCAUUUACUCUGAAUAUGAACACCUCUAUGCAGGUGUUGUAAUUGACAAAGAAAAGAAGAGAAAUCCUUUCAAUUUAUGAAAAUGCAAUGAGUUAACCUUAUCUCAGACUGCAAUAUAUACUCUACAGUAUUCAUGUAUGAAAACAUUUGAAUGGUGAUAAAGAAAAUAAUUCAUCAAACAAUAUGAGGGUUGUUUGGAAAAAGAUUAUGGAAGACCACCAGUAUCAGUGUUGUUUGGAAAAAUAAUUCUGUAAUUGACUUUUGUAACUUGUCAGGUAACCACAGGUAACUUGUGUGGACCUCCAUUGCGAAACAAUUGUAGUGAGGAAGCAGUGCCAUCCCAGCCAGUGCCUAAUGAUGAACAAGGAGAUGAUGGUUUCAUAGACAUGGAGUUUUUCUACAUCGGUUUCGGUGUAUGUUAUACAAUUGUGGUGAUAAUGAUUGUAACAGUUCUCUAUAUAUCAAUCCAUUUUGGCGACGCAGGUGGUUCUACUUUAUCGAAGACUACAUAGAUACUUGCAGCUAUUUUGUGGCGGCUAGUUUUCGCAAGUUCUCCAACUUCAGAAGGUGAAUUUGUUACUAGGGAGACGGUCGUUCCUAGUUUGUGAUGAUUGUUUGUCCUGUAUGUCUAGCUAUUGGGUUCUUCAUUUGUAGUGUACUAUCUCUAAGCUCAACCUUUCUAUUUGAAUAGUUAUUUGGGCUAAAUAUAUAAGCUGGACUUGUCAUUCCUAAAUCAUUAGGAAGGGAACUGAUUUGGAUUGGUCAUUAACUCGGCUGUGAUUACUCUUUCAACUCUCAAGACUUGUCUGAAAAUAAAUUGCCAAAACCACUACUAAGUAGAAACAAAAUAUUCUAUGCAUUGUUUCAAGGGCGACCCCACCUCAGUUAUUCAAUCAAAGCAUUGAAAUCGGAGCAAGAUGAUGCACCUUAUUCAACAGCCUUCCUGGUCGUUUCUCCUAGCUUCUUUGCUCUGCUUCUCAUUUCCUCUGCUUCUUUACCCAUCAUAAUUUGAGUGAUUGCCUUCUCUACAGCUUCACUUUUAACAUGAUCUCCAUGCACUCUACGCCAUUCCCUUAACUCCAGUUUUUAAAACAUCAGUCACCAACUUUUCAUUAUAGAAUUGCUCGUCAAAUAUUGGCCUUUUGCCUUCAAGAGUUGAGUUCCAUCCUCAAUGAGUCACAAAGGCACCUAUUGCUUCAUGAUAAAGAAUCAAAACUUGGAGUACCCUUCCUCUGAUAAUUAGCCCUUUGCCUUCCAUUCUUUCCUCAAAUCCUUCAGGAAGACAAUCUUCCUUGUCUUAUUGACUCUUUUUGUUUCUUCUAACUACCCAGAUAAAUUGAUGCCCAGAAGCUUCGAGAUCUGUUGCAAUCUCCUUAAGCUGAGAGGCAAUGAAGUUUGCCAUGCUUCCAAAGCAAAUAUAAACAACUGAAUUUGGUUUCUUUGAGUCGAGCCACUUCAAACACUCAUGUUGAGCGAUUGAGGCUUCUUUUCCUCUUCCUGCUUUAUCUUCAAUGUCUCUAUUGCAUAGUGAAACCGGGCCUACGUUAAUCCACACCCUCUUUAAUUGACCCAACAAGACUAUAUCCUAACCAUACAGAUUCCUCUUCUACAGAUUAUUGGAUCACUUUAUGCAAAGCAGAGGAAUGAUUUUCUAGAAAAAGAGUGUCUUGGGAACUUACAGUAGAUUUCGUUGGAACUCUUGUCUCAGGACAGUGGCAUAGCUUCUUGAAUCUCUGUUUCUAAUCGGCCAUGGUUUUAUUUAAACGGUUAGUGUAAGCUAAGGGCAUUGGCAUUUUCGUGGUGGAUCAUUUGCCUCAGUGAUGGUUGAUGUAUCACGGUGAAGUGAUGCAAAUCCACCUCGAGGAUCAGCUGCAGCAGCUAUUGCAGAGCUGUGAAUCCAAAAUAAAUUAAUAAGCUAUGUAUUUGCUACUCAUCAAGCAAAAAGAAACAACUAACACUGCUGAAAUUGAAAGGCAACAACUUUUAAAUGAGAGAAAGGAGCAGCCUAUCACCUUUCAAUAGGCGUUUAAUCUUCAAACAACAGCUGUCUUUUGGUUUGUGAUUGCAAAGGACCAACCAUAUAUGGUUGCCUUGGAGACACUUGUUGCUGUUGUGAGAAAUUAGCAUUAGUUUUAGACGGUAGAACAGGUGAUGGUGUUGUUGGGUCCAAUGAAAAUGCAACUUUAGAGGAUGAUGAAGCUGCUUGAUCAUUAAGAGGAAUAUCAACAACAUGCAGCUCUGGUUCAGCAGGCAGGUGUGGAGCUUUAUCAGUUAUAAUGUGGUCACAGACAUUGGUAACAAUGAUGUCACAAAAGUUGACAGCAGAGCGAAAAGCUCCAAAUCUCAACUGGAAAAUCUUGUCAUUAUUUAAAUUUUCAAUCACGGGAGGUGGGAUGCAAUCAAUGAACCCCCUUGUCAUAGAGAUAGCGGUGGGCAGAGAAGCCAAAGAAGUUUUCAGUAGUUUUUCCAACCAUUAGAAAUGUUGCAACAUCAUUGCCAUCAGUCACAAUACAAUCUAGUUUCCCAAGAAAAAUAAUCAACCCUAAUCAGAAGAAAAUGUAUAAUCUAGUUUGGGACAUGAAAGAUAAAUGAACAUAACGCAUUAUUAGUUCAGGAAAAUCCAUAAAAUGUUUAGAAGUUAGAUAAAUAAACAUAAGGCAUUAUUAAAAAGAUGCAAAGAAAAUGUAUAAUCUAGCUUGGGACAUGAAAAGCAAUAGAAAAGAGCUCAUAACUGUGGAACCGCCAUUACUUCAUUGUGUCCAAUGCAUCUAAAAAUUAUGCCUUUGUUAGAAAAUGAUUUUGCGCCCAAGGGGCAACUUUGAUACCACCAUCCUCUAUGAAGGUCAUAUCAGCUAUCGAAGCUUUGCAUGUAAAUCUUUCGCUCUACAAAUUACUAUGAAAAAAUAUAGUUUGAUAUGUUUUUAUAAAGAGCAGAGUAAAUGUUGAAUAAAAGAUGAAGCAUUGAAAGAAUAGUUGAGAUUAUUGUUGACAUACUUUGUGCUGAUAUGGAUCUAGUCAAAGAAUUUCUUUGAUAGUCUACAUGUUUUUAUUUAUUUGUUGUUUGAUAAUUCUGAUGGCAUUCAUGGAAGUAGGGAGUUGAUGAACCUCAACUGGCAGAUGAUUAUAGUUGAGAAUAAAAGCAGUUUUAUGUUAAAAGAAAAUAAUAAUAAUUUAAUAACAUAAGCGAGACAAAAAAAAAAGAUAAAGAGCUAGCUUGCUAGUACAUAUACCUCAAGAAUUUCUGGGUUGAAAAACCAUAAGGAGGCAACAGUGCUAGCAAGGUUUGGUUUUCCUAGGAGUAAAAGGAUGUAAAUUGAUUAAAAUUAUUUGAAAAUAAGCUAAAUGAUAAUGGGAGAACGCAUGAUAGCUAGGUUAGAAAAAAAUAUAUAAAAACAUAAAAUUAAUUUUUUAGAUUAUGAAAAACUUUUUAUAGAAUCCACUGAUUUGAUAGUAAUCUCUUUCAAUGAUAAAAGUAGCAAACAACUACCUGCGUUUGAAGUGCGAAAUGCAUUGAGCCCCAUCAAGAAUAAAUUGCAUUUUUAAUUUUAUUAAAUAAUUUUUUGGCUGUGGUUGAUUCAAACACAUAAGUAACCAUGCAAACAAACGGAAAUAUGUCCUUGCCUUUAGUAUAGCUGAGCCCUGUAUUGUGUUACCUGAUGGAAUCAUGAUGAAAACUAUUAUAAAUGAGAUAACAUUAAAAUUGAGCGCAAAAAAAAAAAUAUAAAGCUAACAAAUGGUUUAUUAGCCACUGUCGGUAGUUUUAGAAAGUUUCACAGGGAAAAUUUUUUAUUUUACAAUUGAUUCAUUCCUAUAAAAUAUAAAUUAUUUUACAAUUUUUAGUUAUAUAUUUUAUUAUAUUAUAAAAUAUAAAAUAUAUUAUAACUAUAACGAUGAUAAUUAUAUUAUAAUUAAAAAUCUAAGUCAAUUCUUGGUUUAGCUAUAUCACACAUUGCUGUCAUCUUUGUAAUUAAUAAAAUAAAAUGAAGACAUUUUACAAAUAAUUCAUUCAACCAUGGCCUGUGUGUCAUGUUAUUUCUUAAACCUACACCACUGCUAUGUGUGUUACAAAGGGUUAAAAUAAAACAUGGACGUAGCAAAAGCUUUGUUUUCUCAAAAUAUUAAAAGGUUAUUUACUGGAAAAAGAAAAGGAAACAUUUGAUUAUACCAAAAGGAUAAUAAUUAAGUUUUUUUUUUUUCAGAUUCAAUUGUAAAAAUAGUUUUUCAAUUUUAGAUUAAAGCUUGUAAAAAUUAAAGGGUGAAGAUAAGGAAGUCUAUUGUUUUUUAUUUAGUACAUGGAACCUUGUGAUAUCCUUUUGAGAAUCUAAUUGAACAAAUUUAAGAAUUAAAAACUGAAAUCAAAAGGGGAAUAUAUGACCUAAUUUAGUUUAGGAUUAUCAAAAUAAUAUUAUUUUAUUUAAAUAAAAUAAUAUGUUUUUGACAAAAAUAGCAUGUUUUGAUUCAAUACAACAUUGUCCUCGUCAACACCAAGUUAAAAAAUAUAUAAAAAAAAACUAGAUAAUAUGUCGCUCAACAGUGAUCAUUGUCCUUUUUUCAGCCUUAUAAAAGCUGACCGAGAGAUCCCUUUUUCAAAGCCAUUUAAUGUAUCUCCCACUACUUUUUUAGAGCCAUAUGUGUGGACUUGGGCCUUUAAUCCAAUAAGCCUAACCUAUGUGAUCGGGCAACGCCUAGCCUAGCCCAACCCAACCUUAAAAGCAAGUUUGGCAUGCCUAAUUUUUACCAAAAAAGAAAUGUUUUUUUUCCCUAAAAGCAUGUUUAUCAAACACAAUCUUAAAACAUUUUUCAUGUCUCUGACUUUUAGAUAAAUGUGUGUUUGACAAACACGAUUAACUAUCCUCUUUUUAGCCUUAGUUUGUUCAUUAUUUUAGUUUCUAGCCAAACAUGCUCUACAUAAUCUCAAAAAAUUCUAAAAACAAAAGUUUGACCAUUUUAAAAUUAUUUGUGAGUUCCUUAGAUGUUCUCCCAACAAUUUCACUUAAUAUUGAGAUGUAAACUUACACUACAAAUACUGACUCGAUAUUAAAAAUACUUAUUUUUCUCUGAAAUUUCAAAAAAAACUAAAAAAAUAUUAUUUCAAAAAUACAAAUUUUUUUUUGUUUGCAUACAACUAGUUCCUAAUGUUUUUCAUGCAUUAUUUAUAAAAAGCAGAAAAAUUGCAUCAUUAUCAUAUUUUAAAAAAUACAAAAAUAAAUAUUGUAAUCAAUUUAUGAUUAUUCAUUGGGGUUUAACUAAAAUUUCAAAAAUACCACAUAAAUUAAAUUUUGUAAUUGAUAUUCAGGGUAUGAACUUUACACAUAAUGCGUACUUUUGAUAUUAAAUUAAAUGAAUUAAUAGCAAUAAAUGUUAUGAAUUACUUACAGACUUUAUUAUUUUGCGGUAUAAAAUUAUACUAUAAGAAUAGGUACGAGUGUCUGUAACAAUCCCAGUUAUUUUGUUCCAUCAAUGUAAAAAGAUCCUCUUAAAUUGAGGGUAAUGUUUUUUUAGGCCCCGCAAAGAUUGCCAUUUACUCGAAGAAUUAAAAUGGACUCCAUUUUAUGCUAAUAAAGGUAUAAUUAAAUCAUAUCAUUCAUGAAUUAACAAUUAGUAGAUGGUUAAAAGAAACUAUUCAUGUUUUAAAGGUAAAUCAAAUGGAAAUAAAUGCAAUAGUGUUUACACAAAAAUACCAUGCUUCAAGUCUAGCCGAGAGUUUUUAUACACAUCAAGUUUACACAAAAUAAUAUGCUUCCAGUCUCAGCUAAGAGUUUUUAUACACAUAGAAGAUUACACAAAAUAACUUAUAACAUGUACUAGUUAAUACUAAUAUGCUUAAGGUUAAUUUGUACAUAAGUUUAACAAAAAUAGAGUCCUAAAACUAAUAAGCUCCCUAGAUAUUAGAUAGACCUGUUACAAAAACUUCUUAUGGAUGCAAUUAUAUCGGUACAAGAAAUAUAAAUGAUCAUGCAACGAAUACAAAUGAGGCAUAAGUUUUCUAUUAGUUACAUGGGAAUCUUAGUAAUCAACUUAUAAAUUUAUUGGGAAUCAUUUUAAAACACUAUUUAACACCAUUUACAUAACUUUAAUGGGAUACUCUUAUCUUCUUACAUGAACUCAUAACUUUGUUUAAUUGGAUUCACUAAGUCUUCAGCUUUGCAUAGUCCGAUUUGAAUAAUUUUGAGCAAUUGUACUUAUCAAUUUCCGAGGUCAUCCAAACACAGUACCCUUUACAAAUUAAGUCUUAUUGAUCGUUCCUGAGCAUCCCAACAUGGACACCAUUAGCUCUAGUUACUCUUAUUGAUCAUUUCCCGGCAAUUCUAAUGCAAAUAUCAUUAGCCGAAGCUAAUUUUAUUAAUCGUUCCCGACAGUCCUAACACGAAUGUCAUUAGCCAAGGCUAAUAUUAUAAUUCUAUUAGCCAAGGCUAAUAUUAUAAUUCAUUUUCCAGCAAAUCCUACCACAAAUAUCAUUAGCCAAAACUAAUCUCAUAAUUCAUUUCUCAGCGAUCUUAUCAUGAAUGCCAUUAGCCGAAGCUAAUCUCAUAAUUACUUUCCCGGCAAAUCCUACCAUGAAUGUUGUUAGCCAAAGCUAAUGUCAUAAAUAUACCAGACUUUAUUUACAUUGAGCAUAAUAUAUAUAAUUGCAUUCCUCCUAAAGAAUUAAAUUUCAUCAAUGUAAAUGGAAGGGAAAACCACGCACCUGCUCUGUCUGUCUCAUAACUUCCUCCAACAAAAGAUCCAAUCAUGGUCGCUCCUCCUAAAUCAUAAGAAAAUCUUUGGUCAUGUUUCCUUCAAUGUUUUUAAACCCGGCCCAGGUCACUUGUUUUGCCCAAGUCACCGGGUCUUGAUCGGGUCAACCCAAACUUUUUUUUAUAAAUAAAAACAAUGUUGUUUUGGUAAAAAAAAUAAUUAACAGGUUAUUACCUUGUUUUUGACUGGGUUUUGUCUGGUUAGCCAGGUCACCCUGGGUUGUGACUUCCCCUAUUUUUUCUUAAACCUGGCUUGGUUCCAAUCUUGAGUCUCGGGUCGACCUACCAAGCCGGGUCAGGUUUCAAAACUUGGGUUUCCUUAAAGCCUUAUGUUAUAUUAACUCUAUAUUCAUUCAUUAUACAUAUUGUACUUUCCAUACAUGUUUAUUUUCUCAUCAUAUCAUAUACAUACAUAUCAAGUAUAAUUGGCUUGGAUUUGUAGUAAAUCCUGUGAAAUUUUUGCUACAAUAUCCUCAUCAUUCUCUCUUCCCCUCUUUUCUUUUCUUAAAACCUCUCGUCCCACAUCAUCAUGUAUGGUUGUGACAUCGAAAAUGGAGCAGUUUCUUGAUUACUAGUAGCAGGUUCGUGAUUGUUAUGAUAUAGAACUCACAUUAACGAUGGAAUUCGUAUGGAAGAAGUCGUAGAAGAAGAAGAAGAACAGGGCUCAAGAUAGUGAGAUGAAGAAGACUGUUGGAGCAGAGAAUGCGUGGGCAGAGUUUGUUGGAAGGAAAACUGAUUCAAUAUAUUCAUAUCCUCUGUUGUAACAGAAUGAUUAUUAUUUAUACAGCUGAGCCUAACAACCUAGCACAUGCAUCUUCUCUUUGCACGUGAUAGUAACUGAUUUGUAAUAGAAACAUAAACUUUCUAAACGCACCGUUUAGGACUUAGUGACUUACUCGUAACGCACCGUUUUACAAUCGAUUAAUUUGAAUUUCCCUCGUGUAAAACCUAUAGCUAAAUGUUGACCUGCAACAAUUGCCCCUUCUUCAAAUGGACCUUGUCCUCAAGGUCAAAUUGGGGAAAACGAAGGGCGAUUUCAUCAGCAAAUUCCCAGGUAGCUUCUGCAGGGGUGAGACCCGCCCAAUGAAUGAGGAGUUGAGUGGCGGCCUGUAGAUUUCGCUUGACCAUUCGACGUUCCAAAAUAGCUUGUGGAAGAAGAAGAGGUUCUGAUGGCAAGGCAGGCAGUGUGGUUUGGACAACCCGAUUGCCCACCUUAUUUUUCAGAAGCGACACAUGAAACAUAGGGUGGAUGGAGGCAGAGGUAGGUAACUGCAAUUUGUAAGCUACGGUACCGAUUCUUGCUAAGACUUUGUAUGGUCCAUAGUAUUUUGAAGCUAAUUUUUGAGAAUAUCUGUGGCCUAGAGUUUUCUGUCGAUAGGGUUGUAGUUUGAGGUAGACGAAAUCACCAGUAUUAAAUUGUCUUUCACUCCUGUGUUUGUUGGCAAGCUGAAUCAUCCUAUGCUGAGCAUGUUGUAAGUUGUGUUUAACUGCUUGUAGAAUCUGUUCUCUAUUGCAUAAGAAUUUAUCCACGGUAUCGACAGGGGAGUCUUUGGGGACAUAAGGAAUGUGUAAAGGGGGAGGGUAGCCAUAGAGAAUUUCAUAGGGGGUAGAUUUGGUGGCUGUAUGGUAGUUGGUGUUGUACCACCAUUCAGCAAGGGGAAGCCACUGAACCCAGUGUGUAGGAGAAGUACCUGUCAUGCAGCGGAGGUAAUUUUCGAGGCACUUAUUGACCACCUCUGUCUGGCCAUCGGAUUGGGGGUGAUAGGCUGUCGAGUAACACAAUUUGACGCCUUGUCGAGCAAAUAACUCCUUCCAGAAGAGACUGAGAAAGACAGUGUCUCUGUCACUAACAAUGGUGGCUGGAAAUCCAUGCAGCUUGUAGAUAUUAUCGAGGAACACUCUAGCUAUAGAACAAGCAGUGUAGGGGUGGGGAAUAGCCAUGAAGUGAGCAUAUUUGCUAAAUCUGUCCACUACCACAAAUAUCACCUCCUUGCCUUCAGAUUUAGGGAGCCCCUCUACGAAAUCCAUACUAAUAUCGAUGAAAGGAUGUGUAGGAAUAGGGAGAGGUUGUAGCAGUCCAGGAGUUCGUGUAUUUUCAGAUUUGUUUUGUUGGCAAGUGGUACAUUCUCUGAUGUAUUGGCGAACAUGCCUUUGCUGGCCCUUCCAAUAAAACCCAUUGGCCACUCGUUUGGCAGUAACAGUAGAGCCUGAAUGGCCACCAGUAGCUGAAUCAUGGUAAAUGGAAAUAAUCUGAGUCUGAAGAGAUUCAUUUUGGCCUACCACCAAUUUACCUUUCCUGAAUAGUGAAUAGUGAGGGUGAGAGGUAGGCUAUUGGGUAAGUUCCUGAAUGAGAAGCUGAACUGCCUUAUCAUCCUGCCAUGAUUGUUUGAUAGCCUCUAGGAGUGUAGUGGAAAGGGAAGAGACUGCCAGGGUGCUGAGAGUGCCACAUGACACUCUUGAGAGGGCAUCAGCAACCACAUUGUCUUUGCCCUUCUUGAAUUCGAUCUCAUAGUCGAAUCCCAAGAGUUUGGCGAGCCACACAUGUUGUGAUGGACAAGUCACCUUCUGUUCCAACAGGUAUUUGAGACUAAGAUGGUCAGUACGUAUAGUAAAGUGUUGUCCCCAUAAGUAAUGUCGCCAUUUAGUAACUGCUAGGAGGAUAGCAAGGAGUUCCCUUUCAUAGGUAGAAAGUGCUUGUUGUUUAACCCCAAAUGCUUUACUAAUGAAAGCAAUCGAGUGACCUGUUUGCAUGAGAACUGCCCCCAUGCCCUUGCUGCUAGCGUCUGUCUCAAUGAUAAAUUGUUGAGUGAGGUCUGGUAGGGCCAAAACUAGAGGUUGAGUCAUCAUGAAUUUCAAUUGAUUGAAGGCUGUGGUGGCUUCUUCAUUCCACUUGUAGGCAUCUUUUUUCAACAGCUGUGUCAAGGGUUUGCAAAUGAUGCCAUAACCCUUAACAAACCGCCUGUAGUAUCCAGUGAGACCCAAAAACCCUCUUAGCUGUUUAAUGUUGCCAGGGAGAGGCCAAUUCAGGAUGGCCUGGAUCUUAUGGGGAUCAGUCGAGACCCCUGCUGCUGAGAUGACAUGGCCUAGGUAUUCCACAUGAGAGCUGCAAAAUACACACUUGCUGGACUUGGCAUACAGCAGGUUAGUCUGUAGGAUGGUGAAGACAGUUCUGAGAUGGUCUAAGUGUUCUGGCAUGGAGUUACUGUAAACAAGAAUAUCAUAAAAAAAAAAGAGAAUUGCCUUAGUUGGUCCCUGAAUACUUCGUUCAUGAGACUUUGAAAUGUGGCAGGAGCAUUAGUCAAGCCAAAGGGCAUAACCAAAAAUUCAUAGUGUCCAUUGUGGGUCUUGAAUGCUGUCUUGUAGAUGUCAUCAGGGGUCAUUCGGAUUUGGUGGUAACCAGAUCGGAGAUCAAUUUUUGAGAAGACUGAGGCACCGACCAGUUCUUCUAAGAGUUCAUCUAUUAGAGGAAUAGGAAACUUAUCUUUGAUUGUAAGUUGGUUUAAGGCCCUGUAGUCAAUGCAUAACCUCCAUGAACCGUCCUUCUUCUUGACUAGGACAACAGGUGAAGAAAAUGGGCUAUGACUAUGCUGAAUGGUUCCUGAGGCCAGCAUUUCCUUAACCAUAAGUUCCACCACAUCCUUCUGUAGGCUGGAGUGUCGGUAGGGUCGAAGGUUGACUGGGUUAGAGCCUUCUUAAGAGGAAUACUGUGAUCAUGGCUGCGAGGAGGAGGCAAACCCCUAGGUUCUUCAAACAACUCUUGGUAUUCUGCUUGCAGAUUGAUAAAAGCUGUGUUUUCAGUGAGGUCAGGUUGGAACCCAGUGGUGUAGGGUGCUCCUUGGUCCUGACUGUUAAUGGAACGUAGACUGCAUACAUUAAUUUCAGAAACCAUAUUAGUACUACAUAGCAAGCCAUUAAGUUGCUUCAGUCUGAUGGUUUCCAUGGUUACUGGAUCAUUGCCCUUAAUGAAAACCUCUUGACCUCGCCAUGUAAAUGCCAUCCACAUUUCCUCAUAGUUGCAUACAAUGGUUUUCAGGGUAGCUAGCCAUUGAAUGCCCAGUAUCAUAUCACAGUUUUUUAGAUCCAAAGUAAACACAUCAGUCGCAAAAUCAACUCCCUGGAUAGACCAUUGGAAGUUGUUACACACUGAGGUGCAAGUCAUGAUUCCCCCAUCUGCUACCUGCACUGUUAGAGCCUUAAUACUUGUAAGGUGACAAUGCAAUUUGUCUACUAUGUGAUUGCUGAUGAAAUUGUGUGUACUGCCAGAAUCAACCAAGAUAAUCAGCGGCUGGUUCUCAACCCUGCCUGUGACCCUUAAAGUGUUUAGGCCCGUCACCCCUUCUAUUGCAUUGAGGGAAAUGUGAGGGUUGUAUGUUUCAGGGUCUCGGUCAAUAGUUCUUCAUCCUCACUACCCUCUCCAUUCUCCUCCAUGAUACAUAGAGAAUACAGCUUCUUAUUUUGGCACCUAUGUCCUGGUGUAAACUUCUCAUCACACCAAAAACAAAGGCCUUUAGCACGUCUCUCGUCCAAGUCCCUAUUUCUGACAGGUCUAGUGGUUCUUUGGGUGGUGUUGGGAUUGUAAUGUGGGGGGUUUGGUAACAGACCUGCUUGUGGCUGUUUAAGGUUAGUACUGGGAAACCCGAUGGGAAAGUUUUUGUUGUAAUUAGCAGAGGUUGCAGGUUUGUUUUGGUAAGACAAGGUUGUGGGUUGAUAAGUCUGUUUGGUAGGAUUAGAACCAUAACGUCUGUGGGUGAGGGUGUUGUCCUGUAAUCUAGCUAAUGUAUAUGCUUGUUUCAAUGACUUUGGCUCAAACAUUUUGAUCAUAUUUUUAACUUCUAUAUCCAGCCCUCCUAUGAAAAAAACCAAGGCGUUUUUCUCAGAAAUUUCAGAUCGAUUCCAGAGGAUAUCAAAAUCCUUGAUGUAGGUUUCUAAAUCAUUUCUCUGCUUGAGUUCAAUGAGCUUCUCAUAUAAUUUUGAUGCCAACAUAGGGCCAUACCAUCUAGAUAAUAGGAAGCUAAUUUGAGCUUGUCUUGCUCAGCAGUUUCUUCUACAUCAAAGUAUUGGUUACACUUAUAAAUCCAUUUAAGGACAUCCUCUCCUUUAAAAAUGGAAAACUCUCGUUUCGGCCUACGCAAUUGAUAUUGAGGGGAAGUACCUUCAUUAAUCCAGUUGAAACGAGCGGUUGAGUCUCUUGUGGGAGGAGGCUGAGGAGCCUUAGGUAGGCUGCAUUCCCCUGAAGAAAGUUGGGUCUUCUGUAAUGCUGUGUCUACCCGAGAAACAAGAGCAUCCAUGGCUUCUUUAAGUUCCCUGAAGCGUGUAUUAGCAUCAGCCCUGAUAUUAUUAAGUUGUUGUUGGAUGUGAUCAUAUGUUUGAGGUUGCUCCGGAUUGGUGGUUCCAUCCACCCUUCUGGCAUCUUGGGAUCUCGUUUCAGGAGGCAUUGUGAGUCUGGAGAUGCAGCUCUGAUACCACUUGGAGCAGUUUCUUGAUUACUGGUAGCAGGUUCGUGAUUGUUAUGAUAUAGAACUCACAUUAACAAUGGAAUUCGUAUGGAAGAAGUCGUAGAAGAAGAAGAAGAACAGGGCUCAAGAUAAUGAGAUGAAGAAGACUGUUGAAGCAGAGAAUGCGUGGGAAGAGUUUGUUGGAAGGAAAACUGAUUCAAUAUAUUCAUAUCCUCUGUUGUAACAGAAUGAUUAUUAUUUAUACAGCUGAGCCUAACAACCUAGCACAUGCAUCUUCUCUUUGCACGUGAUAGUAACUGAUUUGUAACAGAAACAUAAACUUUCUAAACGCACCGUUUAGGACUUAGUGACUUACUCGUAACGCACCGUUUUACAAUUGAUUAAUUUGAAUUUCCCCCGUGUAAAACCUAUAGCUAAAUGUUGACCUGCAACAGAAAACCAUGCUGCAAGCUUGACAUAUUGUUCUGCUGCAUCGUUGGUAUAGAACAUUGCACAUUCAAUGAUUGCAACUGGGGAUUUAGUUGAUUUUCAUGGGACUGCAAUUGAUGAACUGGAGGCUGGGGAAGUUGUCCUAGCUGUAGAUUAGGAAUAGGCCUCCUGAAUCUAACUAGGUGUGACGUUGUUUUUAGAGACCUGUAAGAACAGCAAAAAUUAGUUGAGAUAAAAAUAGCAGAGUGGAAUUAAUGUUGGAAACUCAAGAGGACGUCGAUAUUGAUGGAAUGGAAACAUGCAAAGGGCUGUGUAAGUACACCUUCAGACAAGAUUCAGGUUACUUUGUCGAUAUUGAUGGAAUGGAAAGAUGCAAAGGGUUGAGUUCAGUUACUUUGUCUCACUGCAUUAUAUUUUUAUAUAGGUGGUUAUGAACUAUCAAAAUUGAGCAAUUUGGAACACCUUGACUUGGAAUUAAAUCACUUUAAUAACAGUAUUUUAUCAUUAAUGGAGAGGCUUUCAUCUCUUAAAUUCUUAAAUUUGAUUGAGAUGGGGCUGUUCCUUCAGAUGUUAAUGGUGUUUGUAAUAAUGGUUUCCUUGCAAGGAUGGCUGCCUCUUGGUUGCUUGGAGGAAGAGAGAAUCGCUCUCUUGCUCCUCAAAGAUUCUCUUAACUAUCCCGAUGGCACAUCCCUACCCUUGUGGAUUUUUAGAAGGCCAAGCCCACUGUAGUUCCUGGGAAAGUAUUAUCUGCAACAGCAGUCACCAGACUCUAUCUUGAUGGCACAAGGUACUUAAAUUAAUGCCUUCCUUUUCAACAACUUUGAAGUCAGUGGCACUGUAUCUUCUCGAGGUAAAUUAACAAAUUUUAACUCCAUAUUACUUAUCUGUGACUGUGCCCUAUAAAGAAUUCCUCUUUUCCUCUUUUAAAUGUCCUCUUUUCCUAGAGAUAAUUGAACUGACAAAGAGAAACAAUGCGAAGUACUUUCUAACCAAGAAAUGAAAGAGGGAGCGUAGGCGAAGAUUAAUUCAAACAGUUCCAGGUUUUGACAUCUGGGAGACCAUAUCAUAUGCUGCUAGCCAUAGUUUAAAAUAUCCAAGCCCUGCACAGCACCGUGAACAAGCGAAGUUUUGGCCAGCCACCACACCUUCGUCAUCGUUCAGACCAGAAGUGGAGGGGAAGUUUUGGCCAGCCACCACCUUCGUCAUCGUCCAGACCAGAUCUGUCACUGUCUUCGGCCGAUCUCUCAUUCUUCUACCGUUGGAUCAACUUGAUUUUUGGGUAUGUUAUGUGUCUCCAUAGUUCCUACAUCCAGACCGGAGGGAUCGUUCAUAUCUGCUACCGUUUAAGAAAUCUAAUUGUUUGAAGAUUUCUGGACAAACCACUCUCGGAACAGUAAGCUCCGCUGGCCUUUUUCUCACUUUUCUACCGUUGGAUCAAUCUGAAUUUUGGAUAUGUUAUGCUUAUGGUUGUAUUAAACAUUCUGAACGGUGGAGAUGAGAUGAAACCUUUUCCAGCAAAGUGUUAUGAAUGUCUAAAUGGUGGCUCGUCAAUCUCAGGUCAGUUUUGUUCUAACUCCGAUCUAGAGAGAUCCAACCGUUAACUUGAGCUGAUAUUUGGAUAUAUGCUGCAUAAGAUGUGUGUUUAUCUUUGUACCGUUGGGAUUUGAUAUUGAUUGAAUUGUUAGUCAGUAAUUGAUGUUUGAAGCUCUGUCCGGAAUCUGUCAUGACUUUCAAACCGAAACCCAAAACACCCAAAGUUAACAUCACCCCCUCAACCACUAAACAUCCCACAAACCAACACCAAAACACCCAAAACACAGCCUUCCCAUCGCAGGUUUGAUUUCCAAAAUCCCACAAACCAACAAACAAUCAAAAAUCCCUUUCCAACAACCAUCUCUGCCCAAAACAGCAACCACUCUCUAAACACAAUUGCAGUUUCCUAGCACAAAGAACAACGAUACAAUAACAAGAUCUCCCAAAAUGCUCCCAACCAAAAAGCCUUCGCUCACCCCUGCAAACCAGACCGUAGCAACGUUACUCAAACCUCACCUGAAUAAUACAGCCUCUCAAACACCUUCAAACACAACCUUCCCUGUUACACUAAACCUACCGAGACCUGUGCACCACACAAUAAACGUCCAGAACGUUAAUAAGCCUUCUUCUAACACAACCUUCCCGACCUUUACCCCUUCUAAGUUCUUUAUUGAACGUUUCCCAUCAUGGUUAGAUUAUCAUGACCUCAAAAAGACGCUUGCAAAGAUUGGUCCUGUUACCAAUCUUUUUGUCUCCAGGAAAAAAACAUCACGAGGGAGACGGUUUGGGUUUGUUUCCUUCCUCUCCACCUUAAAAGAAUCAGACAUUUGUAACAGCUUGAACCUUAUCUGGUUCGAUUCAUACAAAAUUCGUGCAAACCCGGUCAGAUUUCAGAAACCUCUAGACAAAAAACCAGACCUUGUUAUAAAACCACAACCAAAAACCAUGCCCAAACUCACCUUCAGAGACACCCGGACCUUCGUUGAAGCUCUUUCUGUCACAAAGCAUCCAAAGAAAACGGUGAUGUAUGAGUCUAUCCCCGAUGACAAGGAAUGGCUUCAGAGAAGUUUAGUGGGAUUCAUAGCCACAGACGUGGACUAUGCUCAGCUUGAGCAUAUGGUGCUAAAAAAUGUCAAGCAGACAGUUGGGUUUCGUUUUUUGGGAGCAAGCCAAGCAGUCAUCACCUUUACAAAUAGAGAAUCUAUGGAGAAAGAGCUGGUAAAUGGAUCCUCUGUUUUGGAAACAUCAUUCUUUCAUUUGAAACCAUGGGAAAAAGGAGCUAAAGCCAUAGACAGAUUUGUGUGGGUGUCCAUAUUAGGAUUACCUUUGAUAGGAUGGAAUCGCAGAUGUAUUGAAUCCAUUAUUGAGAAAGCAGGGAAAAUGCUUGGAUAUGACAUUACCAGCGUGAGCCAAGGAUCUCUCACAGGAGUUAAAGUGCUGCUGAGCACAACCUCAUUUGAGACGCUAAAUGAACAUGUUUUGCUGGUUCUAGAUGGCGACGAAUUGAAAUCUCAAUCAUGGAAAUGAAACCGGAUUUUAGUCCCCUGCUGUCUACAAUCAAACAUUCAAUGGGUGCAACAGGUAUUCAAACAUCAGAUGAAGAGUUAUGCAGUGAAUUUGCAGCUUCAGAUGAGGUUACGGCAGCGGGCACAAAGAUUACUGACACUGAUGGUGAUCAUUGUGCAACAGACAUUAUUUUAACACAGCAACAAAAGGCGGAUACGGAUAGUGAUUUCUCUCUCAUUCUCUAUCAAGGGUACACUGGACCAACAAACAACUUGGAUCAUACUGACACAAGUUCAAAAUUGCCUACCUUUUUCCUGAAACAAAAGAAACACGUGAUGAAGGGGCAACCGACAGUGAUAGCAACACAGAUGUCUCAGCACAUUCAGUUACAAGAGUGGGCCUUGUAAAAAACAGAAUCACAGGCCAGGUGAAAGGAACAAGGCUAAUCAACAAGGCAAUAAACUCAUGUAACUCAUUCUCUGAUUUCAUACGUGACCUGGCAGAGCCUCAAGAAGUAGUGGAAAUGGAACUACAGGAAAAAAAAAAAAGCUUAGACGAACCAGAAGACUUGGCCCUAAAUAUACAUACGGAAAAGGGAAGAAGGGGAAGAAAAACAGGCAUGCUUUGGCUCUUAAUGACACAUCAGAUAUUGUUCCUGACUCAUUCAGAAACACAUCUCAAAAAGAAAACGGCUCCCCCUGCUAUUAAGUCAUCUACUGAUCAACAUGAAGAUAUUACCUCUAAUCAUGCAUCCAUGGAUACAGAGACCAGUGAUACACAGCUCAUCUACCAACCCUUUUGAACUCUCAGUGCAGCCAAGAGGCCUCCUCAGAAGCGAUCAACGAAAACAACAGGAAUGCUAGAAGCAAAUCCAGGAAAAUAAAAUUGUUGCAAGCUAAUGGUAGUGUAGCUAACACUACUGAGAAAUGUGUCUCUUCUGAUUCCCUCAAUUCGGGAAUUAAGCAAGGCAAUGUCCGGUUCCAGACAACCUGUGAGAAUAAUCAAGCUGAUGGUUUUGAUAUAGAUAAGGAAACCCAGGAAAUGUUACAUGAUGCAGCGGCUCUAGGCUUGGGACCAUUCCAAGAUCUUAUAGGGUAUGAAGAGGGAGUUCGGGGGAACAUUGACAGAGAAGUAGACGAGUGGAAAUCAGUCAAUCAGUUGUAAGUUUCUUAACUUGCUAAGUUUUGUUCUGUCAUGGUUUUGAUCUACCUAUGAAUAUUUUUGCUUGGAAUAGUUGUGGGUUGGGUAUGUUGAACAAACGUCAUUCCAUCCGGAAUAGGUUGCUCAACAGUAAUGUUGAUAUCUGCUUUCUAUUAGAAACAAAAAAAGAUAAUUGUUGCGAUUCAUACAUCAGGAAUUUGUGGAAUGUGGUAACUGUUAAAUGGGCUUUGCUAGAGUCUGUAGGCAAAUCAGGAGGGAUAAUUGUGAUGUGGGAUAGUUCUAUCUUUGAGGUUAAUUCCAUAGAAUUUGGGGGGCAAUGGAUCAGCCUAUGCGGUAAACAUGUUCAUUCUUCCUUUAACUGCAUGGUAGUUGGUGUUAUGCUGCAUCUUCUGUGCAAGAUCGUGCUAAGCUGUGGGAAGACAUCACUACUCUGAAGUUUGCCUUUGAAUUACCAAUGGUGGUGAUAGGUGAUUUCAAUGAAACUCUUCAAGCUAAUGAGAGAAGUAGCGGCUACAUUAAUCAUUCAGGGUCAGCUGCUCUCCGUAAUUUCCUGUCCGAUUGUGCUCUGAUUGAAUUCAAACUGCAGGGCAACCGUUUCACUUGGUUUAGGGGGGGUUCUAUGAGCUGUAUUGACAGGGCUUUCGCAUCUCCAGAGUUCCACCUCCAGUUUCCAUUCUUAUCACUCUACCGUUAUCCUAGGGGGAUGUCUGAUCACUGUCAAUUGCUUCUUCAGGCACCAAAGGUAGAUUGGGGAUGGAAGCCUUUCCGCUUCAUAAAUAGUUGGUUGUCACACCCUACAUUCUCAGCUGAUUUUGAGAUCUUCUGGUUUGAUAGUUGCAAGGAAUUUCCCGGUGACUAUAGAUUGGUAAAGAAACUAGGAACUUUGGGGAAAAGACUGAGACAAUGGAACAAAUCCACCUUCGGUAAUCAAAAUUCAAAACUUGCAGACAUUCAGAACUCCAUCACAACCAUCGAAGACUUAAGCGAGGUACGCCUCUUGUCUGAGACUGAAAAAACAAAGCUCAAGAAUCUGAACUCUGAACUUUGGGAGGUUAGUAGGAAUGUCGAGGGCAUUUGGAGGCAGAAAUCCCGCCAAAACUGGUGCAAAAUGGGGGAUAAAAACACUCGGUUCUUCCAUCUUUCGGCAAGUUUGAGGAAUGGUCGGAACCACAUUAGCAAGAUUGAGCAGAAUGGCAGAUUUUUGGACUCUCCAAAUGACAUCAAAGAGGGUGCUGUCAACUUCUUCUCAACUCUGUUUGCCAAGCCACAAUGCAGAAGAAUUGAAAUGGGAGACUCAGGGUUCUCUAAAAUUUCAGAAGAAAGUUCAGUUUGGUUAGAAAGACUACCUUCAUUGGAGGAAGUGAAGCAAGCCGUAUGGGAUUGUGAUGGUUCAAAAGCCCCCGGUCCUGACGGGUUCACCUUCUCCUUCUAUAAAAAGGAAUGGAAUCUUAUCAGCCCUGACAUCUUUGUGAUGGUCACAGAAUUUUUCAGAACAGGUAAAUUACCAAAGGGGAUCGGCUCGUCCUUCGUGACUUUGAUUCCAAAGACCAAGAGGCCGAGCACUUUCUCCCAAUUUCGACCAAUUAGUUUGAUUCAUGGGUUAUAUAAAAUAGUGGCAAAGCUCUUGUCCACUAGGCUCCGAAGCAUUCUACCAGAUGUGAUAAGUGUAAACCAGUCUGCUUUCAUUGCCGGGCGUCAGAUUCUAGAUGGGUUCAUGAUAGCAAACGAGGUUGUCCAUAGUAUUCGUAGCAAAAAGGACCACGGGUUUUUGCUAAAGGUAGAUUUUCAUAAAGCCUUCGACUCGAUUUUAUGGGAGCAUAUCGAUUCUACCAUGGGUUAUAUGGGUUUUGGAUCUCACUGGAGGAAACUGAUCUUUGAAUGCAUGUCCACUUCUAAAUUGGCCAUCCUGAUUAAUGGCUCACCAAGCAGAGAAUUCAGUAUGGAGAGGGGUCUCAGGCAAGGGGACCCCCUCUCUCCUUCCUUUUUGACAUAGCAGUUCAGGGGUUAACAGUUCUAUUCAACAGGGCAUCAGAUUCAGGUUACUUUAAAGGUUUACAGACUUCGCAAGGACAUCACAUAACCCAUUUGCAAUAUGCAGAUGACACUUGAUUUUCCUGCCGAAUGAUUAUAUCUCUCUAUUGCAUGUCAAGAGGAUCCUCCGCUGGUUUGAGAUCAUUUCAGGACUGAAAGUUAAUUUCUAUAAAAGCUCACUUAUAGGAAUUAAUUUGGAUAACGAAUACACUUCAGGUCUGGCUAACACAAUUUUCUGUCGCAGUGACUCUUCCCAGUCAGAUACCUUGGGUUGCCUCUUGGUGCUAACCCAAAUAGGCUCUCCACUUGGAAACCGGUAUUGUCCACAAUCAGAGCAAAGUUAAGCAAAUGGAAAGGGAAGUUUUUGAGCAUGGCCGGAAGGAUAUGUCUUAUUAAAUCUGUCUUAAACUCUCUACCUCUAUACUAUAUGUCGGUCUUUAUUAUGCCAAAGGGCAUUGCAAAAGCAAUAUCCUCAAUCAACCGAUGUUUUCUCUGGAAGGGCUCCUCAAAUUCACAUGGUAUUUGUAAGGUUGCUUGGCAUAAGGUAAUUAAGAGUAAGCCACUGGGAGGUCUCGGGCUUGGUUCUAUUCACAGUAAAAAUCUGGCUCUGAUGUUUAAAUGGCUUUGGAACCUUGACAAAGGAGUGGUAGGAGGUUGGCAAGAGCUCAUCUUACGAAAGUACCGGCCACAUUUUUCAAAUGGCCUUCCUGUGUUUGCAGGUUCUUUAUCUCCAACUUGGCGUGGCAUGGUAUCUGCAAUUUCCUUAAAUCACAGCAUAGCCGCUCCCAUCCAAUCCAAUGUUGGGUUUAAGGUGGGUGAUGGGAGAAACAUCAGGUUUUGGUCUGAUUCUUGGCUAGGCUAUGCAGCCCCUCUCCAGUUCAUGUUCCCUAGGCUCUACAACCUCUCCCUGCAGCAAUCUUUAAGCGUUGCAGAAGUUCAUAACCCAACAGAUAACUCAAUCAAUCUUUCUUGGAGAAGACCACUUCGAUCCCGAGAACUCUGCAUGUGUGAAAGCUUGAUAGCAGAAGUGGAACGUGGCCUAGUCUUCUCUGAUGGUGAAGACAACAAGAUUUGGAAACACCAUAGCUCCAACAAUUACACAGUCUCCUCUGGGUGCCAUCUCUUUGACGGUUUAAAUGUUUCAGGACAUCUGCACUCCCCUGCUUUGCUUUGGAAAGGGUUUGCGCCUCCAAAAAUAGAUGUGUUCAUAUGGCUUCUUUUCAAUGGCAGUGUCUGCACAAAGGGUUUCUUAGCUGAGAGGAGAAUCAUCAAUUACGAGGAAGCUCUUUGUCCUUUCUGCUGCAAGGAGAUUGAGACUACACAUCAUCUUUUCCAUCUUUGUCCAAAAUCAUGGUCUCUUUGGGGCAGACUAUUUAGUUGGUUUGGGUGUGUAGGUUGUCUGCCAAAAGAACCAUAUCAUAACCUUCAGGAAUGGUCUAACAUGGUAAAAGGAAAAUUCCAGCGUCAGGCAAUUUCCCUUCUCUGUAAAGGAUUAUACUGGUCAAUUUGGAUAGCGCGCAACCACAUGAUCUUUGACAACAAAACUCCAGACUGGGAUGUGAUUUUUGACCUCACCUUUCAUCGGUUGGCCUUUUGGUUGAAGUCCUUUGUUAAAAAUUUCAGCUAUACGGGCUCUGAUCUUUAUAGAAAUCCUGAAUGUAUUAUGAACUGGACUAACUAGUCAGGUCUUUAGAUUCCUUGUUUUCUUAAUGUAUUUUUAAUUUCCCAUGUAAUCUUCCUUAUCAGCCCUCAUCUCCUUAAUGGGGGCAUAUUAUUUAUAAUAUUCUCGAUUACUAUCAAAAAAAAAUGUCCUCUUUUCCUAUUAAACAAUUUGUCCAUCAAGUUUUUGCCCCACCAGUAAGAUGGUUCACUGAAAAGACAAAUUUUGGAAAUGCUUUUGUUUGAUCUAUUUUCUGUUAUUCUCCUAAAAUAUCUUCGUUCCUUGAUAGUAUUCUCUUGGAUAUGAUGAGGUACUACUCCAUUUUUUGAUCUUUGCUGGCCUAGCAUUCCGUGGGUCUAUUUUAUAGAUUGCCAAAUAGUAUAGUCUCCGAGAAUUCUCAAAUCUAUUAGUAUUUGAAUUCAUACAAACAGAGAAAUGGCCAAUUACCAACCGCCCAAGGUAAGGUUAAUGACUCUUAUUCUCUUUAAAUUAUAUAUUUUCCAUUAAACAGUAAGAGUUUAAAAUUUUCUAAAUUAUGAUGUCAGGCCUAUGUAACUUAAAUGAUCUCCAAGAACUAGAUAUGAGGUUAGUGGUGUCUUAUCUCCAUGUCUGGCAGAUGUUACUGGAAAAUCUCUAUAUCAUUGAACCCACUAUGCAAACUUUCAAAACUCAAGUCUUUUCAUGGUUUGGAAAAUGAAAUAUCCACAGAAGAAGAUGGUCAUAAUUAAUUAAGCCCAAAGUUCCGGUUAGAGUCUCUUGGUUUGAGGUGUCAUGGACAAGGUGGAGCAUUUUCCAAGUUCUUUACCAUCAGUUGAACCUACAAUCUUUGGAUCUUACAAACAUCCAAAUAAAGGGAGAGUUUCCAAAUUGGUUGACAGAGAACUAUUGUAAAACUGAUAUAUAAAGAACAUACUAUUGUUGAUGAAUUAAAAAAAAAAAAAAGAAGAAAGUCUUUACAGUUUAAAGAACAAGGAGCAGAAAAUGUUUCGAUAGGUUACUGCCGUCCCUAAUGUUUUAUUUAUAGAAGGAAACAAACAUUACAAAAUUAUAAAAAACUGAAGAAACGUACCAGUUAUGAUCUCCUUUAUCUAAGGAGUUGUAUAACAAGCUAGUCUAAUCCUAGAUAAACUUAAACAAACGAAUUGAAAGAAACAUCCUAAUCUAGAUAAUGUUAUAAGCUAACAGAUAGAUAGCAAUGUAGUAGAUUACUGCUAAGUAAUCCUGUUCCAGCUUUGGUACCAGACUUCAACAAGAAUAACACAUACGUACCUAGAAUAGUUGACCUUGGUGCAGAACUAAUGAGUGAUGUAAACUAUUCAUCAGAACCAGUGAAAUUGAAAGACUUGCAAAGAAUCCUGAGUAAUAUUGGUGAUGGAGGUAUGUUCUGCUCAGAUAGUGCAAUUGACCAUAUCUUUUGUUGUCUUAUGUGUUGCGAUUUCUUGUGUGUCUUACGUCGUUGUAUUCUAAGGUAAUUAUGAGGUUGCAAGGCCACUAAACUCCAGAGGAUAUUUUAGACUUUUUGCAGAGCCCUCCUUUCCGUCAACAAGUGGAUUCUUUUACUUAUGUAAGAAAUGCGAGGCUGAUCCUUCUUGUUCUGGUUCCUGUCCUUUUGAUGAUAGCCAAUUUUACAAGGUUUAGCUCUUCUUUUUGCUUGAAGGUUCUCCGAACUGGACAAAUAGAUUUGUCUGAAUUUGGGAUCAACCCCAAUAAAUAUGAGUGGUUUGUGGCUCUAGAACCUGUACCUUAGCAAUGGUUUUCUCUUUAGCAAAUCAUUUACUCGUGUUCAUUAGCAUUAACUAAAGUCUUUAGUUAAUUCUUUCUUGGGAAAUUCUUAUUAGGGUUGCUUAUAUAACUAAUGAUUAUAGAACCUUGUUCGAAGUAACCUGAACAGCCUCUUCCUCGGCAAUCCUGGCAUUUCUUGAUCUACCCAAUACUGGUUUGGGCACACACCUAUAUAUAUUUUUUGGAGUUUCAAGAAGCCAUGCUCUAUGUAGGCACACAUAGAAUUUCCCACACCAAAUCAUAAUCAAACUCGAUCCGCUUUAGUAAUCUAUUUUAUUUAAACAUGCAGUCUGCCAAACCCAAUCCAGAAUAACAAGGCAUCCUUUUAUUAAUUCACGUAGAAACUACUAGUCCUAAGUUUAUAAAUCCAAUCAUAGAGCAAUCAGUGAAGAAACUUCAUUAUUAUAUAUCACACAGAAACUAAAAACAAAAACAAAAACAAAAACAAAAACAAAAACAAAACUCAAAUGAAAAUCAAUAUAAACUUAUUUAAAUCUUGAAACUAAAACCCAAAACCAUGCACCAAGGCUUAGUACCAUCAAGAUAAAAGGCUAUGAAAAUCCAAACUUAGAUAAAAUGAGAAGAUUGUCCACCAGAAAAUAAUAGCAAUUGUUGAUGCUCACCUCAAUAAAGUGAAACCAAGAUUGUUGCCAAUUUGGAUUUAUGUACAAAAUUGCACCUAUCACCAAUAACACCAUAAUGUAUGCAACCCCAAGGCUCACAUAGAAAACCUCUAUAUCCAUGAAACCACCAUUAUCUUAUUAUUCGUUGAAGUUGGCAUUGGUGAUGGUGGCAUAGCCACACCACAUAUUUUGGGUAGCAGUUCUCCACAAAAAAAGGGUUGUCCUUGUAGUAGCUCUCUUCAAAUGUGAUAAACUAUGCAACUCUAACAAGAGUCUUGCUAAAUCUUUUAAAUCUAUCAACCUUUCCGGCCUAUUAUAAUCUAAAUAUAGUGAUUAAAGAGAUGAAAAUCCCUCCACAAAUGAUAGAAUAUUGUUAUCGAAACAAUUAAUUCUCAAGUCAAUAUACUCCAAAUUGUUCAAUUUAUGUAACUCAUAACUGUCGCAUGUCACCCGUGCGGCAUCAGCUUGGUGAUUUUUCAUUGUCGUUUGAUUUGAUUGGUUUAGAGUUGCCACCUAGUAUUUAAUUGAGGACUACUAGGAAACCUGAGUGUACUAGUCUUGUCAGAGAUUCACGGGUAAGGGACUACUAGGCGGUCAAGAGUGGCAGAGGGCCGUCGGCUGGCUUUUUGUUGGCUGGGAGUUGGGUUUUUCUAUUUUUGAUAAAGGGGGGCGUGACAGCUUCUCUUGGAGAAGAUAGAGUUAGGUCUUUUUUUUUAGGGUUUUCUCUCUUCUUUUUUUGUGUUACCUCCCCCUGAAUGUUCAAAAGUACCCCCCCCUUUGUUUUGAGUUACGGACCUAUAUUUAUAGGUAAAAUGUUGCUCGGGCUUCAAAAUUGGUCUCUCAACCUUUUUUUUUUGUAAAUUUUGAUUUUUCUUGUAUUUUUGAAAACAAGCAACAUCAACGCCAACUCAAUGAGAGAAAUCAAGGAUUUUAAAAACGACGCGUGAAAAGUCGAACGCGUUCGAAAGACCUUUGAAAAUUUAAAUUUGUUUUUAGAUGAUGUUGAAAAUGCUAAAAACAAUGCAAAUAUAUUAAAAACAUAUUUUUUGAAUUUUCGUUGUUUUCCGCUAUUUUUGGAUUUUUUGAAAAUUUUAUCAAAUAGGUGGGUCAAAAAUCGGGUAACAACAUAUGUCCCCUCUUUACAAUGCUUACGAAGCAAAACUCCUCAAUGUUUUGCAUAGUAAGCUUUGUAAAGAAAAGGAAAGGAAAAUGAUUUCAUUAUCUUGGGCAACCUGCCCCUUUUAAAGAAAAGUGAUCUAUUUUCAGGGGUGACCUGCUCAUACACUCACACUGGUCUAUUUUCAAGGGUGAUCUGCCCACACAUAUGUAAAGUGGCCUACUUUCAUGGGCGACCUGCCCUUUUGAUUGGGUUUAUCUAAGAUCCCAUCUGACAAAUUAACAAGAACCAAAAUCGGUGCGUAGCUCGGUCAAUUUGAAAUCACAUCUAGCGAUUCCCUUUAACCAAAGCUAAAUUCUGCAUGGUUAUGAUAAACUGAGAUCCCUAAACCAAUCCCCUUUAACCAGAACCAAAAUCCAUUGUAGUUAGGCUAAACUGAGAUCCCUUCGCCGAUCCCCUUUAACCAGAAUCCAAAGUUCUGUGUGUGGUUAUGAUAAACUGAGAUUCCUUCGCCGAUCCUCUUUAACCAGAACCAAAAUCCUUUGUAGUUAGGUGACAAGACCAAAAAAUUGAUGUCUUCUCCCAAGUGCAGGAGUAUCGAAGUAAUAAAUAACCCGGCAAGACCGGGGUCGAACCACAGAGAGGUAAUUGUAUAAAUUAUAAAUAACAAGACAACAACAACAACAACAACAACAACAAUAACAACAACAACAACAACAACAAUAACAAUAACAAUAAUAACAAUAAUAAUAAUACUCAGUACGUGGCGUUGUUAUACCUGAGAAUGAUCUAAAAGAUCGGGUCAUAGGUUUCCAACCUAUAUACUAAGUUUAUGAAAAGAUCAAAGAGAUAAAUUAUAUAAUAUAAACAAAAUGUAAAUAAUAAUAAUAAUAAAAAAAAAAAAGAAGAGGAGGAAGAAAUUAAUGAGAACUUUGAGAUGGAAGAUUAAUGUAAGGAUUAAACAAUGAUAAAAACAAAUGUCAAGGUUAGAGGAUCCACCAAUGGUAUUUCAAACAAGUAUAGUAUAAACUCUUAUUAUUCAACUGGAAACCACACACAAAGGAGGUUCCAAUCGGAUGAUUUCUCAUUAAUAGCUCAUUAUAAAUUAUUAACAUGAUCAUAUUAAUUAUCUUAAUUACAUAACACCAAACUUUUAAAUAUUGUCAGGAAUUCAUGAUAUUAACUGAUGUUAACAACAAAUCAAGUUCCUUUCAUAGCCCAGGUGUAGGUAAUACCAUACUGUUGGGCUAUGAGAGUGCCAAGCAUUUGUUGUACCAAGUGUUAUACAACACAAAUCUAGAUUAACCAUUUAACAAGCAAGGUAUUAAGAAUUAGUAAGAUAAAAAGAUAAGACAUGUUAAUAUUAAACAUUAAGAUCCAUGUUGAGUUUACACUAUAUUUAUUCUUACACCAUUAGUGUAACCUUUUCACCUUGACAUAAUAAACUUAGCUAAACAUAAUGAAGAAGAGAAACAUAAAUAAACAAAACAAGAACAUAAAGAAAAUACAAGUUAACUAAGUAAAGGAAAGGAAAUGAAAAGCAUAAACAAGAUAUUAAUGAAAGCAAAACUUAAAAAUUACAAAAAAAUAUAAAGAGAGAAAUAAAGAGCAUGAGCUUGAUCUGAACAACCAAGCCCAAAUACAUGGCAAAUGCCUCCUUUUAUAGGCCAAAAUUCGGAAUUAUUGAUUUGAUGACUAAUUGUUGAGUGGGUGGCCAACUUUUGACUUGGUGAAAAUCCUUAUCUUCUUGUCUGAAUAAAAAAAAUGCUACCAUCCGAACUGGGUCCACUGGAAAACAUGAAAGUUGUAGGAAAUUGACUCAGCUUUCCAGGAAAAAAAAAUGGAGGUCAUUUGGACUUCUAGAACUCCAGAUAUGGGCCAAACACUGAACAGUGUUCGGGCUGCAGGACAGAUUCGGACUUCUCCGUUGUUGCUAUAAUUUGGACUUGAAAACGGCCUUCUUAGAUCUUGAUGAAAACAUGAAAGUUGUAGGCCUAUGUCUUACUGAAUCUGUGUAAAAUUUGAGGUCAUUUGGACAUCUAGAACUCGAGAUAUGACCCAAUUACCGAACAGUGUUCCAGUUUGGACUGCACCAACAUCUCUUUUCUAAGUUUCACCCUCUCUUUAUCUUUGCAAAUUUCAGUAGUUGAAUUCAUCAAUCAAUCCUUUGAUUUAUGUGAUAGGCCUGCAUUUAAGAUGAACAUUUACCAUAUAUUAGGGCAUUUUAUAGUUUUAGACUUGUUAUUAUAAAACAUGCUUUAGUUAAGGAGUUAUUGAUACUUUAAGUGCAAAAUGAUGAUAUAAAACCUUGAUAAAUAUGCACUUUUAAGUACUAAUCAUUAGGCUAAACUGAGAUCCCUUCGCUGAUCCCCUUUAAUCAGAACCCAAAGUUAUGUGUGUGGUUAGGAUAAACUGAGAUCCCUUCGUCGAUCCCCUUUAACUAGAACCAAAAUCCUUUAUAGUUAGGCUAAACUGAGAUCCCUUCGCUGAUCCCCUUCAACUAGAACCAAAGUCUAUGUGUGGUUAGGAUAAACUAAGAUCCCUUUGCCGAUCCCCUUUAACCAUAACAAAAAUCCUUUAUAGUUAGGCUAAACUAAGAUCCUUUCGCCGAUCCCCUUUAACCAAAACCCAAAGUUCUAUGUGUGGUUUGGAUAAACUAAGAUCCCUUCACCGAUCCCCUUUAACCAGAACCAAAAUCCAUUGUAGUUAGGCUAAACUGAGAUCCCUUCGCCGAUCCCCUUUAACCAGAAUCCAAAGUUCUAUGUGUGGUUAGGAUAAACUAAGAUCCCUUCGUCGAUCCCCUUUAACCAGAACCAAAAUCCUUUGUAGUUAGGCUAAACUGAGAUCCCUUCGCCGAUCCCCUUUAAUCAGAACCCAAAGUUUUGUGUGUGGUUAGGAUAAACUGAGAUCCCUUCGUCGAUCCCCUUUAACCAGAACCAAAAUCCUUUGUAGUUAGGCUAAACUGAGAUCCCUUCACCGAUCCUCUUUAAUCAGAACCCAAAGUUCUAUGUGUGGUUAGGAUAAACUGAGAUCCCUUCGUCGAUCCCCUUUAACCAAAACCAAAAUCCUUUGUAGUUAGGAUAAGCUGAGAUCCCUUCGCCGAUCCCCUUUAACCAGAACCAAAAUCCUUUGUAGUUAAGCUAAACUAAGAUCCUUUCGUCGACCCCCUUUAACCAGAACCCAAAGUUUUGUGUGUGGUUAGGAUAAAUUGAGAUCCCUUCAUCGAUCCCUUUUAACCAGAACCAAAAUCCUUUAUAGUUAGGCUAAACUGAGAUCCCCUCGUCGAUCCCCUUUAACUAGAACCCAAAGUUCUGUGAGUGGUUAGGGUAAACUGAGAUCCCUUUGUCGAUCCCCUUUAACCAAAACCAAAAUCCUUUGUAGUUAGGCUAAAUUGAGAUCCCUUUGCCGAUCCCUUUUAACCAGAACCCAAAGUUCUGUGUGCUGCUCGGUCAACCUGGAAUCCCAUCUGGUGAAUCCCUUCAACCAAAGCUAAAACAUUCAUGGUGGUUAACCUGGGAUUCCUUCUGGCAAUCUCCUUUAACAAAAAAAAAUGUUUCUUCUUCAAGAUGAUUGGGUUAAAAUUAAAGACUCUUCUUCAUUGAUCUUCUUAUUUCUUUGAGAUUUCCUUAAUGUUAGGGUUUAUCUCAUCUUCCUCCCAUUUCGGGGUCAAAACCAUGAUUCUUUGUUGUUCAUCAACUCAAUGAUUCUUUCUUUGUGCCUAAUCUUGCUCGACUAUAUUGAGGAUUUUUCCUGCAACAAAUCAAAAAUAUAUGGAAUACUUCGACGUUAGAUGCAUGCAUCCUUACCUGAUUUGAAAUAUAGGUCCCCCCCUCUUCAAUGUUCCAUCAUCAUAGCACCUUUGUUUGUUAUUCAAAGCUUUCUUUAUUCUUUCAGUGCAAUGGUUCAUUCGUGUGCUAGCCUUCCACUCUAAUGUAAGUGUAGUGCCUAUCGUGGGUUGUCCAUGACAGUUACUACUCUUAUUGCUUCUCAAGCUUGACCAUGCUUCCAUGUGUGAUGUAGCUUGAUUCCAUAAAUUAUCUUAUCUCUUGGAUUCUUCCGAGAAUUGUUCUUUGUUUGAAUAUGUGCAUCGUGCCAAUGCCCAUUAAAAUUGUCAAUCAAUCAUGGACUUGCCCCCAGUUGAAACAAUACUCUUCAAGUAUAUGUUAUCAUCAGUAUUCUUGGAAACUAUCCAAUCAUCCAGACAUGCAUCUCAUAGCUUGCAGUAUAAAGGCUCAUGGUUGUAUGCUCAGUGUUCUUCUUAAUAGAUUCCUUUCAACUCUUCUAAUCAAAUUGUGAAAAGAAAUGUCUCGGCCUCAUUAAUGAUGUUGCUUUUAUCACCCAUAUUCAUGCGGUGAAGUGCUCAUUUGGCUUCAAAACAGAUGGUACCACAGUCAGUCUUAGUGGGUGCAUCCUUUCAACAUUCAUUCAAAUGCAAUUAUGCGAUAACAUCAUUCAAAAGUCAUAGCCAUGUUGGAGAUGAUAAACCAAGAUGAAGAUAUGAAAAUAUCCUUCAAGUGCAGCGUUGCUCAUCAAUUGUUGCUGAAAUGCACUAAAUCACAGACUAUCUUUAAACAACAUUGCCCCCAGUCGAUUUGAACAUGCUCAUUCUUCAGUCUAUAAUCAAAUGGCUUUUGUGAUUGCCAAGAAUGACUUUGAUGGACUUUGGUGACUCAUCAUCUGAUUCUUUCUUUGCCCCCAGCUGAUAUGAAUACUUUUUGUUUUUCUUCUCAAGGUCCACUAUAUUGCCCCUAGGUGAUCAACUUUUCAAGGAGUGUCGAGAAAUGUUGAUGUCAUUUUUGUCAAGGAUUUUGCCAAUUUGAUCGAUAUUCUUCUUGUUUGGCAAUCUUUCUUGUUUUGGAAUCAAAUCUCAGAUUUUGAAGAUCAUGUCUAUUCAAAGUCUAGUUGUUGAAAUGAAAUCAGAGAUGUUGGUUUUGGAAAAGAUUUUGAAAAUCAAACCUCUUUGAUCAAAGACCCAAUACGCCAUUCAAUGUAAUCAUUUGAUUGUCUUGUAAUUUGAAAGCAGAAAUUGACCCGUUGUGAGAUUAAAAUAGCUUUUUUGGUUCUUUAUAUCUAUUUUAAUAUUUGAUCUUGAGUGUAUCAUUUGAUGGUCUGUGAUGAGGUGACCUUUUGUGAAUUUCAAGGAAAACAAAAGACUCAAGUCAAAACUUAAGGAUUCAUCAAGAAAGAUUGUUUUCUUUUUUAACACCAAUUUUAUCAGAAUGCAUAAUAACAAGUAGCUUAAUCCAUGAAGCCACGACUCUUAUGGAAAGCUCUUCAAGUUUUGAGAUCGCCAUUUAUCGGUUCAGAUUGCUUCUUGAUUAAAAAGAGCUUUUUAAAGCACGUAAUGCAGGCUAUGGUUCAUGGUUAUGAAAGAAAGGAAUUUCACAAGCUCAAAAGUUGUUUUAGGGUUUCAACGACUAGGAUCAACAUUAACUAUUCAUAAACUCCUUUUCUCUUGUUGUUGUCGCACGUGUGCGGCGGCGCGGCGAUCGUCCACCCUCAAGAAAAAAAUCGGAAUAUUAUAUUCCUGGCAAAUAGGGAGAGACAAGAAAAUUCUUGUCUCUACAAGUGAAAAUAUGGACUGGGAGUCGCCACCUAGUAUUCUGGUUACUUGGAACCUUAACUGGUCUUCUUUAGCGAUCGGGUACGGAGACUGGUUGCGUAAAGGGAAGGUAUUAGCACCCCAACUACGCCCUACCUAAGGUAGGCUGCAUUGUUUUAAAGUCUGAUCAAAUCUAAAAUCGUGUUGUGGUUUUUUUAUUUGUUGGUUCGUUUACGGUUUAAGAAAAGUCCUCCUCUGUAAGGAGAUCCUUAUCUUUAUCGGGUAAAAAACUAACUAUUCGAAGUCGUCAAAAGAAAAUAUCUUUUUAAUAUCAGGAAUACGAUUUACGUAUAAAUUCAUAAUCCCUGAUACUAAAAUCAAACAAAAUAAAAUAUUUUGUUGUUUUUGAGAUUUUGGCCAAUGUUCUCUUGACUUUAAUAAACUGGUUAUUAAAGCCAAAAUGCAUGCUAAAAUAUUGUUUUUUGACAUAUGAAAAAUACGAUAUGAUUUUUUAGAUUUGAGACACUUGGCCGUAUGCACAAAAACAUUUUUUUUCUCUUUUUUUAAUUUUUUUUUUUGUAUUUUUGGAAGUUUUUGCCGAAAACCGGGUAUUUUAAUACCGGAUUUGUAUUUUACGAAUAAAAAUACUGCCCGAUAUUAAUCAAAAUGACGCGGAAAAAUUAUAAAAUGCUGAAACAAAUAUUUUUGAUUUUUUUUGUGUGAACAGUACCGUGUGAAAGAUAAGUGCGAAAACCGGGUAUUUUAAUACCGAAUUAUAUUUUUACGAUGUAAAAUACAUACCGAUAUUAAGCAAAAUUGAUAAAAAAAUGUGCUGGAAAAAUUGUAAAAAAAAAAUAAAAAAAAUAAAUGGGCCGGACCAUAUCAGUUGGGCUAAAUGGGCUGGUUACUGUGCAUAAGCACAGUAACCAGCCUCUCAUCAGUUGCAGAACGUGAAUUAAUUCACGUUCUGCAUGAAAAAAAAAGAAGGCAGAAAGGAGAAGGAGACGGGGCAGGGGUUACCUGCGGUGGCGUCGAGGCGGUGCUGCUGGUGGCAGCGGAGGCGAUGGUGGCGGAGGCACGGUGGUUCUGCGUUUUCUUCUCUCUCUCGUUUUCUCUCUCUUUUUUCUUCUUUUCUUUUCUUUUUUCUUCUUUCUUCUCUCUUUUCUUCUCCUCUUCUUCUUCCUCUCUCUCUCUUCUCCUUCUCUUCCCCUCUUCUUUUUUUUUUUCCUCUUCGGUCUCCCCUGUUUUUAUAGGCAAAAACAGGGGGGGACGUCAUGGUGGUGGCCGUUGUGCUGCCGCCCGUCCAACGCCCGUAACGUGGAAAGUGGUCGGCAAGUCGGCGUCUUUUUUCGCAAAAAACGGGAAAGAAAUUAGGCGAAAAGGGGAAGAAAAAAUCUUCUUCUUCCCCUGCCUCGCGCGUCCAGGGGAAGAAGAAGAGCUACAGUGCCGUCAAAACGGCACCGUUUUGCCCAGCUUCUUCUCCUCUUCUUUUCCCCGCCGGCGGUGACACUCACCGUCACUAGCAAAAGAAGAAAAAAUACAAGCAGUCGAUUUUCUAGGUCCACUCGAUUUUGGAUGGCGGCCGAACUAAUGGUUGUGGAAGGAGUGUUGGAUGGCCAGAGCAGCGGUGUCACCGUUGGGGAAAGGGACAACACUGGAUCUGUGGGCGUUACUGUUGAGGAAACCGAAGGGGAAGCAACCGUUGCUGAUGGGGAAGGAUACGCUGUUGUUGGAGGUUUAGGGUUCGGUGGAGGCCGGUUUGGCCGCUAGUCUGUGGGGGAUGAGAGAAGGAAGAGGGUGAGCGAUGGGGUUUUGUUUCUUUGCAAGGAAGAUGGAGAUUUUCGAGCAGCAACUCUUUUAGGGCAAAGAGAGAGGAAGUUCAAAAUGAGGGUGGUGGCUCUAGUGAGGCCAAGAGGGAAGAUGAUGGGGAGAUGGGGGCUCUGGUUUUCUUUGGCAAGGCCAAAGGGAAAAAAUGAGUGGCUGGCUGUGAGAGGGAGAACCGGUUUUGGUUUGGGUGAGCGACUGUAGAGGUAAAACGAAAUGGCCAAGGGAGAAGGUGGCCGAGAGUGGUAGAGGUCCACCGACUGGCUUUUUGUUGGUUGGGAGUUGGGUUUUUAUGUUUUUGAUAAAAGGGGGCGCGACGGCUUCUCUUGGAGAAGAUAGAGUUAGGUCUCUUUUCUUUUUAGGUUUUUUUUUUUUUGUGUUACCUCCCCCUGAAUGUUCAAAAUUACCCCCCCCCCUUUAUUUUGAGUUAUGCACCUAUACUUAUAGGUAAAAUGUUGCUCGGGCUUCAAAAUUGGUCUCUCAGCUCUCUUUUUUUUUUUUGUAAAUUUUGAUUUUUUUUGUAUUUUUGAAAACAAGCAACAUCAACGUCAACUCAAUGAGAUAAAUCAAGAAUUUUAAAAACGACGCGUGAAAAGUCAAACGCGUUCGAAAGAUCUUUGAAAAUUUAAAUUUUUUUUAGAUGAUGUUGAAAAUGCUAAAAAUGAUGCAAAUUUAUUAAAAAUAUAUUUUUUGAAAUUUUGUUGUUUUCCGCUAUUUUUGUAUUUUUUAAAAAUUUUAUCAAAUAGGUGGGUCAAAAAUCGGGUAACAACAAUAACCACCUACAUAAAUAAAUUAAGACUUCAUGUAAUGUUUUCUUAAAAAAAAGAUAUUGUUGGAUUUAUUUAAUUAUGAUCGAUUAAGAGGUAUGUUAUUGCUAUAGUGACGUCAUGUAAAGAGGUUGAGGCGGUGAAAGUAUAAGUAAAAGGACUAAUUGUUACAGUGAUGAUGUCAUGAUUAUAAAAUAUUAGUAAUGUAAUUAUAUAUGUGAAUAUAUGAUAUAAAUGUUAUAAAUAAUAAAGUUUAAAAGAUUAUUUAAAAAUAUUUUGUUUUUCACAUUGAAAAGAUAUUAUAUUAGUAUGUUAUCCUUUCAAGUUAAAGUAUUUAAACAAAAAAAAAAAUUAUUCUAUAUUGAAAAAACAUAAUUUUUUUUCUUGUUAAUAUAGAGUAUAUAUAUUAAAGGACUUCAAAUCCCACAUUGAAAAAAUAAUUUUUUUCCUGUGAACAUAGUAUAUAAACUAAAAAACUUCAAAUCCCAUAUUGAAAAAGUAAAAUAUUUUUCUAGUAUUUAUAUAGUGAACUUUGAAAAGGGUUAAUAACUAACUAAAAAAUAUAUAAAAAAGAGGUGUCUCUUACCAGGAGAAAAAAAAACAUUUAAAAAAAAAAAAUGGGGUCUCAACCGGGUUUUUCCAGGUCACUAGUCAACCCAGUGGGUCAACCCAGUUUUGCUUACCCCGAUCUUUUGCCUUAACCUACCGAUCCAGCCAUCGGGUCGACCGGGUCUCGGGUCAACCUCCUAGGCCGGUUCGGGUUUAAUAACUAUGAUAUAUAUAUUCUUUUUAUAAUGCUUUGAAUCUGAAUAUCUUUUAGAAAAAAUAUGGUUUUAUUUUGUUUUGAAUUUUUUUUUAAUUUUAUAUCUUAUAAUUUGAUUUUUAUAUUAAUUUUGGUCAUUAUUUAGUUUUUUCUUAAUUUUUUUUAAUUCAAUUUUUUUAUUUAUCAAAUUUCAUUCUUAUUCUUUUGAUCAAUAUUUAUUUUAUUUGAAAUAAUUUAUACGAUUACAAUUAUUUUUUAAAAUUUUAUCAUCUUUCAAUUAUUUUUUAUUUUACAUGCCAUGCACAGCUUAGGGACCCAUCCCUUUGUAUAAAAAAUGAUUUGACGGUCCUUGGGUUGGGUGUAUGCCUACGUACUUAGUUUUCUAAAUAGGCCUUGACUCUUUUUCUCUCUGUAUGUUGUGUUAGUGUUAAAAUCUUAGUAUAUUAUACAAUUGGAUUUAUUUUUAUGUUUCACAAACGAGUAUUAUACAUUUGUGUCUCGUUUUUUCUAAUUAAAAACUUGUAUUGAUUUAUUUAUUUUUUUGUAAUUUGAAUACUUGCUCUUAUGAAUUUUUAUCAAUCAAGUCUCUAAUAAUGUUUGUUUCCCAAAAAAUAGUUUCUGAAAAACCACUUUCCAAACUUUCCCGUGUUUAUUUGUAAUUUGGCUUCGUUUUCAACAAAGUGUUUUCCUGAAAAAUUUGAGCGGAAAACACUUUCCGGAAGUUAUGAAAAAUUUAGAAAUGUCAUAUUAUUUGUUGAUUAUAUCAAAUUUGAUCCUCAAACUUUUGAUUGUUAUAUAUAUUUUGUUUUGAAUAUUUAUUUUUCAAUUUCAUCUCUUAAAAUUUAAUUUUUAUAUUAACUUUGGUCCUCAUUUUUAUAAUUGUUAUUUGCUUUUUCCUUAUUAUUUUUUUAUUAAAAUUUUUUAUCUAUCAAAUUUGGUCCUCAUUCUUUUUUAUUGUUACUUAUUUUAAUUGAAAUAAUUUAUGAAAUGUUAAUUAUUAUUAUUUUAAUUUCUUCAUCUUUUUUUUUUUUAGAUUUGAUCUAUAUUAUUUUAAUCAUUAUUUAUUUUAUUUGAGAUAAUUUAUGAAAAAAACAUUUUCCAAUUUCAUUCUCAUUUAACCUUUAAUUUUGUAAGAUUUGUUCCUUAUUAUUUUAAUAAACUUGAGAAAAAUAAAACAUUAAUAAGUUAUUUUCCAGCUCAUUUUCCAUGACAUAACCAAACACUAGAAAGUGUUUUCAACUUAUUUUCCAUUAAACUACCAAACAUCAGAAAAUAAUUUACUUUCCCGGAAUUCACUUUCCAAAAAAAAACUAUUUUCCAACAAACAUACGGGGCCUCUGUAUUAGUUUUGUUGCCAGAAUGCAAAUAACAUGAUUAAUACUAUUUUAUUUUCAAUUUUUUCAAGGCCUAAAUUUUCCAAACCUAAUUUCCAUAAAAAUAAUAGCAAGUCUUAUAUAUCCACAAUCAUCAUGUGCCUAGCAUUAACCUUUUAUUCAUGUUUUUUCCAAAAACAAAACUUGACUUUCGGUCGACAACGUUUUAAGAUGGAAUAUAAGUUUCGGUUAAUUACUUAAUUUCAAUUUUUUUUUGUACUCUAUGCUUUCGAUGAACAUCACUUUCUUAAGCUAGUUGCAGUAUAUAGAAAUUUCUUCUAACAUUUUAGAAAUAUAAUUCACAUCUGAAUUGAUAAAUUCACAAAUUAAUAUAAUAGGUUUUACCAUUUAUUUUAAUAUAUUUUUGGAAUUUAAUAUUAAUAGUUAUAAAGUUUAUUUAGUUAAUAAAAAUUGUUCCACUUUUGUUAUAUCACUUUCCUUUUAAAUUAUUUUAAAGUUUAUUUAUUUUGAAUUUAAUAUAUCAUUUUUUUUUGGAAUAGAUAAAAUUUAUUUUUAAAAAUAAAAAAACUCUUUUCAAAUAAUAUUUCAAAUAUAUGAAGCCAGGCAUAUUAUUACUAUUUUUUAUUUUAUUCAAUCAAUUUAUAAUAUGUGUGUCUAUUAUUAUUAUUAUUUCAUCGAAUUUUUUUUUUAGAUGAAUAUCACUUUCUUAAGCUCAUUGUAGUAUAUAGAAUUUUUUUUAAAAUAAAAAUAAAAAUAUUAUUCACAUCCGAUUAAAUACCUCCACAAAUAUAAUUCCAUUCAAAGUUGCAUCAUGUAUUAAUCUAAGGUCCAUUGUCCAUUAAUUAAUCGGUGGUUGCGUUUUAACACUUGAGAUUUAUUUUUUAUGCAUAACCAUUUAAUUUAUUUUUUUGCAAACUAAAUUGAAAUUAAAGCAUAUUAAUUAUCCAUUCCCAAGCUUACGGGGCAAUGGUCUCAUGGACCCAUCUCGUAGAAAAAACGCUUGAUAGCAAUGGUCUCGUGGACCAUCCCACCGGCCUAUAUCGUGGAAAAAAAUACAGAUGGCAAUGCAUGGUCUCACAGACCCAUUUCGCACUGCAAAUUGCUAUCCAUCUUACUUGUUGAUUGUGUUAUAUAAAAAUAGACUGACAAGUACUUUAGAAAGAAAAAGAAGAAGACUUGUUGUCAUGACAAUGACAAGAAGUAUUUUUUAAAAAAAUAUUAUUUGUGGUUCAUUUUAUCAACGAUACUCUUUGAUUUUGUCAUCACAAUCAAAAUUAAGGCAUGAUUUUUGAAGAUUUUAGGUAAAGAUCAUAAUUUUGAGUUAUGGUUUGUUUAAAUAAUGAAUUUGAGUUAGAAAUCUUGAUAUAUUAAUAAGUGAUCUGUGUGUAUUUAAAAUUAAAGUGCAUAAAUUUAAUAUUGAAAUUUAAUUAAAGUCUCUCUUACAAUCCAAAAUUUAUUUUUAAUUAAAGCGCAUAAAAUAAACAUAGUUAAAGUUCUUUCUUUCUCUUCCUCUCUGUCUCUGUGUAUGUUAGACGGAGUUUGCAUUAGAUAAUCAAUAAUAGGAGGAGAGUCGUCCACAUUCCAUUUGAGGCUAUUAAUCAUAGGAGGAGACCAUAUAUUUUUAAUCCUGAAAGAGUGAGCAUUGGACCACCGAAGCAAGCCAUAUGCCGAUCUGAUCAGAUCUGUAGAGGAGUAUGGAAAAUCUGAAUGGAUAGCUUUUAGCCAAAGACAUAGACGGGUGAUAAUAAGAAAGAAAAUUGAGUCAUAAUCAGGUGUCUUCUGAUGGAAAAUGAGAUCAUUUCGAAGGAGCCAAAGAGACCAUGCCACUGAGAAGAACAACAUCAACCAUGCCUUCCUCUGAAAAUUACCAUGCACCAUGGAAGACCAUUGAGACCACAUAUCUGAGAAGCUCUUUGGGCAACACCAAACUAAACCCCACCACUUAAUGAUUUUGGACCAAAUGAGCCAAUGCUUAUGGCAGUGAAGCAGAAUAUGGUCCACCGAUUCUGCUUCAACAAGGCAGAUAGGGCAAUUUGAUUCCGAGCAACUCAAGAUACCUCUUCGAACCAACAUACAUCGGGUGUUGAGUCUGUUAAUGAUAGCCAUCCAGCAAAAGAUCUCUACUUUAGGUGGGACAAUACCUUUCCAAAAUCCAGCAAACGAGAAGGCACUUACAGAGAGUUAGUGACACUUACAGAGAGUUUAUACAAAGAGUUAGUGACACUUACAUAGCAUUUUGUAUCUUGUUUUUUCUAAUUAAAAACUUGUAUGGAUUUAUUUAUUUAUUUAUUAAUUUGAAUACUUGCUUUUAAUAAUGAUUUUUUUAUCAAUCAAGUCUCUAUAUUAGUUUUGUUGUCAGAAUGCAAAUAACACGAUUAAUAGUAUUUUAUUUUCAAUUUUUUUCAAGGCCUAAAUUUUCCACACGUAAUUUCCAUUAAAAAAAGUAGCCAGUCUUCUUUAUCCAUCAUCGUCAUGUGCAUAGCAUUAACCUUUUAUUCAUAUUUGUUUCAUAAAUAAAUAAACUUAACUUGGGGUCAACGUUUCAAGAAGGAAUAUAAGUUUCGGUUAAUUACUUAGUUUUUUCCCAAAUGUUCCACUUUUGUUAUCUCUCUAUUACUUUUCCUUUUAAAGGGGUUAUGUACAGCCCUUGUAUAUUAUUUUGAAUUUAAUAUAUAAAAAUCUUUAUUAUAGAUGAAUUUUAUUUUUAAAAAUAAAAAAAUAUAUAUUUUCAAAUAAUAUUUUUAAUAUGUGCAACAUUGCAUAUUAUUUUUUCUCCUUUUAUUUUGUUCAAGCAAUUUAUAACGUGUAUGUUGUUUUUAUUAUCGUUUAAUCGAAUAAAAAAAUUAUUUUAAUUUGAAUUUUUAGAAAAUACAAUUGUGUAAAUGUCAUGUCUUGUGAAAUUAAAUAUUUUGAUCUACACAACCAUCUAGGUGGUGGCCCAGUGGUAAAAGCUUGGGACCAAGAGGUUUGCUCCCUCUGUGGUCUCAGGUUCGAACCCUAGGUUGCUCAUAUGAUGGCCAUUGGAGGCUUACAUGGUCGUUAACUUCAGGACCCGUGGGAUUAGUCGAGGUGCGCACAACCUAGCCCGGACACCCAUGUUAAUCUAAAAAAAAAAAAAAUUGAUCUACACAUGUCUUUCGAUUUUUUUAGUUUUAAUUUUGAGUCAUCAUUUCUGUUUUUUUUUUCAUUUAUUAACAUACAUGAUUCUCGAUUUAUUUCACAAUAUUUGUAUAUAAAUUUUUUAACAUCCACUUAAUUUUUUUUAAAAUUAAAAAUUUAUUAAAGAAAUCUAUAUAUAUAUUUUUUAAUUAAACAAAUUUAACUUGCGAUGAAGCUUUGGUCGAAUAACUAAGUCUAUGUACUCAAAUGAGUGGCACUCGAAAGUUCACAUACCUUAUCUUCCAAGCAAGAAGAGACAAGAAAAGCAGUAGGUGAUGUUUUUUUCUCCGGCUGUAAAUGGAUGAAGGGAUUACUACCAAAAACAUGGACAAAAUUUGAUGUGGACCCGCACCACUUUGAUUAUUCUUCACUCUUCCUGUGUUUCACUACUUGAUGAUUCAAAAGUUAUCUAUUUAAAAAAAAAUUAAAAUUUUAAAAUAUUUUACAAUAUGGUUACAAUAUUUUUUUCUUAAGAAAAUAAAUUGAUGUCAUGUGUUAAUAACAUUUACGGAUUUUUUCCAAUAAAUUAAUCAAAUUUAUUUUAAUAAAAAAGUUUCCUAUCAAGAACAGCAUUCCUAGUUAAACCAAAGUUUUUCCACGAACCCAUCUUGUGGAAAAAAUGCAUGAUGGUUGGAAGAGGACGUCUCAUGGCCUCUCCUCAAGGAAAAAUGCAUGAUGGCAACGGUCUUAGGGACCAAUAUGUAGAUGGAAAUGUUCUCAUGGACCCAUCUCGUAGAAAAAAUGCAUCUGAGUAAGUAGAAUUUUUUCUUUUUCUUAGAUGAACAUGACUUUCUUAAGCUCAUUGUAGUAUAUAGGAUUUUUUAAAAAAUAAAAAAAUAGAAAUAUUAUUCGCAUCCGAUUAAAUACCUCCACAUAUAUAAUUCCAUUAAAAGUUGUGUCAUGUAUUAAUCUAAGUUUCAUUAUCCAUUAAUUAAUCGGUGGUUGCGUUUUAACACUUGAGAUUUAUUUUUUAUGCAUAAGCAUUUAAUUUAUUUUUUUGCAAACUAAAUUGAAAUUAAAGCAUAUUAAUUAUCCAUUCCCAAGCUUACGGGGCAAUGGUCUCAUGGACCCAUCUCGUAGAAAAAACGUUUGAUAGCAAUGGUCUCGUGGACCAUCCCACUGGCCUAUAUCGUGGAAAAAAAAUUAAGAUGGCAAUACAUGGUCUCAAAGACCCAUUUCGCACUGCAAAUUGCUAUCCAUCUUACUUGUUGAUUGUGUUACAUAAAAAUAGACUGACAAGUACUGUAGAAAGAAAAAGAAGAAGACUUGUUGUCAUGACAAUGACAAGAAGUAUUUUAAAAAUAAUAUCAUUUGUGGUUCAUUUUAUCAACCAUACUCUUUGAUUUUGUCAUCACAAUCAAAAUUAAGGCAUGAAUUUUGAAUAUUUUAGGUAAAGAUGAUGAUUUUGAGUUAUGGUUUGUUUAAAUAAUGAAUUUGAGUUAGAAAUCUUGAUAUAUUAAUAAGUGAUCGGUGUGUAUUUUAAUUAAAGGGCAUAAAUUUAAUAUUGAAAUUUAAUUAAAGUCUCUCUUACAAUCCAAAAUUUAUUUUUAAUUAAAGUGCAUAAAAUAAACAUAGUUAAAGUUCUUUCUUUCUCUUCCUCUCUGUCUCUGUGUAUGUUAGACGGAGUUUGCAUUAGAUAAUCAAUAAUAUUGUAUAUAUUCUUUUUGGAGAAGUAACUCAUUUUCACACCCUUGUUGUAGUUUUCCAUUCAUUUUCACACCCCAGUUGCCACCCUGCUUUUCUUUCCAUUCACGCACACAGAUAGUGCAUCAAAGCACUACGACAAGAGUUAGUGACACUUACAGAGCAUUUUGUAUCUUGUUUUUUCUAAUUAAAAACUUGUAUGGAUUUAUUUAUUUAUUUUUUAAUUUGAAUACUUGCUUUUAAUUAUGAUUUUUUUAUCAAUCAAGUCUCUAUAUUAGUUUUGUUGUCAGAAUGCAAAUAGCACGAUUAAUAGUAUUUUAUUUUCAAUUUUUUUCAAGGCCUAAAUUUUCCACACGUAAUUUCCAUUAAAAAAAGUAGCCAGUCUUCUUUAUCCAUCAUCGUCAUGUGCAUAGCAUUAACCUUUUAUUCAUAUUUUUUUCAUAAAUAAAUAAACUUAACUUGGGGUCAACGUUUCAAGAAGGAAUAUAAGUUUCGGAUAAUUACUUAGUUUUUUUCCAAAAUGUUCCACUUUUGUUAUCUCUCUAUUACUUUUCCUUUUAAAGGGGUUAUGUACAGCCCUUGCAUAUUAUUUUGAAUUUAAUAUAUAAAAAUCUUUAUUAUAGAUGAAUUUUAUUUAUUCAAAUAAAAAAAAAUUAUUUUCAAAUAAUAUUUUUAAUAUCUGCAACAUUGCAUAUUAUUUUUCCUCCUUUUGUUUUGUUCAAUCAAUUUAUAACCUGUAUGUUGUUUUUAUUAUCGUUUAAUCAAAUAAAAAAAUUAUUUUAAUUUGAAUUUUUAGAAAAUACAAUUGCGUAAAUGUCAUGUUUUGUGAAAUUAAAUAUUUUGAUCUACACAUGUGUCUCGAUUUUUUUAGUUUUUAUUUUGAGUCAUCAUUUUUUUUUCCAUUUAUUAACACACAUAAUUCUCGAUUUAUUUGACAAUAAUUGUAUAUAAAUUUUUUAAUAUCCACUUAAUUUUUUUAAAAUUUAAAAUAUAUUAAAGAAAUCUAUAUAUAAUUUUUUUAAUUAAACAAAUUUAACUUGCGAUGAAGCUUUGGUCGAAUAACUAAGUCCAUGUACUCAAAUGAGUGGCACUCGAAACUUUACAUACCUUAUCUUCCAAGCAAGAAGAGACAAGAAAAGCAGUGGGUGAUGUUCUUUUUUCCGGCUAUAAAUGAAUGAAGGGAUUAAUACCAAAAACAUGGACAAAAUUUGAUGUGGACCCGCACCACUUUGAUUAUUCUUCAUUUUCUUCACUCUUCCUGUGUUUCACUACUUGAUGAUUCAAAAGUUAUCUAUUUAAAAAAAUUUAAAAUUUUUAAAAUGUUUUACAAUAUGGUUACAAUAAUUUUUUCUUAAGAAAAUAAAUUGAUGUCAUGUGUUAAUAACAUUUACGGAUUUUUUCCAAUAAAAUAAUCAAAUUUAUUUUAAUUAAAAAGUUUCCUAUCAAGAACAACAUUCCCAGUUAAACCAAAGUUUUUCCACGAACCCAUCUGGUGGAAAAAAUGCAUGAUGGUUGGAAGAGGACGUCUCAUGACCUCUCCUCAAGGAAAAAUGCAUGAUGACUGUUGUAACCCAUUUUUGGGUCCCUAUAAAAAAAUAAAAUAAAUAGCCAAAAGAGUUUAGAAAAAAUAACAGAAGGCAGAAGCGCUCAGGAAACAGUCAGAAAAUUGGUCAAGAAAUUCAAAAUACAAGGAUUAAAUUUUUGACAGUAUAUUCUUGAAGGAUGAAAGCCCUAUUGAGAAGGAAAAUUUGAAUUUUAAGGAGAAAAGCCCAAAUUUGGAUGUUUAUGGACUUAAUUGGAUUUUUAUUUGAAUUUAUAGAAGAUUUGAUUGCAAGAAAAAUUGAUUUUUAAGUCAAUUUGGGCUUUAAUUUGGAGAAAUUUAAGUUCUGGGGCCAAAAUAUAUUUUUUAGGAAUUUAUUGGGUCAAAUCAGGGGCUCAAUUGCAUAAAUAUUGAAGUUUAAGGGCCAAUUAGGGACUUAAUUGUGAAAAUCCGAAACCAGGGACCAAUUUGGAGAAGGCGCAAAGAUAGAGGGGGCUGUUUGGAUUUGUUUCAGGGGCUUAAUUGAAGAAAUUGGAAGUUUAUUGAUCAAUUAGGGGCUCAAUUGCAUAAAUCAGAGGCCAAGGACCAAAGUGAAAAAGGCGGCCAACAAGAGGGGCGGGGACCGAAUUUGGGGGACUGAUUUGAAGUUUAGCCAUUUAAAUGAAACGGCGUGUUUUACCCAAAACGACGCCGUUUCAUAAAAUAAAAAAAAAAAUAAAAAAAUUCGAAAACGACGCCGUUUUGAAAGACACUGUUCAUCUUCCUCCUUCCCCCCGUUUUAACAGAAAGAAGAGAAAAAAUUCGAAAAUCUUCCCGCGCCUCUCUCUCUCCUCGCCCCCACCACCUUUAGCAUUGGCCGACCAGCCGUUGCACCGCACUAACGAUGGUCCCCCACGGUUCGGCCCCUAUAAAUAGAGAAGAAAACCGAAGCUGACGGAAGAAGAGAAAAAAAAAAACCGAAGGGAGGAGAGAGAGAGGAGGCCAAGAGAGAGAGAGAGAACCGAACACCGAAGAGAGAAGGAGCCGCGCGCCGCCCGGGAAGCCACGCCACCGCAGCACCGCCUCCUCCACGCCAGGUCACCUCUUCUCCCCCUUUCGUUAGUUUUUUAUUUUUUUCCCUGCAUGCAGAAUGAACAUUCUGCAUGCAGGGAGGAGGGGGGAAUUAAUUCCCCCCUCUCUGUUGAUGCGUAGCUGGGCCAGGUGGAUCCUGGCCCAGCACAUUUUUUUCUUUUUUUGGGCCAGACUAAGUCUGGCCCGGCCUUGUAUCUGACGGGCCAGACCAGGUCUGGCCCAUACCAGCUCUCUAGGCCAAGUCCGGCCCAGAUAUUUGGGCCAGCCCAGCCCGAAUUAUUUUUAUAUUAUAUAUUAUAUAUUAUAUAUUAUAUUAUAUAUGUGUAUAUAUGUAUAUAUAUAUAAAAUAUAAUAAUAAAAAAAUAAAUAUUUUGAAAAAAUCUUAAAAAAAUAUUGUUGAUUUUUCUGCAUAUUUUUAUCAAAAUGUUUUAAUUCUGGUUUGUAUUUUUAUACCGUAAAGAUACAAGCUCAGUGUUAUAAAUACCCGGUUUUCGUCAAAACAUCAAAGAUUUUGAGAAUAAAAAAUGUUUUUGCUUUCAAAAAAAUUCUAAAAAGUCCCUAAAAAUAUUGUUGAUUUUUCUGCAUAUUUUUAUCAAAAUGGUUUAAUUUUGGGUUGUAUUUUUAUACCGUAAGGAUACAAGCUCAGUAUUAAAAUACCCGAUUUUCGUCAAAGCAUAAAAAAAAUAAUACUUUCCAAAAAUUGUUUUUGUUUUAAAAUACGGCCUAGUCUCUUCAAAUAUAUAUAUAUAAAUAUUAUAACAUCGUAUUUUCACACAACAAAGAAAAUUUUCAAAAACAAUAUAUGUAUUAACAUGCAUUUUGGCUUUAAUAACCAGUUUAUUCAAGCCAUGAGAACUAGGCCAAUAUUUCAAAAAUUCUAAAAAAUCUUUUUGUUUUAUUUUAGUAUUUGGGAUUACGAAUUUAUACGUAAAACGUAUUCCUAAGUAUUAUUAAUAAAAUUUUGGUAUGGACGUUAGAACGGUUAGAAUUUUUUACCCGAUAAGAUAAAGACCUCCUUACCGAGGAGGAUUUUUCUUGAACCAUAGACAGACCAACAACUAGGAAAACACAAUAACACUUUAGUUUUUUUUAUCAGACAUUAAAACAAUGCAGCUUACCUUAGGUAGGGCGUAUUUGGGGUGCUAAUACCUUCCCUUUACGCAACCAGUCUCCGUACCCGAUCUCUGAGACCAGUUAGGUUCCUAGUGACCGAAAUACUAGGUGGCGACUCCAAACAAAAAAAUAAAAAAAAUUUCGCUAGUCGAACCCGCAAUUGAUGAAUUUGAAUUUUUUUUUGGGGUGCGACAAUGACAACGGUCUCAGGGACCAAUAUGUAGAUGGAAAUGUUCUCAUGGACCCAUCUUGUAGAAAAAACGCAUCCGAGUAAGUAGAAUUUUUUCCUUUUUUUAGAUGAACAUGACUUUCUUAAGCUCAUUGUAGUAUAUAGAAUUUUUUUUUAAAUAAAAAAAUAGAAAUAUUAUUCGCAUCCGAUUAAAUACCUCCACAUAUAUAAUUCCAUUAAAAGUUGUGUCAUGUAUUAAUCUAAGUUUCAUUAUCCAUUAAUUAAUCGGUGGUUGCGUUUUAACACUUGAGAUUUAUUUUUUAUGCAUAAACAUUUAAUUUAUUUUUUUGCAAACUAAAUUGAAAUUAAAGCAUAUUAAUUAUCCAUUCCCAAGCUUACGGGGCAAUGGUCUCAUGGUCCCAUCUCGUAGAAAAAACGCUUGAUAGCAAUGGUCUCAUGGACCAUCCCACCGGCCUAUAUCAUGAAAAAAAAUGCAGAUGGCAAUACAUCGUCUCACAGACCCAUUUCGCAAUGCAAAUUGCUAUCCAUCUUACUUGUUGAUUGUGUUACAUAAAAAUAGAAUGACAAGUACUUUAGAAAGAAAAAGAAGAAGACUUGUUGUCAUGAAAAAUAACAAGAAGUAUUUUAAAAAUAAUAUUAUUUGAGGUUCAUUUUAUCAACGAUACUCUUUGAUUUUGUCAUCACAAUCAAAAUUAAGGCAUGAUUUUUGAAGAUUUUAGGUAAAGAUAAUAAUUUUGAGUUAUGGUUUGUUUAAAUAAUGAAUUUGAGUUAGAAAUCUUGAUAUAUUAAUAAGUGAUCUGUGUGUAUUUAAAAUUAAAGUGCAUAAAUUUAAUAUUGAAAUUUAAUUAAAGUCUCUCUUACAAUCCAAAAUUUAUUUUUAAUUAAAGUGCAUAAAAUAAACAUAGUUAAAGUUCUUUCUUUCUCUUCCUCUCUGUCUCUGUGUAUGUUAGACGGAGUUCGCAUUAGAUAAUCAAUAAUAUUGUAUAUAUUCUUUUUGGAGAAGUAACUCAUUUUCACACCCUUGUUGUAGUUUUCCAUUCAUUUUCACACCCCAGUUGCCACCCUGCUUUUCUUUCCAUUCACGCACACAGAUAGUGCAUCAAAGCACUACUACAAUAGUUGACUCCCAGUCAAUACGGUCAAGAUAAGGUAAUCAAAAACUAAAUUUACUUUUACUACUAUUUUAAUUUUUAAAAAAUAUUUUUAUAUUGUUUAAUGCAUUAAUUUCAAGAAAUAAAUUCCUUUUAUCUUAAAAUAUGAACUUGAAAAACCAGAUGUAUUUUAUAAUUAGGGAGAAAACUAGAAAAAAUUAUUAGUCUUCUCAUUGUAGUAAUAUAAAUCGUAUAUCUUUGACUCGAUUGAAUUGAAAUGUAAUAAAAACAAGUCAAGAAUACCUUUCCUAACAUAAAAACAAAAUAGUGUGUGUGUUAUGUAUUUGAAGUUUUUGUAUAUAAUACUAUAGCCACACAAUCCACAGGGAUAAGAUCAUUUAUAAUUAUUCCGUGUUUAUUAUUAUUGAUAAUUUAUGUAUUUAAUUAUAUAUAUGAUAGUGAGAUGACACCAUGCAAGUAGGCUCCUAAAUGAUUCUAAAUUAUGACGAGAGAAGUACAAUUAUAAAGUUAAAAAGAUCUUACGCGGAAUCACACAUGAAUAUUCGAUAACAAUGUUUAAGUACUACAACAAUUUUUUUAUUUUAUUUUUUCAUAAAUUAGAUAAUUAGGAAGCAAAAUGUAAUUAAAUGCAAAUAGACUAAAUGCUUAACAAUAAAAUAAUAUUCAAAUCCAAGAAUAUUCCAAAAAGAAAUGAAAUAAAGAAAACAUCUCAUAACAUAGAAUCUGCACAAGAUAUGCAGAUAAAGUCAUGGAAACGGCCAGAGCAUAGUAUAAAUAGGACCUCCAUGGUUACCCAAAGGCAGAUAACAAACAGCAAUAGUUCAUAGAAUUAUCUAAGAUGAUGAUGAAAAUAAUGGGGGCUUGGAUGUUGCUAGCAUUAUUGACUUUGGUUGGCGAAUGGUAUGGUCGUUGUUAUGGGUGUUUGGAGGAAGAGAGGAUUGGUCUCUUGGAGAUCCACUCUUUGAUCGACCUAGAUGGCUUUUCCUUGAGAGAUUGGGUGGACAGUAGUAAUUGUUGUGAGUGGCGUGGGAUCAAGUGUGAUAACACUACAAGGCAAGUGAUCCAACUCUCUCUUCAUGGAGUAAAGGGUUUUCCGCAGUGAAGUUUAUGUACUAAAAUAAGUGGCACUCAAAGGUUCACAUACCUUAUCUUCUAAGUAAAAAGAGCCAAGGGAAGCAGUAAAUGAUGUUCUUUUCUCCGGCUGUAAAUGGAGGAAGAGAUUAAUACCAAAAAUAUGGACAAAAAUUGAUGUGGACCCACACCACUUUGAUUAUUCUUCUUUUUCUUCACUUUUUCUGUGUUUCACUACUUAAUGAUUCAAAAGUUAUCUAUUUAAAAAAAAUUAAUUUAUUCAGUUUUUUAAAUUAAAAUAAAAUAUACCUAUCAUUCUUAGACGUUACAUAAUGAAAUUAAAAACCAUAGCUUUUAGAGCCCCAAGCGCACGGCCCCAUCUCGUGGAAAAAAUUGCUUGAUGAUAAUGGUAUCACUGACCCAUCUAGUGGAUAAUUUGUUGCAAUGUUCUCUCCAUCAAAAUCCUUUUUGUUUUGAAAAGGAAAAUAUAUAUAUAUAUAUAUAUAUAUAUAUAUAUAUAUAUUAGUUUUCAAGUUUUGAGAUAUAAGUUCAUAGCUCUUAAGAUAAGAAAUAUACCACAAGAUUUAAAAAUAUUUUAUAUUUCAUUAAAAUGAAUAAAUAAAUUACUUAUAUGGUUGCAAUAUUUUUUUCUUAAGAAAAUAAAUUGAUUUCAUGUGUUAAUAACAUUUAAGGAUUUUUUUCCAAUCAAAUUUAUUUUAAUUAAAAAGUUUGCAAUCAAUAACAACAUUCCCAAUUAAACCAAAGUUUUUCCACGAACCCAUCUCAUGGAAAAAAUGCAUGAUGGUUGGAAGAAGACGUCUCACAGCCUUUCCUCAAGGAAAAAUGCAUGAUGGCAAUGGUCUCAGGAGCCAAUGGACAGAUAGAAAUGGUCUCACGAACUCAUAAAUGCAUUUAUAGUGAUAUUUUCAUUGUUAGAGACAUACAGUAGUUUAGGGAAUUUUAUCAAGGAACGAAGAUAUUUUCGGAGAAUAACAUUUAUAAUGAUACUUUUAUGCAAUUCAAUUUUUUCUUUUUUUUAGUCUAUGAUACUGAUGAACAUGACUUUCUUAAGCUAGUUGUAGUAUACAGAACUUUUUUAAUAAAAAAAUAGAAAUAUAAUUUGCAUAUGAGUAAAUAGCUUCACAAAUUAAUAUAAUAGGUUUUAAUAUUUACUUUUAAUAUUUAUAAAAUGAAAGAUAUUAAGAGUUGCUUAAUUUGUAGAGCUCCAUUUGUAUAUCAUUCUAUUUUUAUUUUUUUUUGCAAAGAAAAACCUCGUUUUGCAUAACUGUUCCUAUGUCUUUUUAUUAUUGAUGUAUGUUUGACAUUUUUAAUAUCUUAGAAGAGCACACAGAAAGGUUUACGAGGAUUCCAAGGGAGGCUACUGAUUUUUGCUCUCCAUGAGAAGAGCAUCAUGGAACUUCUAACUGAGCAUUGAAUGUCAUAAUGAGAAAGAUUGGCAGUUGCACACCCAAGAGAAUGCUUUUUUUUAUCUUUCUUUUUUUUCACAAGAUAAGGUAAUUGGCUGUUGUGUGUUUUGACUUUUAGCAUUCUUCUUCUUCUUAUUAUUAUUAUUAUUAUUAUUAUUAAGAUGAGUGUCCGGACCAAUUUGUACGCAACUCGACUUAUCCCAUGGGCUCUAAAGUUAACGAUCAUGUAAGCCUCUAGUGACUCUGAGAUUUAUGAGACUCGAACUAAUGAUUUUUAGGAAGCAAACCUAGAGCCUAGGUAAUUGAGCUACACCCUUAUUAGAAUUACUUUUAACAUUCUUUUAGAUUGUCUUGUGGCGGUCCUCCAAGAUUCCGGAGGACCACCUGUAUGCAUAAGGAAAUCACUGCAUGGUUGUGUUUAAAAAUCAAAAUGGCACACAGCAAGUCAAGCAUCAAUUACUUAAGAUUUGUGGAAGAUAUGAUACAAGAGAUAAGAAAAUGAUUGCUAUUAUCCACAAUUUCUUUGCGGAGUUUCCAUUAGAUAAUCAAUAAUGUAUACAUUUUUUUUUUGAGAACUCAUUUUCACACCCCCAGUUGCCACCCUGCUUUUUUGAGAAGUAACUCAUUAGAUAAUCAAUAAAGUUUUUUUUUUGUUCAUUUACCACUAAUUUACAUUUCAAUCAAAAACUAAAUUUACUUUUACUACUAUUUUAAUUUUAAAAAAUUAUUUUUAUAUUGUUUAAUGCAUUAAUUUCAAGAAAUAAAUUCCUUUUAUUUUCUCUUUCUUUUACUAAUAUUCUUUUUUCUUCUUUUUUUGAACUGCCUUAUCUCUCUUUCUUUUAUGUUUUUCAUCUUUCAAUCCUUCAAGAUUUAAAUUAUGUAGCAAUUUACAUUAGGAAUAUUGAUAACAAAUUAAAUAUAACCAGAAAAAAAAUGCAAAAAAAAAUAAUAAUGAUAUUCUAGUAAAACAUUUACAUUUCCAUUGAAAGAUGUGUCAUAUAUUAAUUAGUGGUAUGUUGUCCAUUAAUUAAUCGGUGGUUGCAAUACUCUAAAACUUGAGAUUUAUUUUUUAUGCUAGCUUAAGCAUUUAAUUUAUUUAUUUAUUGUAAACUAAAUUGAAAUUAAAGCAUAUUAUUCAUUCCCAAGCUUACAGGGCAAUGGUCUCAAGGACCCAUCUCGUAGAAAAAACGCUUGAUAGCAAUGGUCUCAUGGAUUCUAUUGUGGAAAAAAUGAGAUGGCAAUAGUCUCACAAACCAGUCUCAUGGACUCUAUCUUACUUGUUUAUUUUAUUUUUUUAAUUUUUUGUGUUCUUAAUAAUUUUAUAAAUGUUGUUGUAGGAUUUAUUUUUCAUGUGAGAUCAAUUUUUAGUUGAUUUACUUAUAGGAUUUUUAAAUAGAUUUUAAUUAUUUAAUUAUUUUUCUAGAUUUGUUAAAUAGAUUUUUUUAAAAAUAUAUUUUCUAAAUAGUCACUACAGAAUUGCAUUUGUUGGUUACAUGACAAGCUUCCCGAGAAAAAUACCGAUGAAAUGAAGGAGGUAAAUUUUUUUAGCGUGUUUUACUCAUUAGUAAAUCUAUCAGUAAUAAUAUAUUUUUAUUACUAACAAAUAAAAAAUUACCGAUAAAAAAUUCACAGACAGAACAUUUCUGUUUGUGAUCCCGUCAAUAAUUAAUUUACCUAGAAAAUUAAAUAAUAAAUCAAGAGGGGGGGCCUUUCCUUGACGAAUAUCCUCAAUGGCCUUUGGAAUCGAAGCAAAUCCUGUGGCCACAAUUUAUUGUUAGCACGUGUUUGCAAUUUACGACAUAUAUUUUGAUGAGCUACUUGUAGAGUAAGGCGCUGUUUUUGUUUCUACCUUUAGGUGAUUGCACCAAACAUAGACUAAACAAAAGGGACAUACAGUGGUGGAGAAAUUGGUUCCAGUUCCUUUUGAUACAUGUAACCAGUUUUGUAUUCUUGCUCACUUUUCAAUUUGGUUUCGGUAUCGUGUUUUGUAAUUAUUACUUACUGCUGCUGUUUUGAAUUUACUAAUCAUUUUUUUCCUUCAACUUCCCAUAUCUUUUUGUUGGAAGCUCCAUUUGUAUAGCAUCCUUUUUAGAGAAGUAACUCAUUAGAUAAUCAAUAAAGUUUCUUUUUAUUCAUUUACUAUUAGUUUACACUUCAAUCAAAAAGUAAAUUUGCUUUUACAACUAUUUUAAUUUUUAAAACAUAUUUUUAUAUUAUUUAAUGCAUUAAUUUCAAGAAAUAAAUUUCUUUUAUUUUAAAAUCUAGACAUGAAAAACCAGAUGUAUUUUAUAAUUAGGGAGAAAACUAGAGGAAUUGAAUAGUCUUCUCAUUCUAAUAAUAUAAAGAUAUAUCUUUGACUCGAUUGAAAAAAUAUAUAUUUAAUAUUGAAAUGUAAUAAAAACAAGUCAAGAAUACCUUUCCUAACAUAAAAACAAAAGAGUGUGUAUGUAUGUUAUGUAUUUGAAGUUUUUGUAUAUAAUACUAUAGCAAAUUACAAUUAUAAAGUUAAAAAGAUCUUAUACGGAAUCACACACGAAUGUCGAUAACAAUGCUAAAGUACUACAAUAAUUUUUUUAUUUUAUUUUAUUUAUAUAAAUUGGAUAAUUAGUAAUUAAAAUAUAAUUAAAUGCAAAUAGACUAAGUGCUAAACAAUAAAAUAAAAUAAUAUUCAAAUCCAAGAAUAUUCCAAAAAAAAAAAAAUCAAAUCUCAAACAUGAAACUCUAAAUUAUUACGAGAGAGAAGUAUAAUUAUAAAGUCAUGAAAACAAUCUUACGAAUGUCUACAAUAUUUUUAUUAUUUAUUAAUUUAUUUUAUACAUUGAAUAAUUAGUAACCAAAAUAUAAUUAAAUACAAAUAGACUAAAGACGGAACUGAACAAUAAAAUAAAGGCCGAACUGCACAAGAUAAUAUUCAAAUCUAUAUUAUCGACAAACACACCAUAAAGACCGAAGUGUCAGACUUUGGCACUUUCUAGGUUAAUUCCGUUGGAUUAUGUUGAAUAGUCAACAAUGGUGCGAGGUACUCUAGGAUACUUAAGGGCCAACUGACGGACAAAAGUGAUGUUUACAGUUAAAAAUUCAAGUGCCUAAGGGCCUUUAAGUGCCUUCGAUAAGCCUAAGGGCCUUUAAGUGCUGAACAAUAAAUAAAUAAAAAUAUUCAAAUCCAAGAAUAUUCCAAAAAGAAAUAAAAUAAUAUUCAAAUCUCCAAACAUGGAACCUGCACAAGAUAUAUAGAUAAAAUCAAGGAAAUUAAAUGGCCAAAGUGUAGUAUAAAUAGGACCUCUAUGGUUGCCCAAAGACACAUAACAAACAACAAUAUUCUACGUAGUAAUUCAUAGAAUUAUCUACGAUGAUGAUGAAAAGAAUGGGGGCUUUGAUGUUGCUAGCAUUAUUGACUCUGGUUGGCGAAUGGUAUGGUCGUUGUUAUGGUUGUUUGGAGGAAGAGAGGAUUGGUCUCUUGGAGAUCCAAUCUUUGAUCGACCCAGAUGGCAUUUACUUGAUGGAUUGGGUGGACGACAAUAGUAAUUGUUGUGAGUGGUAUGGGAUCGAGUGUGAUAACACUACAAGACGAGUGAUCCAACUCUCUCUUAGUCGGGAUUACAGCUUGGGCGAUUGGGUUCUCAACGCAUCUUUGUUUCAGCCUUUCAAAGAAUUGCAAAGUCUUGAUUUGGAAUGGACUAGAUUGGUUGGUUGCAUGGAGAAUGAAGGUUAGUUCAAUGUUUCUGCACUUAAUUAUAAUCAUAAAAUAAAUGAAGGUUGGUUGGUGUUUAAUGUCAAUUAUCUUGCUUUGAUGAUUCUCUUCCAGGCUUCCAAGUCCUAUCAUCAAAACUGAGGGAACUUGGCCUAAGUUUUAACCGAUUUAAUAAUGAUAAAAGCAUUUUGUCAUGCUUCAAUGAUAACCUUUCCACUCUCAAGUCUUUGGAUCUAUCAUAUAAUGGGUUGACAGUUGGAUCAGGAGGUAGCUUCUAUGGUAACCUUUUAGUUAUUUAUUUAGCUUUGAAACCUUUUCUUUUCUCCUCCUCAUAUCAUUUUUUUCUAUGCGUUUAAUUAUUUCCUUCCAAUAUGCUCUUGAGGAACAUCAUGCAG
rnacentral:lncRNA from 1 species